rnacentral:lncRNA from 1 species
UGGCCAUGAACUGCCUGCGGCUCCAUUCAGAGAUGGUGCUCCAGACAUCCCGCGCCCUGGAAUCUGCAGAACAUUCCAAGGCUGGCACCAGGGCACUACCUUCUAAGCCCGAUAACAUUAUAAUACCAUUCGCAAACAUGAUGUGAUCUGAUGCAGUCUUGAAGUUGUAAAGGGAAUUUUCUUUCUCAUUUGUGUUACCGUACUAUAGAUUUUUUUUAGUCGUGCUAUAGAAUUGCUUUAGUGUAUUCUUUGUUUAGAAUAAUAACGAUUUAGUGUAUACUGCAGCAGUAUUGCUUCGGGCAUGUGGCCCAUGCAAGUUAAAAGGACGUUAGGGCCGCCUGCCUCGCCCUGUUCUCGCUCGACAUCCUCUUUCACGGCCUUGCCGUGUUUUGUUGCGGCGGCGACGCCGGUUCGUCCUUCACGUGACACCCGAUUUGGAUGCCACGGUUGCGUUGGGGGGAUGCCAGCUCCACGUGGCUCCACUUCCAUGUGGCGGAGAGGCGGCGAGGGCUGAUCCUGCUUCACACGGUAGCGCGCCGUUGAGGGCGGCUCCUUCACGAGGGCUGACGGGGGCGAGGGUGGCAUUGGAUCACGGUUAUGGAGCGGCCCUGGAGAGUGACAGCGGCGGCGCUAAGAUCUGAACCCUGAAGAUCCGGAGUCGUUGUCGCCUGCCGGUGCGGCCACGACUUUGGCAUGGAGAUGGUGGUCUGGCCUGCACCGAAGAAGAGAGCGGCGGAGAGGGUGCGAGUGGAGAGGAUCAGAGAAUGGUGUGGCGUGGACGGCGCCGGAGCCAUGCUUAUAUAGGCGCGGCCAGACCAUGCGAAGGGACGGGAAGCCGGCUUCAAUGCGGUGCAACGGCUGGAGUAGGCUUCUCGGUCGCUGUGUCCACAUUGAAGCAGCGCUGUCCCUAGUCCGGUCACGUGGCUCUGACCGCAAUGAAUGCCGUCGAGCCACGUCCGUUGAUGAGCAUCACUGACCGGCAUGAAUGCGCGACAACCACUUCGUGCAGAAAUGGUUUUUCGGGCGAAAGGGUUUUGGGUGGGUCCGGGGUGGCGGAAGCAUACGUGGCAGUGAUCCCGAAAACGAACGCCUGGACCGAUGGUGUACCAUGUUAAUGGCAAAAUGUGUCUGGACUGUUCGGCCCGAACAGUUGCGGGCGGUUUGAGAUUCUGUGUUGAAGAUGCCCUUAUACUUACUUCAUGAAAAUGAAGUUCAUAUAUGACACGCAUCUGAAAGUUGUGUGGAUCACUGACUUGAUAUGAAGAGCUUCAUAUACAAUGCAUAAACCCGGCUUCUUUUUGUUCAUUCUAUUAGAGCAUCUCUAGCAGACCUCUCAAAAGCGGUUAAAUCUGUAAAAAUUCGCGUUUUCAGUUCCGUGGUGUCAAAAAACGUCCCGAAUAGACCCUGCAAAAGCGGUCAAACCCGUAAAAAAUUUGCAGGCCCCUGGGAAUCCAUCCCCACGACCCUUUAUUUUGUGGAUUUGGAGGCAAAAUAUAAGGGGGACUGAAAACCAGUCAACGCCACGUGACAAGGAAAUUCCGCCUGCGCACACGGGCUCUGGUGACCUUCCACCACGGAACUCGCCGGAAUCUUGCCGGAAACUCGCCGUUUACCUCUGCUGCGGCGUGGGCUUGCGGAGUAGAUCACAGGAGCAGCGGCUGGGACUUGAGCAGCUACCCGGCCACGAAUGAGCUAGCUAGCUAGCAAGCUCCUGGAUUCAUCCGGCCACGAACGAGCUAGCUAGCUAGCUGGCAAACUCCUCGAUCCAGCCGGCCAUGGACGAGCUAGCUAGCUCUCGGAUCCAUCCUGCCACGGUCGAGCUAGCUAACUCGUGGAUCCAUCCGGCAACGGAGGAGCUGGCUCCUGGAUCGAUUUGGCGACUACGGUGGACGACGGAGCUGACUGUGAAACACGGGCGAGAGGAAAAAGAAGACACGGAAAAGAAUAUACGCGAAUAUUCUUUUUUACGGGUCCGUUAUGCGGGGUCUGCAUCUGCGACCGUCCGCGCCGGCCCGCAAAGCCUUUUUUCGCGAACUGCAAACACGUUUUGCGGGCCGGCGGGAUGCGGGGUCUGCUAGAGAUGCUCUUAACACGCAAGUAUGGGAAGAUGUCAUGUCAUACUAGUAUGACAAUGCAAAUGCACAGAAAUUUAGCUGCCAUGUAUUUGUGUUUGGACGUGUGUAGACACGUCCCCUUUAUAUUGAAAUAAGGCAUCUCCAACCACGGAUCACCAAACGGAACAACGAUGACAUGUCCGCGGAUAACCCGCCCCUUCGACUGUAUCCCUCAUUUUUGGGACUAUUGGCUAUGAUUGACACUACGCUAGAGAGAUCGAGAGAAUCCUAGACGUCCGGACCGGUCCGGCUUGAUUUGGUGGGCAGUGUUGGAUGCCUAAAAGUGUCCGCACCGUCAGCUCCGGCCAAUUGAGACCAAUUUGGUGAGCCGUGUUGAAGGUGUUUUAAUGGAGCAAACAUCACGUCCUAAUGGAGCAAACAUAACGGAACUCGUAAGACAUAGCUUGCUAAUAAACCAUGUAUUUAGUUGCUUUUUUUAGUGGAAAGCCUUCUUGGUGGAUUAUAUUACGUUUGAAAAUAGAGAUACACCAUCUACGAUUACAUAACCUUGAAAAUCCGGAUGACCCACAAUAUUUUGUGCAUCCACCUAUUUGCUAGCUAGAACACAAGCUGCCCUAUUAGCCUCUCUAGGACAAUGAUUAAUCAUUACCUAAGAACUAUAUGAAGGUAUAGGUAACGAUGAUCACACCAACAAUCAAUGUAGUGGAAGAGGAAGAUGUUGGUGAAGCCCGUCUAUUCCUGCAGCUAGGUUAUACCUCCCAGACAUGAGAAUCUUCAACGACCACCGAUCUAGUGUCGAAGUAGAAGAUACAUUUGAGACAUCCACACAUAAAAAUCUAGCAAAAAUAAAAUAUUAGAAAUUUAAGUAGGAGGACAGAACCGACGGAGAUUGUCGUAUGCUAGUAAGUUUCAAAGAACCGUACAGAGGCAAGUUCCGAGGGACAUAGCUUAAAGGAUGAGCUAAGUUCACGAGGAAACAGAAAAUAAGUUUGGUAGCUUGAUAGAAAAAGAACUAAAAUCGUAGGAGUAACAAUGAAAUAGAAAAAUCAUUUCGGUUGGAAGAACGAAAAAGUUGUGGUACCUGGUAAGAAAAAUUAUGAAUCAAAGAUGAAUAUUUGAGAGACAACAUCAUGUAUCAUAGGGAAAUAAAAGGUUGGCAAAAGGGGUGUAACAAUUUCCGAUGGAAAAAACGAUGGCAUGCGAAAUGACGGAACAUGACGAACUGAUGAGUUGACAUCAGGUAAAGCAAAUUAAUUGCACAAACAAAGAAAGAAAGAAGAUGAUCAAAGGAUUGAAAGGAAGAAGAUGGCUCGAAGAACUGAAAGCUCAGAGGUUCGAACAGGGUUGAACAACAAAGAAGGUAUCAAACAGAACGGAGAGAUGCGCCGCAGGCACAAAAAGAGGGAAGUAUAAGAACAGUUGGAUGAAGUAUGUACAAGAAAAACAUGUAUAUUGUCUCGUGUUGAAAUGGUACCGAAUUUGCAUCCAUUGUUUAGCCAAUUUCCGCCCGGAACAAUUUUUUGGAUCAUGGCACAUAUAAAACGGUUGGAGAAGGAUGCACAGGUGCGUGCCCUGCGAUUUUUUGCCAUUUAGUUGCUUGUUUGAUCACGUUGGGUUGGGUGUAGCAGGAAACAGAGUGAAUUGCAAAAAACAUCGACACUUCAGGCAAGGUUUGCAGGAACCACACAUUUACGGAAUUGUGCCAAAAAGCACUAAUUUUUUUAUAUUUUUUUGCAAAAAACACUGGUUGCUUGUUUGGACCGUUUUAAGUACGUUUAUGACAUGGGGGUCCCGCUUUUGCUGACGUGGCGUAACGGUUCGCAGGCGACGCCGUUAGACAGACGACUUUAUACCAACACCCUUUUUGGAAAAAGAAAAAGCAAUCGGGUCCUUGGCCCUGAAAAUAAAAGCAAUCAGGACCUUCAUCUCCCACCGGUCCGGUGGGAUUGCUUCGGUGCACGGCCGGCGCUGCGUCCGCCGCCGCCUGCUCGCGCCCGUGCCUUGCCUGCUCGCGACCGUGCGCCGCUGCUCGCGCCCGCCGCUGCCUGCNNNNNNNNNNNNNNNNNNNNNNNNNNNNNNNNNNNNNNNNNNNNNNNNNNNNNNNNNNNNNNNNNNNNNNNNNNNNNNNNNNNNNNNNNNNNNNNNNNNNNNNNNNNNNNNNNNNNNNNNNNNNNNNNNNNNNNNNNNNNNNNNNNNNNNNNNNNNNNNNNNNNNNNNNNNNNNNNNNNNNNNNNNNNNNNNNNNNNNNNNNNNNNNNNNNNNNNNNNNNNNNNNNNNNNNNNNNNNNNNNNNNNNNNNNNNNNNNNNNNNNNNNNNNNNNNNNNNNNNNNNNNNNNNNNNNNNNNNNNNNNNNNNNNNNNNNNNNNNNNNNNNNNNNNNNNNNNNNNNNNNNNNNNNNNNNNNNNNNNNNNNNNNNNNNNNNNNNNNNNNNNNNNNNNNNNNNNNNNNNNNNNNNNNNNNNNNNNNNNNNNNNNNNNNNNNNNNNNNNNNNNNNNNNNNNNNNNNNNNNNNNNNNNNNNNNNNNNNNNNNNNNNNNNNNNNNNNNNNNNNNNNNNNNNNNNNNNNNNNNNNNNNNNNNNNNNNNNNNNNNNNNNNNNNNNNNNNNNNNNCCUGCUCGCGACCGUGCGCCGCUGCUCGCGCCCGCCGCUGCCUGGUCGCGUCCGCCGCCGCCUGCUCGCGAUUGUGCGCGUCGGGAUUGACAGCCUCCCGCGGCUGCCGUGGGUCCCUUCUACGGCGACCCGAGGUGCCGGUCAGCCGGUCCGUGCUCAGCUCCACCGGUGGCAGCAUGCUUCCAGCGAGAGGGUGAGCUCCUCGCACUCUCGAGCGCGCCGGCGUGCGCGCCAACAACAGCUCCGGCCACGCCUCCCUACGCCGGCCGGGGCACGAGCAGCAGCAGCUCCACGCCUCCACCGCGCCUCCCGGCAUCGGCCGGGGCACGAGCAGCAGCAGCAGCUCACCACGCCUCCCUACGCCAACCAUGCCCCAGCACUGAUGCAAGUUGCAGCAGCAGCACCACCAGGCCCGCGCGGCUGCGGCCAUGGAAGGAGAGGUGGGAGUGCGACGCGGCGGUGGACGGUGGAGGCACGGCUCCGGCGUGGAGCACGGCGGAGUUGGCUCUUUCCUAAAAAAAGGAGGGAACUUUUGGUAAAUAUAUAUCUCUAACUAUGUCUAGUGUGAACCGUUACGCCACGUCAACAAAAGCGGGACCCCAUGUCAUAAACGUACUUAAAACGGUCCAAACGAGCAACCAGUGUUUUUUGCAAAAAAUUAUGAAAAAAUUAGUGCUUUUUGGCACAAUUCUGUAAAUGUGUGGUUCCUGCAAAUGUUGCCUGAAGCGUCGAUUUUUUUUGCAAUUCACUCCAGGAAACAUAAAUGCAGUGUGUUUGAGCUGUGCUCGGAUUCAGACCGGAGACACGUCGCUGCGUUGCGUCGAGGGGGAGUGCGCGCCAUGAAAAAAAAGAAGGGAGACCGCGUCGCCGCGUUGCGUCGAGGUACAGCAGGAAAGAAACUCUUCGUAUCCUGGUAGGAGUCGGACCCGAUCGAGUCGGCGGAACAAAUGCAGUGGAACUAUAUAUACAUACACAUAGCGGCGUAUAGGUAUAGCGUUACAGACGCCAGCCCCCCUUCCUCCUCCCAUGCCACCAACACCGUACCCAGCGCACAAUCAACAAUCCAUCUUCCCUCCCUGCUCCCGGCGAUCGAGAUGAUGCAGUACGCCGUGGAUCCCUACGCGGGCGCCUUUGCUCGACCUCCGCCUCCCGGCUUCUUCGGCGUCGGAUCCUGCGCUUGGGUCGCCAACAGGCCUGCUCGGCGACCUCCGCCUCCCGCCUUCUUCGGCAUCGGAUCCUGCUUUCGCCCGGCUGCCGACGUGCCAGCUCGUCGACCUCCGCCUCCCGGUUUCUUCGGUGCACGCCGUCCCAGGGUGCUCCCGCCAGCGCCGUGCGAGGUGCCCAUGCCACCAAAGUUCUCAAAGCCCACGACACCGGCACCAGCGCCGGUUUCCUGCGUCGCCGCCGCCUCCACAAAGCUUCAGCGGCUGUGCCCUGACUACGAAGACGACAUCGACCACAACCUCCGGUUGACAGAGAAGAACGCCGAGGAGCGGCCGCUACCGGACUACCUGACGAAGGUGCAGCAGGAUCGGGUGAGCGAGUCAGCGCGCGCCUCCCUCGUCGGAUGGAUGGACAAGUUCGUCCGAGACCAUGAUCUGGCCGACGGCACGCUCCACCACGCCGUCGCCUACGUCGACCGGGUCCUGUCUGUGCGAGCCCUGACGACUGACAGCGGCUACGAGCUACGCCUCCUGGGUGCCGCGGCCAUCUUUGUCGCCGCCAAAUACGAGGACCAAAAAGCCGUGUGGAAGCUGAAGGCCGACCAGAUCGCCAGGUACGGCGAGUUCGCCGCGGGCAAAGAGGUGCUCGACAUGGAGUGCGAGAUGGUGGAGGCGCUCGGAUACCAGCUCGGCGGCCCCACGGCGCACACGUUCCUGAGCCACUUCAUGAGGUACGCCGAGGGGGAGGACAAGACCAAGAUCCUGCCAUUGGCGACUCGCCUCGUUGAUCAGUCUCUGCUCAACUACACGUGCCUCCGCAUCUUGCCGUCCCUCGUGGCGGCGUCCGCGAUCUUCCUCGCGAGGCGGACCCUGAAUCCGCCCGACGUCCUCGCGUGGAACAGGGAAUUGACGGAGCUGACGGGCUACAACUGCUCCGACAUGACAGCCUGCGUGCUUAAUAUGUUCUUCUUCUCGCGGUCGCUCAUCUGUAACCCUUCUUCUUGAUCAUCGAGGAGACUCACCAAGACAGAGCAGUUUUGUACUCGUCUUGUAAUCUUGUGGAAGUUCCUUGUAAUGUUCAUGUAUACCAGUCUGAAAUUAAUGUAUGUAUCAUCUUAGUUUUGUCAUGCAUGCGUCAACUGGUGAUGAACACACUGUACCGGGCUUCUGAUUGCCGGUUCUUUUUUCCUCCAAAACUCUUUUUUUUUGCGCAUCAAAACACUAAAUUAAGCUUUAACAGGAGGAUUACAAUCGUUCCUUAAACAAGCAUCAAGAAACCCUGGCACGCAAUUUAACCAUAAGCAUCUCCUUCUACUACUGCUAGCUAGCCUGCCCAGCACACAGAUGUGCGACCAUUUGCCUCUCUCCCGAUACUAGUAAUGUCAGAUCGUCCCUCUUCUCUACCAAUCCAAAGGCCUAUGACCAGCUGGGCAUACCAGUUUCUUAGGUCACAUGUUGCAUGCGAAGAUCACAAGCCAAACGGACACCAUUCCGUACCGCAUAUGCCUCCAUUACGAUGACGCUCGCUGCGUUGUCAUACCACAACGCCUGUGCCCGAACUAACUCCCCUGUGUGAUCUCGAAUACCAACACCCGUUGCUCCUAUAUGAAGCUAGCAUCAACAUUAACCUUCAUUACCCCUGGUGGUGGUUUAGGCCAAUGCAUCAACAAUUUCUUGUGUUGUUUCUUCUCCUUGCCACUGAUUGCUAAAUCUAUUGCUACAUCCAGAGUCCAUCUGACAGAACUUGUAACAGAGUAUCGUGACUCUUUUUCACCAUGUUUCCUUGCAUUUCUAGAGGACCAUACAGACCACACACCACACAUAAUAAUCGUAGCUUCAGACCUAGGUAUAAAAUCUUCGAACAAGAUAUCAAUCGACCAUGAAGGCAUGAGUUGCGGGAUUUUAACACCUGCAAAAAUCUUAAUCUCUUUCCAGAAUCUUUUGGCCCAAAUGGACUUGAAGAUAGCAUGUACAAUAUAGUCUCCUCCCUGCCACAUUCAAGAUGGAAUUCCCUAGGCUCAAUAUGUUUCUGAUGGAGCACCGACAAACAAGGUAUAAAAGAGUCACGAUACUCUGUUACAAGUUCUGUCAGAUGGACUCUUGUAACCCCGGUGAAGAUGUGCCUCACCAGAGUUUUUCAGUAGGCAUGAUAAACCUUCAGCACAAAUCAGGAAUAAGUAGCAAUGGAUCACCUUGUCUAUGCCUAUGGUUGGUUUAAAAAUUUCUGAAAACACCCCAUUCACUCUCACAGAGAACGAGACUGUUUCCACGCACUUCAUAACUAUAUUAAUCCAUCCAUCUGCAAAACCCAGUUUGGGUUUGGUCAUGAUGGCUCUCAAAUAGCUCCAUUCUACUCGAUCGCAGACUUUAGCCAUAUCUAGCUUCACCGCACAAGCUCCAGACUUGCCUUUCCUCCUCUUCAAAUAAUGAAUACAUUCGUAAGCAGUUAAUACACUAUCCGUUAUUAAUCUUCCUGCCACAAACACUAUUGCAGAAAAAAACUACGUAGAUGAUUUUCUUCAAGGGGAAGCCACAUGAUAACUUUAUUUGUUUUAAAGGAGACAAAAUAUUUGCCUUGUCCAUUAAUUAAUCAAAAGAGAACGACCCAUUUAAUUAGAUAAAAACCAAAACAAUAAGGAUCAAACAAGCCCACACCGAACAUUGAAACACAUAGUGUCAAGGCCAUUCUCGCAAAUGGCGUGCCGAACACAACAACAGACGCCAACCACACGAACACACAACAAUGUGAGAACCCGCUCUGCCGAUCAAGCCGACCAUCCACCACUGUCGGUGUGAAAUCCGGCAGACCUCGAGGUAGGGGGUCCCGAACUGUGGAUCUUAGAUCGUGGGUAACAGAAACAGGGAGACAGUGUUUGCCCAGGUUCGGGCCCUCUUGAUGGAGGUAAAACCCUAUGUCCUGCUCUUGUUUCUAUUGAUAGAGAUGUAUCGAGUACAGAGUUGAUCUACCUCGAGAUCGUGAGAUGUGUUCUAACUCUAGGCUAGGUGAAUGAGAUUGCGUUAAUGUGCCCUCCACGGGCUAAACCCUCUAGCUUAUAUACAUGCCAGGUAGGGCAUCUAAGGUUACAAGAUCGGUAUCUUGGCACAGAGGUCGUAGGAGAAAUCUUGGAGUGUAAGACAAGUCUUGGGUAGAUGUAGUCUCGAUCACGCCUCCAGCAUGUGCCUUACGGAGUCCAUCGUGAGAAGAAUGAGGGCUCACCAGCCCAUCCCAAGGAGUAGGCCGGCUAGGUUAGACCCCCUAGUCCAGGACACCGUCAGUAGCCCCCGAACUGGUCUUCCACGCCGAGGACGAUACCCUUUAUGAAGAUAACCUUGGAUCCGGAGUCCUUGAUUUGAUAAACGAGUCCCCCUUUGUGACUUCAAUAACCCUGAACUGUUCUUCAAAGAGGUAGUGUCUUACAAACAAGACUUAGCCGAGCUCACGCCUUGUACGAGGAGGCGGGGUAACUUAGCCUCGAAGGCCGACCACGUAGGUGUGAAUAGUGCCCCUAGCCUGACAACUUUAUCGAAGCGGCGUGAGCCAUGAAGGGUCAAGCAGUUACUGCUUACCACUAAUCAUGGCCCGAGGCAGCCCUUUUAGUGGUGCGUCCCAUCAAAAUGGAGAUCGUGCCUGUUUUCUCAGGGACAUUAUCAAGAUUUUGUUUCCCCCCAUGCGCACAACGACAUCUUUUGAGGGGGAGUGGCAUUUUUACCGGCGUAGCGAGAAGGACUCUUGGCCUUUUCAUCAGCCUAUAAGAGUAAGAAACCAACAAUGCAAACAAGCACACUCUCAUUUCCCCCGUCUGCUGCCUUCUCUAGCUCUAGCGCCCAGAUCCAAUCUCGCUUUCUUCCUCCUCAGUCGCAUCCAAGCUUCCUCACCCAACCAUGUCUGACACCCUCAGAGGGCAUUGGGUGGUUCCACCAUGACAGAGGUCACCAUCAUGGAGUUGCGCAGUGCGGGAUACAUCCCCGCCAACAUCGCCGCCCGCGCUCCCAACGCCAACCAGCAAGUGCCUGCUCCCAACCCAGGGGAGCGGGUAGUCUUCGUCCCCCACCUCUUCAAAGGUUUAGGGUUCCCGCUGCACCCAUUCGUGCGCGGGGUAAUGUUCUAUUACGGGCUCGACUUCCACCACAUGGCCCCGAACUCCAUCUUGCACCUCGCCUCGUUCAUCACGGUCUGCGAGGCCUUCCUCUGCAUCGAGCCGCACUUUGGCUUAUGGCUGAAGAUCUUCGGCGUUAAGCCGAAGUCUAGCGGCUCCGAUCUGGCGGAGUGUGGAGGGGCCAUGGUCAGCAAGAACCAGAAGGCCGAUUGGUUCGAGGGCACCUUUUUCAAAACGGUCAAGGAAUGGUAGCAGGAGUGAUUUUACAUCACCGAGCCACUCGCAGCCGUCCAGGCCGAAGUCCCAUCCUUUUCGGUUGGGCCCCCGAAGAAGCUCAGGUCCUGGAGGGAGAAGGGCAUCGCCUGGGGGAACCUAGAGGAGGUGGAGGCACUGAUCAAUAAGAUCAAAUAGUGGUCCAACAGAAAAACCUCUAGCUAGCUGACGUAGUAAACGUCAUGCUCCACCGCCUCCUCCUCCCGCUCCAGCUUCGAGCUUCCCUGACGCGGGAGCAUAAGCCCGAUGAAACGGGGCCCUUCCUCAACUUCUUCCACACCACCUUGUCUGGCAUGUGGAAGCGUCUCUUCAAGAUAUCCAAGGACGAGAUCCCCAAGGAAGGGGAGGACCUCGGCACUGGUAAAUGUUUGACACACACAGUUACAUUCUUCCUUUUCUUGUUAAGUGAGACAGAUUUGAUGAAUCGCCUCGCUUCAUAUUCGUAGAAAUGGGCAUCCAAGGCGCAACAAAUGUUGUGCCCGACCCCACCGCCAGAGGGGGAGAGAAACCCCUGCUCACGGCACUCCUAGUCGAGGAGCCGCACAUGGUGAUCCCCAAGGGGCCGAAGUCCCAGAAGGGAAAGGCGGGCCUUAGGACUAGGGACACCUCGGUCACCCAGUCCGUGGAGACCCACACCUCCUCCACCCACGAGGGCGACAUGGGGGAGGAUAAGGAAGAGGCGAACCCUUCCCUUAAAGGUAAGAGGGCGGCGUCAGAGGACGCCAAGGCCGGAACGCGGCCCAAGGGCCAAAAGAGGAUGAGGAGAACCUCGGCCGGGGCCACUGGCAAGUCGUCGGAGAAGAUCAUAAUCUCCGACAAGUUAGAGGACGAUCCCCUCGCUAUGGGAAGGAAGAAACCAGCACCCCGAGGGUACGUCACUAUUCUUUUCUUCAUUUUGCAACAAGUACUCUUAGCAGGAUAAAACUCACAAGAGCAUUUUCCUAUAGUUCGCCAAAGGUGGGCCUCAUCGAAUCCUCAAGCAGGUUGCCAUCUGCCAGCAGGAUACCAGAUCCCGCUACUCCUCCCCAGCUCAAGACGGGCCGACGGAAGCAACGCCUACUCUGGCCCCCCACGUUGACGCGACGGGGGCUGAAGAGUCGGCUUUCAUGGCCGGUGUUGAGACCUCGGUCCCACAAGGCCAAGGGGACAGAGUCCCCGAGGUCGACAAAGAGGGGCUGGGCCAAUCAUCGGCCCAGCCGAAGUCCGCUCCGGCUCCACCGCCGCAGUUGGAGACCCUCAUGCCCAGUACUCCGGUGCCGGGCUCUGAGGUUCUACCCCCUCCUUCCGCCCAAGGGCGGUGAGGGAGUUAUGGACCGAGGGGUCCUCAGGAUGCCAACCCAUGGAAUAUGGGCCGGACUGGUGAAGCCGUAUAGUGAUGGGAGAUCUAUGAAGCUAUGGUGUGCCCUCCAAGUCAAGGAUAGGUAGGAUCUCUUUAUUCCUUAUUGUAAUCUAUCUCUAGUAACCCUAACCCUACAGGUGUCUAUAUAAGCCGAGGGUUGUAGUCUUUAGUGUUAGAGCUAUAUUCAUCACCUCAUCACCGUAGGGUUUAGCUCAUGCUGAUCUCGAGGUAGAUCUACUCUGUAACCAUACUAUACAUCCAAUAUAAUCAAGCAUGACGUAGGGUAUUACCUCUUCGAGCGGGCCUGAACCUGGGUAAAACAUUGUGUUCGUCGUCUCUUGUUACCCAUCGAUCCCAGAUCGACAGCUCGGGACCCCCUACCCCAAGGUCUACCCGUUUUGACACCGACAUUGGUGCUUUCAUUGAGAGUUCUGUUGUGGGGUCGCUUGAAGGAUCGAUGGCUCGCCUGAUCAUAGGAGAAGGCAUCGAAUCCGGGGACUUCUUUGUCCCCGGUCAACUCUUCACGUUCGGCAGCAUCGUGCUGCACGCUAAUCCGACCGGUCAUUUAGGUCGGAUCGACAACUUUGCUCCGGAACACCGAAUUCGAUUUGGCAAUCUGGAAUAUGUUGCGGACAUACGGGGCGAUCUGGUCUUCACCGGAUUCACUGCCCCCGUCCGCACCCUUGCCGGCGCCGCCACGCCCGCUCUGGAGUCUCCCUCUGAUCCGAUGUGUAGAUCGGCCUCCGCCCUUCGAACAGCCUCGAGCCAGGAGGGCUCCGCUCCAAGCGGGGGACAGGCUCCACCUUCGGCCGGAUCCGCCAUGUCUGCGGAGGGCCUGUCCUCGGCCUUCGAGGCGGAAUCAGGAGGCGGAGGCCAAGAGUCAACCUUGGCCGAACCUUCCUGUCACAACGUUCCUCUAAGCCCUUGCGACGAGCCGGCGGCCGAUGGCCAGGGGUCACCCCAGCCCAAAGCAGCUUGAUCUCGAAUCCCAGCGUGGAAACCACACGCAAAAACCAAGGCCCGUCCUUAGUCCCCACUGACAAUCCGGGCCCUCUCAAGGAUCCGACACUGUACCCUGAGUUCAGCUCAGCCUGUGGAAACCAAGGACCGGCCGGGGCAUUGAUUGCCCCUCACCCCAUUACAACGGAAUCUGGCCUAGAGCCCUCAAAUUCGGCGACCCUUGCUAUGUUGAACGAGGUGCUAGACCGAAUCCAGAAAAUGACCAUCCAGGAGGACCUGCCUCCGCCCGCAACCAUCGACCCUUCGAGGCAUACUACGGGGAAUUUUACGUCCCACCCACCACCCACCUGGUAGCCACUGUUGAUGAUUUAACCGAUAUGCUAGAUUAUAAUUCAGAAAACGCCGAAUACAUGGACGAGGAUAGGGGAGCCACGGCUGAAACCGAUGUUGCCCCCCGUCACCGGCCGAUGGUCGACCACGUCCACCAACGAUAUUUACAUGGUGGACACCCCCAAGGACGGCGAUGGCACUCCCAAUCAGGACCGAGACAAACCCGGAGAUGAGCCGCCCAAACGGCUAAAAAAACGUCGUCGAUCAAAGCCACGUCGAAGCCAUACGAGCAAUGUGGACUCUGCGGAGAACGGCACCGCGAAUAGUACGGAUGACCUCGCAGGAGCCGCAGCUAAUGAACAUCAUCGGGAUGACCCCGCAGGGCAGGAGGACCCGUUCAACCCAGAUGACUCCGAGGACAGCAACUACCUCCUACUAUCUGAAGAGGAGGCCAGUCUCGGCGAUGACGAUUUCAUCGUCCCCGAAGACCCGCUGGAGCAGGAACGGUUCAAGUGGAGGAUUCUAGCCACCGCCCGCAGCCUGAAGAAACAAAAGAGAAAAAUCAAGGCGGAGCAGGACACCUCAACAAUCGAUGGACCAUAGUCCUAGCCGCUGAAGAAGGGUACGACCACGAGCAGCCAAUCAAAAGCUAUCCCAAGCGAAGACUGCUGCCGCAAUUCGACGACGAGGCCGUAGAGACAAUACGUCCGACAUACACAUGCGCCAAACAGACGGACCGCCCCCUAGAGGGCGGGACAGAAAAGCUGACGAGGCCGAACACCCCGCCCCCACCUCGUUGUUACGGCAAGGAUCAAGUGCGGCCCGCCUACGAGUACGACCUCCGUCAUGAUCUAGACGCUCGAGGAGGCCGUACCAGGUCCAUCUACGGACCCAGGGAAGAUCCGCCCACUCAAUGGGAAGGAUAUUAUGAUUGGCCGAACCGAAACGACAGAAUCCGGGAGCAGCAGCAGACUCGGAUGUUCGAAGACCUCCGACGUGAUGUAGCCCGAAUUCGGGGCACCACACACCCCUUGUGCUUCACAGAGAGGGUAAUGCAACACCAAUUCCGAGAAGGCUUCAAGCCUGAGAACAUUGAACCAUACGACAGAACCACAGAUCCGGCCAUAUGGAUAGAGGAUUUCCUCCACCACAUUCACAUGGCGCGAGGAGAUGACCUCCACGCUAUCAAAUACCUGCCACUAAAGCUUAAAGGUCCAGCUCGACACUGGUUGAAUAGCCUUCCCGAAGACUCUAUAGGUUGUUGGGAAGAGCUUGAGGACGCGUUUCGAGAGAACUUUCAAGGCACCUAUGUCCGGCAUUCGGAUGCUGACGACCUAAAUCGCAUCACACAACAGCCCAGAGAAUCCGCUCGACAAUUUUGGAACUGAUUCCUGAGAAAGAAAAACCAGAUUGUCGACUAUCCGGAUACCGAAGCCUUGGCCGCUUUCGAGCAUAGUGUCAAGGAUGAAUGACUCGUUAGACAGCUCGGCCAGGACAAGCGAAGAACUAUGGCAGCCCUUACUUCUCUCAUGACCCACUUUUGCGUGGGUGAAGACAGUUGGCUCGCUCGAAAAACCCCGAUACGCCCGAUACCUCUGAGGUUCGGGACUGAAAUGGAAAGCCCCGACGCAGCAAGAGUAAACGUCGCCACAUUGACGGCGAGGGAGAGGACACGGAAGUAAAUGCCGGAUUCCGAAAUCAGAAGUCCGGACCCCGAAAGAAGGCCCCUAAAGGCAAUGACGAUGGCCCAUCCAGACUAGACGCAAUCCUAGACAGGACUUGCCAGAUCCACGACACUCCAGAGAAGCCCGCCAACCACUCCAACCAUAACUGUUGGGUGAUAAAGCAGUCCGGCAAGCUCACAGUCGAAGACUCAGGCAGAAGCCCACAGAGCGAGGACGAUGACGAGCCCGCAGGCUGAAUAAUGGAGGCCAGAAACCCUUUCCUUCCAAGGUCAAGACGGUGAAUAUGAUCUACGCAAUCCACAUACCAAAGAUGGAAAGGAGGCGAGCACUGCGAGACGUAUAUUCUGUCGAGCCCGUAGCGCCAAAGUUCAAUCCAUGGUCAGCCCGCCCGAUCAGUUUCGAUCGCAGGGAUCACCCGACCAGCAUACCCCAUGGAGGAUCCGCAACCUUAGUACUGGACCCCAUCAUCGAUGGAUUCCACCUCACUAGAGUCCCAAUGGACGAGGGCAGUAGCCUCAAUCUGAUAUAUGCAGACACAGUGAGGAAGAUGGGGAUCGAUCCGUCAAGGAUCAAACCCAGUAACACCACCUUCAAGGGGGUCAUCCCUGGAGUGGAGGCCCGCUGCACAGGCACGGUGACGCUUGAAGUAGUGUUCGGCUCUCCGGACAACUUCCGAAGCGAGGACUUGAUCUUCGACAUUGCACCUUUCCGCAACGGCUAUCACGCCCUCCUCGGCCGAACGACGUUCGCCAAGUUUAAUGCCGUUCCACAUUACGCGUACCUCAAGUUGAAGAUGCCUGGUCCUUCGGGUGUCAUAACCAUUAACGACAACACAGAACGCUCACUUCGGGUGUCAUACUCUGUAAUUUUUUGCUUUUUUACAACUAAUGCCUUCGUAGUUCGAAUUGUACGGUUAGACAUCUUGAGCCUAUGAGAAAUAAUAAAAAUGCCCUUUAUGGUGCUCGGAUAUCCGCAUCUUGUGAUUGUCUAUUUCCUUUCCGAUCCCCCCCGCUCUUCGAACAGUCCGACAUGAAAACAUGAUCGGUUAACUAAUCUAGAGCUCGAUUUCCAUAUCAGCUCGGCACCCAAAGUACGACACUGCUUUCUGCUGAGUGUUCGACAUCUCGGAUAUUGCACUAUAUGCAUAACGUUCCGAACUAUGUCUUAGGUCAAUAGUUGGGUUGCCCAGCUCCUGUGCUUUCCCCUUAUGUUUCACAUGUUCGGCUAAUAGGGCAAAGAAAGAACCCCUGCGAUUGUACUUCUGGCUCGCCCGGUCAAGUACAUCAGGAGGAGAAAGCCGAAAACUGACCGUCAUAGUAAGCGCGAACUGAUCAGCGAUCCGAUGACGAGGUUUGACUCUAAAAAUCAUUGGCGAUUUUGCGUGUCACACGAAGGGUUCGUCUUAACACAAACCACGUGAUCAGAAAGGGCAGGCAUUUACCCCAAAGUACAUUGCAAAACACAAGGGGCUAGUCCUUAGCCCCCACUGUCAAGCUCCUAAGGCUAAGUGAAAGCAGUAAAACCGAAUAGUCUGAUUGUCUAGUUUUGCUCACACGCUACCGCCUCCGGGUACCAAGACGUUGGCUAAGGGUAACAUCGCGGAGACAAAGCACCCCUCGUGACAUUCACCUGGGGGCUGAAGCCUACAACUGGUAGCUUUCAGAAUAAACAUACGGCCGAAUAGGAGUCAAAAUUAAAAUCAUAACAAUAUAAAAUAAGUCAGGUGGACGCAUUAUAAAGCAUAAGGUCCAACUAGUAAAAACUUAAUACAAUCAUUCAAGCAUUACAUCUUUUUAACACUAGCCCUCUAUCGCCCGCGUGCCACCCAUCACCUGUGCAAAGUAUUGCUCAGGGCGGCAAUGCUCUUUUCCUUUGGCCAGACGACCAGUGGCCAUGUCCAUUGAAUUAAUCUUUGGCCAAUGCACCAUUGUCUUUGCAAACGCAAGCCUCGCCUCCUCAAGGCACGCUGAGCGCUUCAUGGCGUCAAUCCGGAGUGGUGCCUCCCGCAGCUUCUGCACAAGGCCGAAGUAGGUGUCUGGAAUGGGCUCGGUGGGCCACAUACUGACACAAAGGUCCUUCACGGCCAGCUCGGAAAUCCGAUGCAUCUCCAUCAACUACUUCAUUUGAUUGCUAAGGAGGGGAGCACGCUCAGAAUUAGAAACUGUGACCAGAAGAGCAGUUGCGUGAAGUCCUCCCCGUGAGUAGCAUAGUGCUUCGCCGCGGCCGCCACAUUCUUCGGAAGUUAGGCGAAGACGCUUGCGGAGCGCCAGACCCGCGUCAGUAGGGUGAAUCUAUUGCCUCUGAACACACUCUGUAUUAAGUAUUUCUUACCAUUUGCAAUUCGCCCGACUUGGCGGAGCUCUUCCCGGACACCUCGCACUUCAGUCCUUGCCUCCUGGAGCUCUUUCUCCACCUUGGACAGCUGGGAGGAUCGCUCCUCCUACUCCUUCUCAAGGACCUCCAGCUUCUUGGCGGCAUUCUGGAGCUCCACUUGAACUUCGGUCACUCGAGCCUCGUGCUGCUCACCAGCGAGCUUGGCCUUCUCGAGCUCGGCCACCGCCUUGUCAAUGGCCGUUUUCUUUGCUACCGCCUCUGCCUCGGCUUUCUUCAGGGCCUCUCCCAAGCCCUCGACCUCGGCGGCGGCAGCUACAAGAUCAUCAUGAUAGCAGAUCAGCAUACAGUCCGGAUCAUCAAUAUCCGACAUCAAGCAAAUAUACAUCUUAUCAAAAGGCUUACCUUGCGCCUCGUCAAGCCGUUUGUUGACAAGGUCAAGCUCUUUAUCAGAAUGCUUGAGCUUCUGAUCCAUCUCCUCCAGUGCUGCGGCAUUAGCAGCCGCAGCAACGGAAGAUGCCUGUGUCAGCAAAAGAAAUGUUGACAUUAUUAAUCGGCCUACCAAAUUUGAUCCUCUGCAGGCUUCUCCGAAGUCCUUGUAGAGUCUCGGGGGCAUGUACACGGCCUACCCAAACUAAAGGUGACAACCGCUUUAUGAGAAAAUAGCAUUACUUGACUUACCUCAAAGCCUGUUAGAAGGCCCUGGAUAGCGUUGUUCAGUCCGGAUUGGACGGACCGAACACCUUGCAUGACCGCACUCAUAAGAGUGCGGUGCCCAUCAACGAUGGCAGAGUUGUUCACCAACUCCUCUAGCGCGUCCGGCCAGCCAGCUGUCGCCCGUUUGGAGGUGUUCGGCGCUGGCAUCGGCUUCCCGACCCCUUCUCCACUGGGAAGAGGAACCUGUGCCGUCGAAGGCCUUGGGGGCUUAGGAGCGGACGGCUGAUGGGGUCCGGACGGUCCGGACUCCCUUCCCACAUCAGCCAGGAGGAACACGCCCUCCUGGUCUUCAGUGACCGAGGUGUUAACCUUGGCCAUCAUGGCGUCAACCUCCCCCUCUGUGUUCGGAGGAGGAGGAGUCCUUCGGGACCGCACCUCCCCGACCUCUUCAGGGAUUAGAGGAGGCGUGGAAUGCGCCAUAGACCCACUGUCCGCCAGUUUGGCGGGUGGGGACAUCCCCUCCGAGGUCUGCUCGACGGGGCGGUUGCGUGGAGGACUGCAAUUUUGAGGAGUUAGCCUCCGACCAGAAUGAAUUGCUGAAAAAUGAGGGUAGCUGAAAAUACCAGCCCUAUACCUGCUGGCCGGGGGCUUGAGCCUGGGACCCUUCUUCGGGAUCUCCUCUGACACUUCAGACUCCUCGUCCGAGCUAUCAGACAGGACCAGUUUGGGCCGGUGCUUCCUCUUUAGACCUUGAGGGUGCUAAACCUCUUUGGCCCUCGGACGUCGCCCUCUUCUUAGAGUGCGAGGAGGCACUCUCCUCCUCGUCCUCAUCCUCGCCCCCAUCCUGUACGGAUGAGGCCGCUGUCGGAUUCGGGGCUCCGCAGACCCAAGAAAGGUUCGAACUCUUGUGCGUGUGCAAAGAACUCAACCUCUUCAGCCAACUGGUUCGUCGCCCCCACGGCCUAGCCCGAUGAACAAGCAAGAAGAUGGACACAACCGUUUAGCCAGGUUUGGGCCACCUUGCGGUGUAAUACCCUACUCCUGCUUUGGGUGGAUUAGCCUCACGAGGGGCUGUGGAUGAACUAGUACAGAGCAAGAACAACCUCGCGAGGUCUGCUCUGGUGAAGGGGUGGUGUGUUGCGGUGUGGAAGGAUCGGAUCCCCCUUAUGGUGGUGGCUAGCCUAUAUUUAUAGUGGCCUUGGUCCUCUUCCUCCAAAUGGAGGCGGGAAGGGAUCCCAUAGUGGCCAAUUUUGAAGGGGGACAAGAAGUACAUCCUAUCCUAACGAAAGGUGGUCUUCGCCUGCAAAGCUUCUAGUCGUGACACCGUGGUGGUAUCGGUGAUGACAUCCGUCCUGCCGUCCUGGUGGUCUUGGUCUUGUUGCACGGGAAUGGAAACCUUUGGCUGAUUCCUCGGGACCCCGCACCUGCAUCUGCCUCCUUAGCACCAAAGAGGAAACCUGCUGCUCUGUGCCCGCUGGCGCCCGCCUGGCCUUGGUCGUCUCGGCUUGCGUCACCUCAACCUCAUGAGGUGGGCACCUGCAUAGAAUCUCCGCUCCUCGGGAGCACACCUGAGGAGGCCGCUCCCUCCAGAGGACUUGGCGUCGUCCGCCUCGCGAUGCUUGGCCCCUCGCGAGGGUCAUGUUUUGAAGAUGCUGAAGAUGGGCUGUACCAGGCCGCCGACGGAGCCACGCCGUGGGCCUCAGGCUGGCAAGUCUGGGUACCCUGGUUCCUAGAACGCCGACAGUAGCCCUCGGGCCCAAGGCGCGCUCGGACUUGGCUUCGAGGCGAAGCCAAAGGGCAAGGGCGAAGCACCGCAGGCCCCUAUCGCCUGCGGACCGAGUCGACGCGUGGCACUUGAUGGGACGUGGGCGUCUUGAUGUCUACUACACAACCUUCUUCUUGUAGACGUUGUUGGGCCUCCAAGUGCAGAUGUUUGUAGGACAGUAGCAAAUUUCCCUCAAGUGGAUGACCUAAGGUUUAUCAAUCCGUGGGAGGCGUAGGAUGAAGAUGGUCUCUCUCAAACAACCCUGCAACCAAAUAACAAAGAGUCUUUUGUGUCCCCAACACACCCAAUACAAUGGUAAAUUGUACAUGUGCACUAGUUUGGCGAAGAGAUGGUGAUACAAGUGCAAUAUGGAUGGUAGAUGUGGGUAUUUGUAAUCUGAAAAUAUAAAAACAGCAAGGUAGCAAGUGGUAAACGUGAGCGUAAACGGUAUUGCAAUGCUAGGAAACAAGGCCUAGGGUUCAUACUUUCACUAGUGCAAGUUCUCUCAACAAUAAUAACAUAAUUGGAUCAUAUAACUAUCCCUCAACAUGCAACAAAGAGUCACUCCAAAGUCACUAAUAGCGGAGAACGAACGAAGAGAUUAUUGUAGGGUACGAAACCACCUCAAAGUUAUUCUUUCUGAUCGAUCUAGUCAAGAGUCCGUAGUAAAAUAACACGAAGCUAUUCUUUCCGUUCGAUCUAUCAUAGAGUUCGUACUAGAAUAACACCUUAAGACACAAAUCAACCAAAACCCUAAUGUCACCUAGAUACUCCAAUGUCACCUCAAGUAUCUGUGGGUAUGAUUAUACGAUAUGCAUCACACAAUCUCAGAUUCAUCUAUUCAACCAACACAAAGAACUUCAAAGAGUGCCCCAAAGUUUCUACCGGAGAGUCAAGACGAAAACGUGUGCCAACCCCUAUGCAUAAGUUCACAAGGUCACUGAACCCGCAAGUUGAUCACCAAAACAUACAUCAAGUAGAUCACGUGAAUAUCCCAUUGUCACCACAGAUAAGCACAUGCAAGACAUACAUCAAGUGUUCUCAAAUCCUUAAAGACUCAAUCCGAUAAGAUAACUUCAAAGGGAAAACUCAAUCCAUUACAAGAGAGUAGAGGGGGAGAAAGAUCAUAAGAUCCAACUAUAAUAGCAAAGCUCGCGAUACAUCAAGAUCGUGCCGAAUCAAGAACACGAGAGAGAGAGAGAUCAAACACAUAGCUACUGGUACAUACCCUCAGCCCCGAGGGUGAACUACUCCCUCCUUGUCAUGAAGAGCACCGGGAUGAUGAAGAUGGCCACCAGUGAUGGAUCGCCCUCCGGCAGGGUGCCGGAACGGGGCCCCGAUUGGUUUUUGGUGGGUAUAGAGGUUUGCGGCGGCGGAACUCCUGAUCUAGGUUUAUUUUAUAUUUAUAGGGAUUUUUGGCAUCGGGAACAAGUCAGGAGGGGUCUCCGAGGCGGCCACGAGGUAGGGGGGCGUGCGCAGGGGGGUAGGGCGCCCCCACCCUCGUGGGUGCCUCGGGACUCUUCUGUCCCAUCUCCGAUACUCCGUGGGCUUCUUCUGGUCCAAAAAUAAUCUCCAUGAAAUUUCAGGUCAAUUGGACUCCGUUUGGUUUUCCUUUUCUGCGAUACUCAAAAAACAAGGAAAAAAAACUGGCGCUGGGCUCUAGGUUAAUAGGUUAGUCCAAAAAAUCAUAUAAAAUAGCAUAUAAAUGCAUAUAAAACAUCCUAGAUGGAUAAUAUAAUAGGAUGGAACAAUCAAAAAUUAUAGAGUGGAGACGUAUCACGUCUCCACUUCCCCACACUGCCUCGACAACUUCCCGACCUGACAACACCUUGAUGCAUGCAAGAAAACCAUCAUCACUUGGAACCGCGAGAGGCCGGCGAUUGGCCUUCCUUGGCUAUAAAUGCGAGAGGGGGCGGAACCCCCCGGCUCAUCUUCGUCUUCUUGUUGCUUGCUCCUACUUUGUCCCACCGUCCUGAUAGAGCGUCCAUGGCGCUAGUGAGGGGGUUUUCCGCCAUGGAGAAGGGAAAAACCCCUUAGGUGGAACCUGAGCUACUCGCGCCGAAGAAGAGGCUUGAUUGCUCUCGUGACAUUGCCGCGGCGCCCGUGGUGACGCGGCCUUGGGACGAACGCGCUCCAUCGGGCUUCCCGGUCCCCGUGUACGCUUGCGCGCGGAGCCCCACCCAUGGGAGUGGUGCCAGACGCCGCGAGGAACAGAGCCGCGGAGGAGAACAAGCGGUGGCAGUAUGGCCACCCUGCUCGCGGACCCAUGCUGAAGGCACGGCCCACGAGUUCGUGGUGUGGGUGGCAAUGCCGCCGCGCACCUGGAUCCGGCUCCCGCGGUCCUUCGCGAGGGAGAUACCGCCGAGAGGGCCUGUCGAGUUGUGGCUGCUACGCGACGGAUGCUAUGGCCAGGCUUCUGAAGUGGAAGUCGAGGUCAUCGACUCCGGCGAUGUCUUCAUGACCCGGGGAUGGGGGGCGAUCGCCCGCGCCUGCCGCCCGGAGGGAGGCCACGCCAUCCAUUUUGAGUACGACGGAGCCUCGAUGCUCUCCUUCAAGGCCUUCGGCGAGGAAGGCUGGCACCUGGAAUGCUGCCCCAGGGGAGGCGGCCAAGGCGGCUAGGCCACUGGUGGUGAACUUGCCCUUGGCCUUGUUCGCGACACCUCCGACAGUAGCGGCGCCUCAUCCGGACCGGAAUUGAGCGACAACGAUAGCUACGAGCCACCGCGCCGCUGCGGCCGGACCUAGGGGGAGGAAUAACGCUAUCCCGGUGUUGUUGAUGAUGUCGCCCAGGCUAUGGCUCUUAGGGGUUUUUUUCAUUUUGCUUCACUUCUGCAUAAAACCAUAACGAGCCCCGUGGGGGUAUGUAAAAAAACUAUGACACUCGCACUUUAAUGCUAUCAUUUCUGGUUCGAUGUCGUGCUUGCAUCUCUCGCUUUGGCAUGGUUCCCCCUUUCGUUCCUGCGAUAGCUUAGUGCUCUACGCCGACAUGACCCAGUCCACAGGCAAGCUUCGGCCGUCGCUGGUAUGCCAGGUCAUGAUGCCAUGGUCAAGGCCAGGAGGUAAGCAGCCCGAGGUCCAGUAAGAGCCCCUGAGGCGCGAUGCUCAGGAGGUCCACUUUGGCGCGCAAGCGGCUCUUGAAAGGAUGAACGGGAAAUGUCCUUGCUCGAGCGAGAUCGCUAGAGACAAAACGCGGAUUGUGAGGUUCGUGCCGUCAUACGAGAGGUGACUUAUCUUGGCGGGCCUGCGGUAAUUUCUUCUUUGCAAGGACAAUCUUCUUGCCUGGCGUUAAGUUAUGUCUUCCUCCUGAUGGCGCCUCUGGGCAGGGCUCGUGCCAACCCCAUCUCUCUCGCUCGUCUGGGUGCUCUACAUCGUCGGGUCCCGACCCUCGAGCAAGGCUUUGCCGCCGCUGGUAUGCCAGGUCGCGAUGCCGUGGUCAAGGCCAGGGGUUGAGGGCCCGAGAGCCAGUAGGAGCCCUUGAGGCGCGGUGCUCAAGCCCCCCCUUUAACGUGCAAGUGACUUGCGCGAGAGAAGGAAUGGCUGGCUCUGAGGGGGUGCUCCAGGAGGUGUUGCGCCCCGAGAGGCGGGCGAAGCUGCUAGUGGUCCCCGCUCCGGAAGUUCCUACGAGUUAGCCAAAAAUAGGAAAAUACGGCAUGCAGCCGCGCUUGCCAUCCCGCCGAUGAUCUUUCCGGAAGAGGACGAAGGCACUAAGGACCCGGUGAGGUGACGUGCGCUGGCCGGGCCGCGAGCCAGAGCUUAGUCUCUUAGGUUUAUCAGCACUACAGGGACAUACCCGAGCACAGGCGCCGUGCCAGUAGCUCCCGUUGCGGGAUGAGCAAGAGGCCGGUUUAGCAAGGCGCAGAGGCUGCGAGUGGUGACUCCAUAGAUAACGAAACGGUAGGAGAAAUACCAACAACCAUGACAACUGGAGCAUGCAUAACUGGUUCGGAGCACAUGAAUCGAAAUGGUGCAGCUACAGGGGCCGGCCCUGACAGCCCGAGGAUAAUGCAGCUCGUGGGGCGCCCUCAAUUGAACAAACCAAAAAGUCACCUAGCAACGUCGCUGUAGAAGUGUUGCAGUGGCUGAAGACGCGCGCUGCAGAACUCGCUCCUCACAAGCCGACUGGCUCCUGAGCCCCAGGGGGCUCUGGAGGUCCGGCGGGCUCACGAAGUUCCGGCAUCUCCAUUGUCAGGAUCGCCUGGCGCGUGGCCUCGUGAGCUGCCAGAAUGCUCUGCAUGUGGUGCUGGUGCGAGGCAGCUGCGUUCGGCAGGACAAACGACAUGCGGACGUAGCUGUGGGGGCGGCCUUCACACUGACCGACGCGGGACGGCAAGAAGAGCUCCUGAGGAGCGGCCCUAUUGAGGCCUGGGAUAUUGACGCAGACGCACAGCUCGCCGCCCACGUCAGAGGUGGCAGCUGCACUGGGUGUUGUGGAGCGACGCUCGCCACGCAUGGCUCUCGCCCCGUGCCUUGAUACGUCUCCAACGUAUCUAUAAUUUUUGAUUGCUCCAUGCUAUAUUAUCUACCAUUUUGGACAUUAUUGGGCUUUAUUAUUCACUUUUAUAUUACUUUUGGGACUAACCUAUUAACCGGAGGCCCAACCCAGAAUUGCUGUUUUUGCCUAUUUCAGAGUUUCGGAGAAAAGGAAUAUCAAAUGGAGUCCAAACGGAAUGAAACCUUCGGGAACGUGAUUUUUAGGAAGAAUAUGAUCCAGGAGACUUGGACCCUACGUCAAGAAACAAAAGAGGAGGCCACGAGGUAGGGGGCGCGCCUACCCCCCAGGGCGCGCCCUCCACCCUCUUGGGCCCCCUGUUGCUCCACCGACGUACUCCUUCCUCCUAUAUAUACCUACGUACCCCCAAACGAUCAGAUACGGAGCCAAAAACCUAAUUCCACCACCGCAACCUUCUGUACCCACAAGAUCCCAUCUUGGGGCCUGUUUCGGAGCUCCGCCGGAGGGGGCAUCCAUCACGGAGGGCUUCUACAUCAACACCAUAGCCUCUCCGAUGAAGUGUGAGUAAUUUACCUCAAACCUUCGGGUCCAUAGUUAGUAGCUUGAUGGCUUCUUCUCUCCUUUUGGAUCUCAAUACAAUGUUCUCCCCCUCUCUCGUGGAGAUCUAUUCGAUGUAAUCUUCUUUUGCGGUGUGUUUGUUGAGACCGAUGAAUUGUGGAUUUAUGAUCAAGUUUAUCUAUGAACAAUAUUUGAAUCUUCUGAAUUCUUUUAUGUAUGAUUGGUUAUCUUUGAAAGUCUCUUCGAAUUAUCAGUUUGGUUUGGCCUACUAGAUUGAUCUUUCUUGCAAUGGGAGAAGUGCUUAGCUUUGGGUUCAAUCUUGCAAGGCACGCAUUGUAUUGUUGCCAUCGAGGAUAACAAGAUGUUUUUUUAUCAUAUUGCAUGAAUUUAUCCCUCUACAUCAUGUCAUCUUGCUUAAGGCGUUACUCUGUUUUCAUGAACUUAAUACUCUAGAUGCAUGCUGGAUAGCGGUCGAUGAGUGGAGUAAUAGUAGUAGAUGCAGGCAGGAGUCGGUCUACUUGUUUCAGACGUGAUGCCUAUAUACAUGAUCAUACCUAGAUAUUCUCAUAACUAUGCUCAAUUCUGUCAAUUGCUCAACAGUAAUUUGUUCACCCACCGUAAAAUACUUAUGCUCUUGAGAGAAGCCACUAGUGAAACCUAUGGCCCCCGGGUCUAUCUUCAGCAUAUUAAUCUUCCAACACUUAGGUAUUUCCUUUGAUUUUUACUUUGCUUUUAUUUUACUUUGCAUCUUUAUCAUAAAAAUACCAAAAAUAUUAUCCUAUCAUAUCUAUCAGAUCUCACUCUCGUAAGAGACCGUGAAGGGAUUGACAACCCCUUAUCGCGUUGGUUGCGAGGAUUUAUUUGUUUUGUGUAGGUGCGAGGGACUCGCGCGUAGCCUCCUACUGGAUUGAUACCUUGGUUCUCAAAAACUGAGGGAAAUACUUACGCUACUUUGCUGCAUCACCCUUUCCUCUUCAAGGGAAAACCAACGCAGUGCUCAAGAGGUAGCAUGCCCUAUUCAUGGAAGCGCGCAUUGAAGCACGCCUCCACAUGGUGCCUGAAUGCCUCCCUCGUGACGCUGGUCAGGUCAGAGGCCCUCCAGAGGAGAGCCCCCGAGCCCGUCCUAAGAGGGGCGCCGGGCGCGCCUCCCUAUGCGAGAGGGGAAGGCGCCCCAGCGGUGGGCGCAGGACCUGAGGUUCGAUCGUCAACCGCCAUGCCUCCAGGUGGCCCCUGAGGAGCAGCUGAUAACCCACAAGUAUAGGGGAUCAAUUGUAGCCUCUUUCGAUAAGUAAGAGUGUCGAACCCAACAAGGAGCUAAAGGUAGAACAAAUAUUCCCUCAAGUUCUACCGACCACCGAUACAACUCUACGCACGCUUAACGUUCACUUUACCUAAAACAAGUAUGAAACUAGAAGUACUUUGUAGGUGUUUUUGGAUAGGUUUGGAAGAAUAUAAAGAGAGCGUAAAUAAAAGCUAGGGUCUGUUUUAAGUAAAGAAGCAAUACAGUUAGUAUAGCGAGUGUGGAAAAGUGGUGGUAGGAGUUGUGAAAUUGUCCCUAAGCAAUUGACUACUUUACUAGACCGAUAGCAAGUUUUAUGUGGGAGAGGCCACUACUAGCAUGUCAUCCCUGACUUGGAAUUCUAUGCACGUAUGAUUGGAACUAUUAGCAAGCAUCCGCAACUACUAACACUCAUUAAGGUAAAACCCAACCAUAGCAUUAAGAUAUAUUGGUCCCCCUUCAAUCCCGUAUGCAUCAAUUUCUAUGCUAGGUUGAAGCUUCUGUCACUCUUGCCCUCCAAUACAUAGUCCUAUCAACAUACAACUAACCCUAUAGUGUGAUCCACGCGCGUGCUCAUAUGAUGGGCACCAAAGGACAGCAACAUAACCACAAGCAAAUUAAACCAAUCAUAGCAAUUCAUCAAUCACCGAAAGGACAACGAAAAUCUACUCAGACAUCAUAGGAUGGCAACACAUCAUUGGAUAAUAAUAUGAAGCAUAAAGCACCAUGUUCAAGUAGAGGGUACAGCGGGUUGCGGGAGAGUGGACCGCUGUAGAUAGAGGGGGGAAGGUGAUGGAUAUGUUGGUGAAGAUGGCGAUGAUGAUGGCCGCGGCGGUGUUCCGGCGCCACCGGAAGAGAGGGGGAGAGAGCCCCCCUUCUUCUUCUUCCUUGACCUUCUCCCUAGAUGGGAGGAGGGUUUCCCCUCUGGUCCUUGGUCUCCAUGGCGUGGGAGGGGCGAGAGCCCCUCCGAGAUUGGAUCUGUCUCUCUAUCUCUCUCUGUUUCUGCGUUCCCAGAUCUGGCCUUUCACCGUUUCUUUUAUAACCGGAGAUCCGUAACUCCGAUUAGGCUGAAUUUUGGACACGAUCUCUAUCCGGAAAUUAGCUUUCUUGCGGCGAAAGAAGGGCUCCAACCGCCUUACGGGGUGGCCACGAGGGUCCAGGGUGCGCCCCCUGCCUCGUGGCCCCCUCGGGCAUCGUAUCGCGUUGAUUCUUCUUCCCAAAAAUCACAUAUAUUCCAAAAAAAAAUCUCCGUCAGUUUUUAUUCCGUUUGGACUCCGUUUGAUAUGGAUUUUCUGCGAAAGAAAAAACAUGCAACAAACAGGAACUGGCACUGGGCACUGGAUCAAUAUGUUAGUCCCAAAAAUAGUAUAAAAAGUUGCCAAAAGUGCAUGAAAGUUGUAUAAUAUUGGCAUGGAACAAUAAAAAAUUAUAGAUACGACGGAGACGUAUCAGCAUCCCCAAGCUUAAUUCCUGCUCGUCCUCGAGUAGGUAAAUGAUAAAAAAGAUAAUGUUUGAUGUGGAAUGCUACCUAGCAUAAUCUUGAUCAUGUAUCUAAUCAUGGCAUGAAUAUUAAGACACGAGUGAUUCAAAGCAAUAGUCUAUCAUUUGACAUUAAGACAAUAAUACUUCAAGCAUACUAAUAAAGCAAUCAUGUCUUUUCAAAAUAACAUGGCCAAAGAAAGUUAUCCCUACAAAAUCAUAUAGUCUGGCUAUGCUCCAUCUUCACCACACAAAAUAUUGAAAUCAUGCACAACCCCGAUGACAAGCCAAGCAAUUGUUUCAUACUUUUGACGUUCUCAAACCUUUUCAACUUUCACGCAAUACAUGAGCGCGAGCCAUGGACAUAGCACUAUAGGUGGAAUAGAAUAUGAUGGUGGAGGUUGUGUGGAGAAGACAAAAAAGGAGAAAGCCUCACAUCAACGCGGCUAAUCAACGGGCUAUGGAGAUGCCCAUCAAUUGAUGUCAAUGUGAGGAGUAGGGAUUGCCAUGCAACGGAUGCACUAGAGCUAUAAGUGUAUGAAAGCUCAAACUGAAAACUAAGUGGGUGUGCAUACAACUUGCUUGCUCAUGAAGACCUCAGGCAUUUGAGGAAGCCCAUCAUCGGAAUGUACAAGCCAAGUUCUAUAAUGAAAAUUCCCACUAGUAUAUGAAAGUGAUAACUCAAGAGACUCUCUAUAUGAAGAACAUGGUGCUACUCUGAAGCACAAUUGUGGUAAAAGGAUAGUAACAUUGCCCCUUCUCUCUUUUUCUCUCAUUUUUUUGUUUUUUUGUUUUUUUUCUCUUUUUUUGUUUUGUUUUGGUGGGCUUCUUUGGCCUCUUUUUUCUAUUUGGUCUUGUUUGGCCUCUUUUAUUUAUUUUUAAAGUCCGGAGUCUCAUACCUACUUGUGGGGGAAUCAUAGUCUCCAUCAUCCUUUCCUCACUGGGGCAAUGCUCUAAUAAUGAUGAUCAUCACACUUUUAUUUACUUACAACUCAAUAUUACAACUCGAUGUCUAGAACAAAUAUAUGACUCUAUAUGAAUACCUCAGGUGGCGUACCAGGAUGUGCAAUGAUCUAGCAUAGCAAUGACAUCAAAAACCGGACAAGCCAUGAAAACAUCAUGCUAGCUAUCUUACGAUCAUGCAAAGCAAUAUGACAAUGAAUGCUCAAGUCAUGUAUAUGAUGAUGAUGGAAGUUGCAUGGCAAUAUAUCUCGGAAUGGCUAUGGAAAUGCCAUGAUAAGUAGGUAUGGUGGCUGUUUUGAGGAAGAUAUAAGGAGGCUUAUGUGUGAUAGAGCGUAUCGUAUCACGGGGUUUGGAUGCACCAGCGAAGUUUGCACCAACUCUCGAGGUGAGAAAGGGCAAUGCACGGUACCGAAGAGGCUAGCAAUGAUGGAAGGGUGAGAGUGCGUAUAAUCCAUGGACUCAACAUUAGUCAUAAAGAACUCACAUACUUAUUGCAAAAAUCUAUUAGUCAUUGAAACAAAGUACUACGCGCAUGCUCCUAGGGGGAUAGAUUGGUAGGAAAAGACCAUUGCUCGUCCCCGACCGCCACUCAUAAGGAAGAAAAUCAAUAAAUAAAUCAUGCUCCGACUUCAUCACAUAGCGGUUCACCAUACGUGCAUGCUAGGGGAAUCACAAACUUCAACACAGGUAUUUCUACAAUCCCCAACUACCCACUAGCAUGACUCUAAUAUCACCAUCUUUAUAUCGCAAAACUAUUGCAAGGAAUGAAACAUAUCAUAUUCAGUGAUCUACAAGUUCUAUGUAGGAUUUUAUGACUAACCAUGUGAAUGACCAAUUCCUGUCAUCUCUCUAAAUAGAUAUAAGUGAAGUAAGAGAGUUUAAUUCUUUCUACAAAAGAUAUGCCCACACUCUAACAAGUAUAAGUGAAGCAAAAGAGCAUUCUACAAAUGGCGGUUUUCUAUGUGAAGAGAAACAGGCAAUCCAAACUUCAAAUGAUAUAAGUGAAGCACAUGAAGCAUUCUAUAAAGCCAUACUCAAAAGGUAUAAGUGAAGUGCAAUGAGCAUUCUAUAAAUCAACCAAGGACUAUCUCAUACCAGCAUGGUGCAUAAAAGAAAAAUGAAAACUAAAUGCAAAAGACGCUCCAAGAUUUGCACAUAUCGCAUGAACGAAACGAAUCCGAAAACAUACCGAUACUUGUUGAAGAAAGAUGGGAUGCCUACCGGGGCAUCCCCAAGAUUAGACGCUUGAGUCUCCUUGAAUAUUUACUUGGGGUGCCUUGGGCAUCCCCAAGCUUGAUCUCUUGCCUCUCCUCCUUAUCCUCAUAUCGAAACAUCCUCGAUCUUCGAACACUUCAUCCACACAAAACUUCAACAGAAAACUCGGUAAGAUCCGUUAGUAUAGUAAAGCAAAUCACUACUCUAAGUACUGUUGCAAACCAAUUCAUAUUUUGUUUUUUCAUUGUAUCUACUGUAAUAUAACUUUUCCAUGGCUUAAUCCACUGAUAUAAAUCGAUAGUUUCAUCAAAACAAGCAAACUAUGCAUAAAAAACAGAAUCUGUUUUAAACAGGACAGUCUGUAAUAAUCUGAACAUUCACCAUACUUCUGAUACUCCAAAAAUUCGGCCAAAAUUAGGAAAAAUAAAAAAUUUGUAUAGAAAGACAGUGCAAAAAGUUUCAGAACCAUUUGACAUUCCAGUAAAAAAAAUGUAAAAUCGCUCACUACAGCCAAAGUUUCUGUCCUGCACCGUACAAACCAACAAGCAUUGUAAACAUCCUAAAGGCAAACCUUGGCACAUUAUUUUUAUAAUACAAUGGAAUUGUACAAGGGGAUAAUUAUUUUUGUUGAAAAGUUUCUGUAAUCAAGAUUCACAAAGUUUCCGUGAGCAUGAACAAAGUUCAAGGAGCUCCCCCACUUCAACAAUGCUUGUCUCUCUCACUUUCACUUUCCUUUUUGAAAAAGUUUUGGGUUCCCCUCUUUAUUUUUUUGUUUUUAAACUAUAUAAAAGCACUCAACAGAAAUAAAUGACUCUCUAAAACUUCCGGGUUGUCUCCCUAGCAGCGCUUUCUUUAAAGCCAUUAAGCUAGGCAUCUAGUGCUCAAGUAAUGGAUCCACCCGGAUCCCAAGGUAUAUCAAAGCCAAUUUUAAUUAAUAAUGAUUUGUAAUUUAGUAGUGAGCACAAAGUAACGUAUAUCAUGUAAUGACGAAGUCUAACUCUCUUCCUAUGCAUCGGCAUGUCAUAGAAGAACAAUUCAUGCACACAUAGUAAAGGCCAAUGCAUAGUAUAAACAGUUUCUUGCAAUUUUAUCGUGUUGGAAACAUGGAGAGGCGGAGAUGUAGUUCCUCUCUCAUAAUAAUUGCAAGUAGGAGCAGCAAGCAGCAAGCACAUGCAUAUUAUAUCUAUCAAAAUCAUCAUGUGCAACGGUAGAAGGCAACCCAUCAAUAUAAUCCUUAAUAAGAGCAAACUUCUCCGAUAUAGUGUAGUUUGGAGAAUUCAAAAAGAUAAUAGGACUAUCAUGCGUGGGUGCAAUAGCAACAAUUUCAUGUUUAACAUAAGGAACUACAGCAAGUUCAUCUCCAUAAGAAUAAUUCAUAUUGGCAUCUUGGCCACAAGCAUAGCAAGCAUUAUCAAAAAGGGAUAUUUCAAGAGAAUCAACGGGAUCAUAAUAGUUAUCAUAGCAAUCAUCCUUCGGUAAGCACAAAGGGAAAUUAAACAAUGUAUGAGUUGAAGAGUUACUCUCAUUAGAAGGUGGGCACGGGUAGCUAAUCUGCUCUUCCUCCUUUUGUUCUUCGCUCUCCUCCUCAUCUUUUUCAUCCAAUGAGCUCACAGUUUCAUCAAUUUCUGCUUCCAUAGAUUCCUGCAAAAUAUUAGUCUCUUCUUGGACAGCGGAGACUUUCUCAAUAAAUGCAUCAAUAUCGGAAUUGAAUUCAUAAUUGGCAUAACAAUAUUUAAGGAUAGCUAAAUUUUUAGGUCUAUAAACAGCAUCAUAAAGAUUUUCAAACUCUUUGAACAUAGAUUCAAUUUCAUAAGCACCCAUAAAAGCAACAAAUUCUUCUAUUUGUUCCACAUCAUAGUAAUCAUAUAUACCUCUAGCAUAAGAAGCUAAGGUUUUAUUAUCAUUAAAUUUGCAUGAAAAGGGAAGGUGUGGAGCCUUCAUCCUAGAGCAACAAGUAUAAUCAUAUCUCAAGCAUAGUUGCCUAGCAUACCACUUCAACAUAUGAGUUUGAUCCCAUAAUAGUUUCCCUUUUUGAGUCAAGCGAUAAUCCCUAAAGUAUUCACGUUGAUCCAACAUGUCUCCCAUUACAUAAUUGAAUGGGGUUUUCUCGGGAUUAUCAGAGUAGUACAUAAUAUCUUUCACAUAAUGAGCAUCGAGGGUUUUAAGAGGUUCCCCAUCUCCAUGAGUAGCAAGUAAACCUAUUUUUUGGUAUUUCGUGUUCCAUAUCCAUAACUAAAGAUAAAGAACAACUAAGAACAGCAAAUAAAAAUUACUUAGUGAUAAAGCAAACAAGCACACACGAGAAUAUUCACCCCACGCUAUGACUCCCCGGCAACGGCGCCAGAAAAAGGUCUUGAUAACCCACAAGUAUAGGGGAUCAAUUGUAGCCUCUUUCGAUAAGUAAGAGUGUCGAACCCAACGAGGAGCUAAAGGUAGAAAAAAUAUUCCCUCAAGUUCUACCGACCACCGAUACAACUCUACGCACGCUUAACAUUCGCUUUACCUAAAACAAGUACGAAACUAGAAGUACUUUGUAGGUGUUUUUGGAUAGGUUUGCAAGAAUAUAAAGAGAGCGUAAAUAAAAGCUAGGGGCUGUUUUAAGUAAAGAAGCAGUACAUGUAGUAUAGCGAGUGUGGAAAAGUGGUGGUAGGAGUUGCGAAAUUGUCCCUAAGCAAUUGACUACUUUACUAGACCGAUAGCAAGUUUUAUGUGGGAGAGGCCAUUGCUAGCAUGUCAUCCCUGACUUGGAAUUCUAUGCACGUAUGAUUGGAACUAUUAGCAAGCAUCCGCAACUACUAACGUUCAUUAAGGUAAAACACAACCAUAGCAUUAAGAUAUAUUGGUCCCCCUUCAAUCCCGUAUGCAUCAAUUUCUAUGCUAGGUUGAAGCUUCUGUCACUCUUGCCAUCCAAUACAUAGUCCUAUCAACAUACAACUAACCCUAUGGUGUGAUCCACGCGCGCGCUCAUAUGAUGGGCACCAAAGGACAGCAACAUAACCACAAGCAAAUUAAACCAAUCAUAGCAAUUCAUCAAUCACCAAAAGGACAACGAAAAUCUACUCAGACAUCAUAGGAUGGCAACACAUCAUUGGAUAAUAAUAUGAAGCAUAAAGCACCAUGUUCAAGUAGAGGGUACAGCGGGUUGCGGGAGAGUGGACCGUUGUAGAUAGAGGGGGGAAGGUGAUGGACAUUUUGGUGAAGAUGGCGGAGGUGUUGGUGAAGAUGGCGAUGAUGAUGAUGGCCGCGUCGGUGUUCCGGCGCCACCGGAAGAGAGGGGGAGAGAGCCCCCCUUCUUCUUCUUCUUCUUCCUUGACCUUCUGCCUAGUUGGGAGGAGGGUUUCCCCUCUGGUCCUUGGUCUCCAUGGCGUGGGAGGCGCGAGAGCCCCUCCGAGAUUGGAUCUGUCUCUCUAUCUCUCUCUGUUUUUGCGUUCCCAGAUCUGGCCUUUCACCGUUUCUUUUAUAACUGGAGAUCCGUAACUCCGAUUGGGCUGAAUUUUGGACACAAUCUCUAUCCGGAAAUUAGCUUUCUUGCGGCGAAAGAAGGGCUCCAACCGCCUUACGGGGUGGCCACGAGGGUCCAGGGCGCGCCUGACCCUCUGGGGCGCGCCCCCUGCCUUGUGGCCCCCUCGGCAUCGUAUCGCGUUGAUUCUUCUUCCCAAAAAAUCACAUAUAUACCAAAAAAAAUCUCCUUCAGUUUUUAUUCUGUUUGGACUCCGUUUGAUAUGGAUUUUCUGCGAAACAAAAAACAUGCAACAAACAGGAACUGGCACUGGGCACUGGAUCAAUAUGGUAGUCCCAAAAAUAGUAUAAAAAGUUGCCAAAAGUACAUGAAAGUUGUAUAAUAUUGGCAUGGAACAAUCAAAAAUUAUAGAUACGACGGAGACGUAUCAGCAGCCGGUGCACCUGAAGAUGGUCAGGAGUUUCAAGUUCAUCAUUCUUCGUCCUUUUUUCUUCUCCGGUGGAUUCAAGUCAAGUUUUCGGUAUUGAUCAUAUUCCCUUCCUUGUUUCAAAUGUUUUCUCAUGCCGGUGCACCUCUUAAUCAUCCACCUCUUGCUAUUCAUGUUUAUCUGGAGUGCUAAAGAUAUCCCAGAAGAUUCAAGUUUCUAUUCAUAAUCCUUUCAAGCUAUUUCUAGGUCUUACCUUAUUCAAGCCAUUUAAUUCAACCGGCGCAAUCUCUCUUAUAAAUCGUUCAACGGUGUCUCUUUUCAGUGGGCCCUAACCCACAGGUCUUUUCCAGGAUCUUACCUGACUCUUCUAAUUCUUCCCGGAGCUAUUCCCAAAUUCAUUUCAAAGUUUGACGUAAGAAUGAGUUAUCAUCAGUCAAAUGUCUUUCUCCAAGAUCUUUCAAUUCUUUUCAUCGUUCGUUCAAUCUUUCUAAUUUUCAUUCCGGAGUGCCUCAACAAUUCAUAGUGGUGUCUCUUGUCGUGAUUCUCUGCAUUUGAAAACUGAAGAAGAUUUUCUCUUAAAUCUUGCUCCGUUCUCUUAAAGAUGCAUAGUUCAAGCUUGAUGCCAUCCUCUCAUAAUUGUUUUUCGAUUGUGAGAAUUCUUUUCACCCAUCCGGUGCAAUUCAGGAGUAUUUUCAGUUUGAUUCUCCGGGACCCAUCAUCUCAGAAUUAUUCAUUCCAGCUUUCAGCUCUUGUUCCCCAAAUCUUACCGGUGCAUCAUUCAAAUAUCCUCUAAUCAGUUCACGAUCUCUUCGUUCUCAUGUAUCUAAAUCCCCUCAAGUAUCUUCUUUCGUUUUCUAAUUCUUUCCAGUGAAUUGUGCCCUUGCUACUUUCAUUUUCAAUUCUUACGGUGGUUCGUUCAAGAUUUCUCUUCCUUCAUUAUCAUAUCAAUUUAUUCGUUGUUUCAAUCCUACCGGUGGUUCGUUGAUGUAACAUCCCAAAUUUCCAAUUUGGAAUGUUAUACAUAGAUCAUCAUUGCAUAUCAUGUUUUAUUGCAUUUUGACAAAUCCUCGAUAAAUCCUAAGCAACUCAAGGACCCUCGGAGAGAGUUGGGGAUUUUCUUAAAUUUUCAUAUUUGAUUUUCAUCAAAUAAUAAGACGAGGAUUUUGGGUUUUAAUUAUUUUCUCUCCGGAAAAAUAUUUCAUUUUUUAAAAAUAAACGAGAGGAGAAAAUAUGACUUCUCAAAAACAAGUGAAAUACUGGAGAAAAAGUGUUAAAAUCAUUUAUUGGAUUUAUUUGGAUUUUAUUUGCAUUAAAAAUAUUGCAUGUUUUCAAAAUAUUUAUUUUGUGUUAAAAAAUGUUCACCCUAUUCUAGAUUUUCUAACUAGACGGGGAAAAUUUAUUUUUUAUUUUUCUGGUUUUUAUUUAUUUUUCUACGAUUUAUUUACCGCGGAACUUAUUUAAAAAAAAACGCGCGACGCCCGCUGGGCCGCAGCCCAGCCGAGCGCCGGCCCGCCCGCGCCUCUCUCCUUCUCCCGCACGGCGCCCGCCGCCGGAGUCCGCCAUGGCCACGGAGCUCGCCUCCCGCUCGGCCACCCCCUCCCCCAAGCCACCCUGGACCCCCCCUCUUUAAAUACCCCCCUCUCUCUUUCCUCUCAAGCCGCCGCCGCCGCACUCAUCGCCGCCGCCGCCCGCACUUGCCGCCGCCGCCNNNNNNNNNNNNNNNNNNNNNNNNNNNNNNNNNNNNNNNNNNNNNNNNNNNNNNNNNNNNNNNNNNNNNNNNNNNNNNNNNNNNNNNNNNNNNNNNNNNNNNNNNNNNNNNNNNNNNNNNNNNNNNNNNNNNNNNNNNNNNNNNNNNNNNNNNNNNNNNNNNNNNNNNNNNNNNNNNNNNNNNNNNNNNNNNNNNNNNNNNNNNNNNNNNNNNNNNNNNNNNNNNNNNNNNNNNNNNNNNNNNNNNNNNNNNNNNNNNNNNNNNNNNNNNNNNNNNNNNNNNNNNNNNNNNNNNNNNNNNNNNNNNNNNNNNNNNNNNNNNNNNNNNNNNNNNNNNNNNNNNNNNNNNNNNNNNNNNNNNNNNNNNNNNNNNNNNNNNNNNNNNNNNNNNNNNNNNNNNNNNNNNNNNNNNNNNNNNNNNNNNNNNNNNNNNNNNNNNNNNNNNNNNNNNNNNNNNNNNNNNNNNNNNNNNNNNNNNNNNNNNNNNNNNNNNNNNNNCCUCGCGCCCCCCCCGAGCCCUCGCCGCCCCUCGCACCCCGCCGCCCGAGCCCGGAGCCCCGCCGGAGCCCUCGCCGGAGCCGCCCGACGAGGUACUGCCGCUGCCCGUUCGUCGUUGCCGGUUUUUGUUAAAAAAAACCCUUCGUUUUAAAAAAAAACCCUAGAUCGGUUUUUUUCGGUUUUAUUAUUUUGCGAGCGUUCACCGAAUCGUUUGUUUUAACGGACGCGUUCGUCGGUUUUUCUCUGUUAACGAACGUCCGUUCUUUAACCGUUCGUCCGUUUUUCUUUUUCGUCGGAUUUUUCCGCGAUUUUCUCAGAUUCGAUUUCUGAUCGAAUUUUCGAUUCUGUUUAACUUCUCGCUCGUUUAUCGGAAUUAGGCGAUUCAAGCUCCUAGAGUUUCGUCUCGAAAUUCUCUUUCCGUUUAACCUACUCAAACAAGGUUUUUUCUAUAGUAAAAUUUGACCUAGAUCCAGAUUAGUAAACGAAGUUUCUUUCUUUCGCCGUUUGACUUUCGUUGCUUCUUUCGAGUUGAUUCUUUUUGCAAACCGGAGUUCUUAAGCUGAACUUUCUGGUUGGAUCUUUCUUUCGAGUUUUACCUGUGCAUUAGAUGAGUACUGAUUGUAUGCUUGUUUGUUUGCGAUAGAGUACCCGGAGUGUGCCGCUUGUUACUUCGAAUCGCUAGGUUUUGCGGAUCAUCAGCAAGGCAAGUAACACUUUGAUCAUAUACCUUCCAUACCCAGUUUUUAUUGCAUUAGAUCUGUUUUCCUCAAACACUUGCAUGAUUAGGACCUAAUUAAAUUGUGGGAAUUGGGAAGUAGAUGUGGUAGUACCUAUUACCUGUUUUCUAUUCAAACCCUUGGGAGUUACUUCUACGUUGCUAUUAUAUUGCCAUGCUAUGCUCGUAGACGUGGAUUGGGUUUGAGUGAAAUUCAUGACAGAUGUGAGAUUGUUAAUUAAUGGUUUACUUAAGGUGGCAACUAAAACUCACAUAUGGGUGGAUUGAGGUACCUGGGUAUUCCAGGAUUGCCUGUUUUUUUUCUUUUGGACCGCCACCCAGGUUCAAAGGGAUCAUAAGAUUAUUCAUGCUAGAAACUUCCGUGUGCAGCCGCAAGCUAUUAUGGGCUCUAGCAUAGUUGACUAAGUUUUGUGAACUCUUACAGUGGUAGACUAGCAGAUGUAGGGGAAAGUAGGUGUAACUGUCUACCCAUACGUAAGGUGCAAACACUUCUGAAAGACUGUGUCUCGGUCAUCCGUUUCUCAAACAUCAUGUAGUGCGAGAAUCAAGCGGAGGCGAUCGAGUCUUGUGGGGAAAAGUGCACAAAGCUCUGCAGAGUGUAUAAACUAAUCAUGGUUAGCCGUGUCCCCGGUUAUGGACAACUUGAGUAUCUAGUACUUGGAUUAUCAUGUGAAUCUCAUCACUAUGUUACUACUAAUUAAUUUUGUUGGGUUAUUGAUGACAUUUAAUUGGGAUUGAGAUGCUGUCAACCAUCUCAAUGUUUCACAACCACCAUGAUAGUUAAAUAAAAUUUAUUCCUUUGAGGUAGGAUAAAAUUGGCUUUUCGCAAAAUUGUAACCAUAGAGCUUUCCACCAGCCAUAUAUGCAUGUAGUAUAGCAUUGUUGUUGUUCAUUAUUCUCUAUGUGUUACAUUGCCAGCAUAUUCUAUGUGCUGACCCGUUUUCGGGCUGCAACGUUUCAUGUUGCAGAUUUUUCAGACGACGAGUAAGGUGCCUUAGGUCAUGGUCUUAUACUCAGUGAUGCCGCUGGAGUUGAUGGACUCACUUAUCUUCCAAGUCUUCCGCUGUUAUCGUUAUUAGAUGGCCUUAAGCCAUGUUUAUCAUACUUAAUCUCUUCGGAGAUAUUCGAUGUAAUAAGUGUGUGAUUGUUACUCUGUUAUAAAUCCUCCAUUUGUACUGUGCGUGUCAGCAUUACUGAUCCAGGGAUGACACUGGUGCACAGCAGCACAUGCCAUUUGAGGUCUGGUCGCUACAGUUGAAGACCUUCCCAAGUUGAGCUAUAUCUCUCUUAAUCCUUUCUAUGAGAAUAAGUAGUAUGCCAAAUCCGUUGCUUGUCAUCAAUGUAAAUUGGUGAAGGGUACACAUAAUGUAAUUCUUAUUAUUGUUUCAUCCAAGUGAUCUAGUUUCUUCUUUCCAGAGUUGUUCAUCAUGUCACAUUUCUUGGUUUGAGAUGCUUCAUAUUUUCUUUUCCGGAGUUCCAAGUUUUCCGCUUUAUCUCGUCGCGAAGCUCCAUCUAAAUCACCGCAAGGCUUCACCUUGUGCUCUCAACUUCUCUUUCUUUUUAUCAUCCUUUCAUUACCGGAGUUCUUCAUGGAGGCUCUACAUGGUGGUUCGUCAAGGAUUCUUUUCAUUCUUCAAUUGGUCUUCAAGUUUUCGCUUGAAGUUAAGAUCCGCCAAGCUAUACUCUCAAUAAACAUGGUGCUCAACACAUGUCUUGUUUUGAGGAGUUCAAGCAUUCUUCAUCUUGCAUUCCGAAAUGCAAUUAGUUCCACCUUAUCUUUUGAGGUGGUGUUAUGUCACUCUUGACAAUUUCCCUUCGUGUGUCAUGAUUCAACAGUUGUCAGGAGUGAGAUAGUUAAACCCAUCAAUUUCUUCGAGCAUGAGCCCUUCUCAAUCCAUUGAUUUUUUCAUUGGAGUUAUCUUGGUAUAGAUUCAGCUAAAGCCUUCCAUUAGGAAUGUCGCUACUUGUGGUGCUUAUCAAUGAUCCAAUCUUCUCCUUCUCAUCUCGGUGAAUAUGUUUUCAUCUCCUUGUUGAUCUCAAUCCAAUCAACUGUUUUCGUUAGUGGUCGGUUGUCACCUCAUAAUUUUGAUAUGUUAUCCAUAAGCCCACAACAAGCUUAUCCUUUCAUUAUUGAUAAUCCAACAACUCCGUUCUAGCAUUUCCUGUAAGCGUGCUCUUUCAAGAUCUUGUUUCCCUCCAUUCAUUCCAUUCCAUUCUUUCAUUUCUUCCGGAGACAUUGUGAUGUUACUCUCUUCGACCCAUCAUCUUGUUUUGUCACGAUCAUGUUCUUUUAUUGCUUAUCCAUUUAACCGGUGUUUUGUGUUUUCUUUUCAAGUUCUUUUCAUCUAAUCAAGUCUUGCCUCUCUUAUCAAUCGGAGUGCUGUCCAAGUUCUGGCAUUCGUAUUCUUUGGCUAUCUCAUGAUAUCGGUGUGGCUACAUAUUCUUUUGUUUCGUUGAGCUCUUGUUUCAUGUCUUUCAACCUACAAGGUUCUCAUGGUGUUCCUUGUUUGCGUUUACUACGGAGUGCUCUCAAUUCGCUCAUCUCCGUUGUGUCAUUUCUUUCGAGCUGUUCAACUUCCAAGGUUCUUUGGUUUCACUCGUUUGUCAAGAAGGAACUUUGUUUUACCUCUUCCUCUUCCAUUUCUCUCCGGCGCCAUCCUAGAUCUCGGGACGAGAUCCUCCUGUAGUGGUGGAGUGUUGUAACGCCCCAAGACCGAUGCUCCAGAUGCCUUCCUUGUUUUGCGAGACAGCUGUGUUAUUUAUUUCUUUGUUGCAUCUCAUCUCAUGUCAUCAUUUGCAUUGCAUCGGCACUCCGGUGCCGUCAUGUUUUAAAACUUGCAUUCGUUCGUCGUUGCUGUUUCUUCCUUUGCCUUCAUCACCUUCCCUCGGACCGCUUUGCCUUCGUUGACCGUUCCAGAUCAAUCGAAUUUUCGCUUCCCUCUUGACCUUGACCGCCUAACCCCUCUUUGCGCAGUGCAUAGACCCCUCUCGCGCGUCCAACAGCUGUCCCGAACCCGACCCGCUCAGUCGUCACUGUUGGAUCCAAAUCAUCUUCCCUUUCCUAUAUAUAUAUAUAGACCCUAGUCCAUUUUAGACCAAACCCUAAAUCCUAGGACAUUUGUCCCCCCCAGCCGCCGCCACUGUCUUCCUCGGGAUCUCAUCCCGAUCCAAUCCACCAACCACGCCGCGCCCCUGAUCCAAAAUUCCUCUCGGUCUCCCCACCUCGAGCUCCUCCCAGAUCACCACGCCGCCUUCAUGAGCCUUCCCCUCGAUCCACCCAUCCACCUCGAGCACUCGUAGGUGCCUCCGUUCGCUCGCCACCGGGGCCCCGAGCCGCCACUGCGUCGUCCUUCGUCCUUGAAGCCGUCUUCACCUAUGACCACAGGAGCUUCCCGCGCCAUGGCUGCAGCCCGAGUCCUCCUGCCUCGCUCGAUCUGGACCAGGAGGGUCCCGAGCAUCUCCACCGUCGCCGUCUCAGUUGAGCGCCGCCCUGGUUCCCUUUCUCUCCUUCCUCCGGUCCCCUCAUCUCAUCCCUCUCUCUUUUGUGUUGCGACGCCGCUGUUUCUGCAGAGCCACUGCCGCCAUGGAGCUCCAACUCCGGCCACCUCGUCUCGGUGGUGAUCUGACGCCUCGGGUUCCGUCCGACCGCCGGCGUUCCAUCCUCGCCUCUGCUUCAAACACACACGCGCGCCUGCCUCCCUCGUCUCGCAAGCCUCGUCGCGGGUCAACCGCGUCCGCCGCCAUGGGCUUCCUCAUGGAGCACCACCACAGCAUCUCCUCGGAUCUGUCGGGUCCCGACCAUCCCCGUUGUUGCUAGACUUCUCAGCUCGCCGGAGCCCCAAGACCCUGCGCCAAGUCCCUCUGCUGCUCCCCUGCUUCGCGUCUGCUGCCUCCUGCAUCGGGCGAGGGGACGAACUCCUCCUCGGCCAGCCGCAUCGUCCGCCUGCGUUGACCGCGUCUGCGCCACGUCAGCCGGUGGGCCCACCUUCCUGCCUCCUCUCCAGCGUCGCGCCCAAGUCCCACGUCGCCGGCAGCCGUUCCCGUCGUCCGUCACCGUGAACUUGCUGCUGUUGUCUCUGUUCUUCAGUAACGAGAAAGAGCAGCUCGCUCGCCUCGCUCGCGUUGACUGACCCUGCCUCGCUGACCCGCUCGCUCGCCAGCCACAGCAACCGCGUCCUGGGCCUCAAGCCAGGAGCAGCCUAGGGACCGGCCUCCUCCAGCCCUUUGCAUCGAACGGGCUUUGGCCAUGGUGAGAACCCCGGCCCAGCACCCAGCAGUUUCAGCCUAGUGUUUUUUUUCCGUCUGUGAAUUUGUCUAAUUUUCCAGAGAUGACAGAUUUGCAGAAUAACCCUCAUGUUCAUGCAUUUAAUAUCUCACAAACCAUGCAUCGGAUUAAAACAACUUAUAUAUGCAAAAUGCAUAGUUUUUCAUCUAGUUUCAUAAUCUGCUACUUUCAUCUAUGUUAAAAAUGUUUAACAUGCUGUUUGUGUUUAUUUUGCAUAAUGCCAUGCUAAAAUGAUUUAUUUCAUAACUAAAUAACCGUAGCUCCAAAUUUAAUAAACUUUACAUGCAAAUGGGGUAAAAAAUGCAUAGUUUAAUAUGGUGCCAUUACUUUGCAUGUUUAACAACUCUAAAAUAUGGUUUAGGGCAGAACAGUACCAAAUUAAUAAUAUGGACAUGAGGAUUUUCCGGAAUUGUUGUUUGUUGUUACGGCCUCAUUUAAACUUGCCUAGGUAAGUAGUUUUCAUAUGCUUCACCCCUUGCCAUGUUUAAUAACAUUUAAUAUUGUUGGGUACAUAAAUGAGAGAGAACUAAAUAAUUGAUGUGGUGUUUUAUCAAUAUGCAACUCGUUGCAUAUUGAGCUCCACUUAAUUUGUAGUAUUGUUUGUGCACUUUGCCAUGUCAUGCCUCAUUAAACUGGACAUGCAUCAUGCUUGAUUGUGCAUCAUGCCAUGUUUAUGUGAUGGUUGUUUACCAUGAUGUUUCCUUCUUUCCGGUUUGCUUCUCUCGUUAGCUUCGGUUUCGUUCUGGAGUUGUGAGGAUUUGUUCGACUACGUCCGUUUGUCUUCUUCAUGGACUCGUUCUUCUUCCUUGCGGGAUCUCAGGAAAGAUGACCAUUACCCUCGAUAUCACUUCUAUCUUUGCUUGCUAGUUGUUCGCUCUAUCGCUAUGUCACGCUACCUACCACUUGUUCAUCAUGCCUCCCCUAUUGCCAUGUCAAGCCUCUAACCCACCUUCCUAGCAAACCGUUGUUUGGCUAUGUUACAGUUUUUGCUCAGCCCCUCUUAUAUCGUUGUUAGUUGCAGGUGAAGUUGAAGAUUGCUCCAUGUUGGAACAUGUUUAUGUUGGGAUAUCACAAUAUCUCUUAUUUUAAUUAAUGCAUCUAUAUACUUGGUAAAGGGUGGAAGGCUCGGCCUUAUGCUUGGUGUUUUGUUCCACUCUUGCCGCCCUAGUGUCCGUCAUACCAGUGUCAUGUUCCUUGAUUUUGCGUUCGUUACGCGGCUGAGGUUAUGGGCCCCCCUUGACAGUUCGCUUUGAAUAAAACUCCUCCAGCAAGGCCCAACCUUGGUUUUAACAUUUGCCACCUAAGCCUUUUUCCCUUGGGUUCUGCAAACUCAAGGGUCAUCUUUAUUUUAACCCCCCGGGCCAGUGCUCCUCUGAGUGUUGGUCCAAACUAGAGCCCUUUGCAGCGCCACCUCGGGGAAACUUGAGGUCUGGUUUUAGUUGUACGGAUUGCUCAUCCGGUGUGCCCUGAGAACGAGAUAUGUGCAGCUCCUAUCGGGAUUUGUCGGCACAUUCGGGUGGUCUUGCUGGACUUGUUUUACCAUUGUCGAAAUGUCUUGUAACCGGGAUUCCGAGUCUGAUCGGGUCUUCCCGGGAGAAGGAAUGUCCUUCGUUGAUCGUGAGAGCUUGUGAUGGGCUAAGUUGGGACACCCCUGCAGGGUAUAAACUUUCGAAAGCCGUGCCCGCGGUUAUGUGGCAGAUGUGAAUUUGUUAAUGUCCGGUUGUAGAGAACUUGACACUUGACUUAAUUAAAAUGCAUCAACCGCGUGUGUAGCCGUGAUGGCCUAUUUUCGGCGGAGUCCGGGAAGUGAACACGGUUUUGGGUUAUGUUUGGACGUAAGUAGUUUCAGGAUCACUUCUUGAUCACUUCUAGCUUCUCGACUGUUGCGUUGCUUCUCUUCUCGCUCUUAUUUGCGUAUGUUAGCCACCAUAUUUGCUUAGUGCUUGCUGCAGCUCCACCUCAUUACCCUUUCCUACCCAUAAGCUUAAAUAGUCUUGAUCUCGUGGGUGUGAGAUUGUUGAGUCCUCGUGACUCACCAGAUACUAUCACAACAGUUGCGGGUGCCGAUGAAACCAGUGCAGGUGACGCAACCGAGCUCAAGUGGGAGUUUGAUGAGGACCUUGGUCGUUACUACGUUUCGUUUCCUGAUGGUCAGUAGUGGUGCCCAGUUGGGACGAUUGGGGAUCUAGUAUUUGGGGUUGUCUUCCUUUUCAUUUGUAAUCGUCCGUAGUCGGACUAUGUGUGUACUCUGAUUGAUGUAUGAUUAAUUUAAGUAUUGUGUGAAGUGGCGAUUGUAAGCCAACUCUCUUUAUCCCAGUCUUGUUAUUUACAUGGGAUUGUGUGAAGAUGACCCUUCUUGCGAUAAAACCUACAAUGCGGUUAUGCCUCUAAGUCGUGCCUCGACACGUGGGAGAUAUAGCCGCAUCGUGGGUGUUACAAGUUGGUAAUCAGAGCCAUCCCCGACUUAGGAGCCCCCUGCUUGAUCGAAUCGCUGACAUUGUUGAGUCUAGAACAAAAAUGUUUUGAGUCUUAAGAUUAUAUAUAUCGGAGAAUAGGAUUCUUUUUACUCCUCAGUCCCCUCGUCGCUCUGGUGAGGUCUCUUGACGUAGAUGUUUUGACUUUCCUCUCCUCAAAUUUCACUAAAUUUUUUUUAGGAUCACGCGGGUAUCUUGGGAUCGUUCCGAUAUUCUUGUGACGAAAACAUUGUUCUUGGUGCCUCCUGACAUUUAGGGGUUGUGGCAGUGUCCCGGGGAGUUGACCUCCGAGGUGUUGUCGUCACAAUUUUAUUGUUGCAGUUCUGGAAUACCUGAGUUUCGCCGACAUCGAAAAUCUCUAUUAUGCAGUUGUUGGUGAGAUAACCUCGACGCCACCCAGUACUGGGGCGGGAGUUCGGGAGUAUUGCCAUAACUCGUAUAACGGAUGCUUUUCGAAGGUUGAGGUACACGAUUUCCGAAGGUUUCUUGGUUAUGUGUUGACGGAUGGAUACAACUGGAUGUAGGGAUUGUUAGUUUGGGUGAGAUAUUAUGCUUCCCCUGUAUCCCCAACACCAGAUUGCAUAACCAGAAAGUUUCGGGAGUUAAUAGGUGGGAAUUCAAGUAGCUCCUAGAAUAUCUUUUCGAUGGAUGUAUGAUUUGAGAUUGGGGUCCAACGUCUAGUGGUUCGCUUUUCAUGGUCGAUUUACAAUGGUCGCGAGGCGUCUUAAAGAAUCCUUGGCUAUGCCGAUUCGGGGACGUCUUGUUUUUCAUUCGUGAUGUCCGCUGUACGUCAUGCCCGUGGGGCCUCAUCACGACCACUUUGGGCAAAAUCUCUAUCCUUUGUUUUAUUUUGAGUUGUCGUAUUUGUCGUGGAAUUGUCACGGCAGAUGUCCUCGAGCUAGGACUUAGUCGUGGAGCCAUCGCAGCUAGGAAGCUUAAAGGGGUUAAACGGGACAAGGAACACGGAGAUUAUACUGGUUCAGCCCCUUACGGUGAAGGUAAAAUCCUACGUCCAGUUGAGGUGGUAUUGCUUAUGGUUUCGAUGACCAGGGAGCUUAAUUGCUAUGCCCGGCUCUCGACGAGAUCUUACUUGUCCCUGAACCGCCGCCGGGUCGUCCCUUUAUAUAGAGAGGUUGACGCCCAGCGGCUCUCAGAGUCCCGGCCGGCUCAUAAGAGUGUCCGGCUCGGACUCUCAACUAUUCUUGCCUUACACUACAAGUCUUGCCAUACGGCGGUUUAUAACUACGGGCCUUAAGCCAUCUCCGGGUCUUAGGCCCAUCAUCGACCCGCCGUCUUCAAGCUCGGUACUGGGCUUCGCGUGAUGACCAUUAUGAGUAACCCGGCCCCUCCUGGCGGGUGACUCUAAGGAUUAUAUCCUCAACAUUAGGCCCCAGAUUGAUUUGAACCGGUUCAUGUCAAUCUUCAAUCCCCUUGAAAGAAAAUUUUCCGGCUUACAUCUGUGCGAAGGUUUUAACCCGCCGUGACGUCAUCUUCUGGAUUCCUGAUAACCCGCCAUGACGUCACCUUCUGGAUUCCUGAUAACCCGCCAUGACGUCACCUUCCAUUAAGUUCAUUUCUUUAUUCCGUUAAAUCCCAACGGAUCUUAUCUUUAAUGGUCAUCCCGAAAAUCGAGGCGCCUCUGGGGCGAGAUAAUCACGCCGUGACCUCCUCGUUUCUCGCGCCCACUUAUGAGCUUCACCUUAUAAAUAGCCCGGCCCAUGAGCCUCCAGUCACUCGUCGCCUCCAUCUUCUUCCUCCUCUCGCCACUGUGCUACCGCCCAAGCUCCGCCGCCGCCGCCGCGGGUUUCCUCAUCUUCACCAACUCAGGCCGCUGCAUCAACCUGACGUGACCAGAGAAACGCGACGAACCCCCGCCAUAACUCCGCACCUGUAAGUCCCUGCACCUCUCCAUCGUUGAUCCGCAUUAGGGUUCCACUGUUCUUCCUCUGUUCUUCGCUGUUCUUCUCGAAUUCUCUAUAGUUCUUCCACUAUAGUCAUGUUUGAUCCAAGAGUAGUACAGAGCUCCUGCGGUAGUUGUUGCACAUCCAUUUUUCCACUAGUAGAUCCCCUUUGUUUGAAAUAAGAUCCCGCUCUGAACCCAUGAACUUCUUCUGCGUCAGUUCUAGGUCUAGAAAAUUUUCUCUUUAGCCGACCGUUUUGAUCCAAAAUAAUCACUGCGAUCUGUGAAACUUGUUUUCACCAUACUUAGUCAAAAAUUGCAUCUGUUUAGUUACGGCGGCUCACAUUUUCGGCUUAAAAGAAGCCACGCGCCGUAAAAUUUCUGGCUCAAUUAUGAUAAAGCUGUAGACAAUUUUGAAUUACUCACGAUACCUGCAGCGGCUUAAUUAACCCGAUGCACUUUUAACCAUAUGUCAUUAGGCCCCUCUCAUAAGCCGCCAUCUAAGUAUUAAACUGUAGACGUCUGCCGGCUUAUAAUUGAACCGAACAUUUUCCUUUUGUCAUAGGCUUCAUCUUUCACAAUGCCUCCCAAAGCUUCCAAGGCACCCAUCACAUGCAACUGGAUGAGAUCCAAUGUCACCGACGACACUUUAGCUGAUUUCAUAAAAACGGGUUAUUUGCGCAAGAAGGAAAUCAUGUCUUAUCGUGCCCCUGACCCGUCGGAGGAAAGACCUCAACCAAGAGAUGGUGAGGUGGUGAUAUUUGCUGAUCACAUGAGCCGGGGCUUCGCACCGCCCGGCUCAAAAUUCUUUAGGGAUGUUCUGAACUUCUUCGAUCUGCGGCCGCAAGACAUAGGACCCAAUUCCGUGUCAAAUAUAUGCAACUUCCAAGUAUUCUGCGAAGUCUAUCUUGGAGAAGAGCCCAGCCUGCUGCUCUUUAGAGAGCUAUUUUAUCUGAACCGCCAGAAUGAGUGCGCUAACGGGCCGAGCCAGGAACUUGGUGGAAUCUCCAUUCAACGCCGGAGAGACUGCCUCUUUCCUUAUGCUGAGCCGCCAAGCCAUCCAAAGGACUGGAACCAGACGUGGUUUUAUUGCCAGGACACUUCUCCGGCUGACGAGAGCCCUCUGCCCGGCUUUCGUGCCCUGCGUCUGGAGCCAAAUCAUUCUUUGCCAGACAAACUCUCUCAAGCUGAGCGUCAACCUCUGAUCCCCACCAUCAAUAAGAUCAAGGCUCUCCUGGGAAACGGCCUCAGCGGUAUUGAUCUGGUCCGGGUUUGGAUCUCUUGGCGGGUGAUCCCCUUGAGCCGCCGCCCCUGCUUAAUGUGUGCUUACACGGGCCGGAAGGAUGACCCUCUGCGGCACAGCCCCAACGAUCUUCCUGAGGACGUUGUGGACGAUAUGACCAAGUCUCUCCUGAAUGAGAGCUUAGCCGACUGUGGGAGAACCGGCCUGAACCCCUUCUGCCAAGCUAACCCGGCUCCGGCGGUAAGCCACUGACCUGAACACCUUGGUUUUCUUUUUAAUAGUUUCCAUCAGAACCUUAAGAAAUCUUUGCUGUAUGUUUUAGGCUAAUGACAAGUUCUGGAAGGUCAAAUAUGACCAUGAAGCGGCCAAAAAAUCCAGGAAGGCUAAGAAAGCUGCCAGGAGAGCCGCUCCCCGCAAGAAGGGAAGCCGGCCUACUGCCUCAGAGCUGCUUCAGCUAAGUGACAGCUCCGAGUCAGAGGUAAUCCCUGAAUCUGUAGGCUCUUGUUUUAUUUCUGCUUUUCAUCUGUCUUUUAACCACCUUAUUAACUUGAUUAUCCGCAGGAUGACACCGGAGCGAGUAACCCGGUAACUGAAGAGGUAACUAUACUUUCCUCCGACUCGGACCCCUUGCCAAGGCUGAAAGUCCGAAGAGUAACCCGGAAAGUAAGCUUUUCGCAUCCUUUAGCUUAUCAAGAUCCUCAAUUUCUUUUGAAGCAACAGAUUCAUGAGAACCGGAGGCAAACCCGGGCCAGCAAGGAUGCAGACCUCUCCUCCGGCUUACCCGAGGCAUCAAGAAAGCGCCGGACUGAGGUUAUCUCCAACUUAUAUCCUUUUCAUUCUUUGGCGGGCGUUACUCGUCAACCGCUCAAUUCUUCUGAUUCAAAUUAUCAGGAAACUUCACCUUCCUCUGGUGAUUCUAUGCAAUCUAACCUGCCGGCUUUCAAGACCGCACCCGGGUAACAAUGAUCAUCUUGUGUUGUGCUUAUCUCUACUCAUGCUUUUGUACUAACCUUUUGUCCUUUCAGUGCCCAGGCAAAGCUCAACAAGAGGGCGAAAAAGAAUAAACCAUUCGAAGAGCCGGGCUUGACUGAGCCGGAGGUUUCAACUCAAGAGCCGCCAGCUGCCUCUGCUCCUGAAGCCACCACUCCAACCGACGAGCCAGUCAUAGAGACUUCUACCAAUCCGGACAUCUCCAGCCUGGCUCAGCCGACUGAUGACCCGGACGUGGUAAUCACCCGGACGGAGUUUGUCGAGCCGGGGAGACCCACUGCGCUGGCUAAGUGCUCUGCCAAGGAAGAGUUGCUAGAGCGCCACAGGGCCAAGCUGGACAUCACCAACUACGCUAACUUGAGCAUUGGAGAUAUCAUCUCCGGCUAUGUCAAUCAGGUGCACAACAGCCGGGACCUGGAGAUUGACAUGGUGAAGCAGAUACAGCAGAAAUCUGGGGUACCACUCUCUUGCGUACUGCAUAGUCAUCUUUACCAUACUUAGCCCCCAAGUCUACUACUUAUGAUAGAAUAUGUUGUGGACUUAAUUUCCGGCUUACUUUUAUGAACCGGCAAUUUGUAGAUAGAACCUUUCAGCAUACAUUAGCCCCCAAGUGCCAAGUGUCUUUGCUUGGAAAGUGCUUGGGACUUUAAAGUUGUAUAAUAAUUAUUCAUACGAUAACCCGGAAAUUGUACAGGCUGCUUGCAAGAAAUUUGAGGCUGAUAUCUCUGAGCUGAAGAACCGCCUGAAGACUCAGGAAACUGAGACACGGAAGGCCAACGCUAAAUUUGAAACCAGUGUUGCUGCUCAAGAGAAGCUGAAGAAGAAGUUUGAAACCGAAAGGAAGACUUGGGCCGAAGAGAAGGCUGCUCUGGUCAGCCGGGCCGAACAGGCAGAGGCGGCUCUGACGGAGAGAACCGCCGAACUCUCCGGCUUAAAGCGCCAUGUGUCACAGAUGGUCGCCGCAAUCUUCGGUAAGUCAUUCUGCAGACUUUCAACAAGUUUACAUUCUCUAUGUCUCAUAAUUCCCAUCAUUGCUUGCGGCUUACCUGACGUUGUAAAAUAGGUCCUAGAAGCGCCAACCUCAAUCAAAAUGUGCUGACCAAACUGAAGGCCGUGUACACUUUGGGUGGAGCAACUCUACACCGGGUCACAGCGCGCCUUGGCCGUUGUGGCCCUGUCCAAUGAGGUUCCGACUCACCUGGCGGACGUACUUCGCCGGCUUGCCGUUCUUCCUCGGCGUUUCCAAGAGCUGCGACGGGCCUCUGCAAGAGCCGGAGCCAUAGCCGCUCUGAGCCGGGCCAAGGCUUUCCUUCCAGAGCUAGACCCGGCUGACAUCGCACUUGGAUACCCCAGCCUGAAGGAAGACGGCACCCCCUUCGACCAAAAAGACUUUGCUGCCUGUGUGAAGAUCGUGCGCCCGGUGGCCACCCUGAUUGGGAAUGACACCGACCUUACCAAGUACCAGCUGGGCUACGACGCAGAGAAUCAGAGGAUCCCCACUCCGCGUUAUGAAGCCAUCAGCUUGGUCCCGCCGACUCGUAAGCACACCUUUGCCCCAGAAAUUGACCCGGCCGGGUUAAUUGACGAGGAGGCUAAAUUUGAAGCUUUGAGCGGCAUUGACUGGAAAUCGUCAACCUUCCAGGUCAUGGGAACAGCCGGAGGAGCGGAGAGGGAUGAGCCGGAAGCUUCGACCCAGCAAGCAUCUUGACUCUUAGGCGGCCCAUGGUUAUACCUUUAAAACAAUGCCUCAUCUUUUGGACUCGGGGAGUCUUGUAAUAGAGUAGGACAAACAUGUUAAUCUUGUCGUGCCAUCGUGCACAUGUUGAAUGCGUAGCUCCGUUAAAGUUGCUUCCUUAUAUUCCUCCGGAUCAUAAUUGACCAUUUGUUGUUCUCAACCAUCCUGCAUAGAAAAACAAGUCACAAGUCUCUAGGCGGCUUACCGCACUGAGAACCAUAGACCUUAUAUAUAUAACCCGGAAUAUGAAUUAAAAAUCACCGAAGACUGGCCCUUAAUUACAUCUUUGAUGUAACCAUAAUAGCAUACUUACGAGCCGUCGAGUAUGGUUCCGGCUUAUGCAACCCGAAUAAUGAGGUGAAGAUCUCAACUCCGAUUCACCAGCGUCAAGAAUACUUAACAUAUGUUAUCAACAUCGUGAAUCAAAAUUAAGUCGGCAAAGGAAAAGCCGCCCUUGCACACUGUUGAUGUGACCAACAGAACUUGUUGUAAGUCAGAAGAUCAAAAACUUUAGGGGCUUCCGGUUCGAAUACGACCAGAGAACCGUCCCAAAGGGGUUAAGCUAAGAUUCGAAUGCGAUCAUAUAGCCCCCAGUGGCUUUGGCGAUGCCAAUCAAGAGGGUACCGACAGCUAUGUCCUCUUUGGUUCGAAUACGACCCAUUUUUGAACAGGAAGCCCCCAAAUGACCUUAAGAGUUGUUUAACGACGCUGAUUCGAAUACGAUCCACGUCGGUUCCCAAAAGGGGGUUGAGCUAUGAUUCAAAUAUGAUCAAAGAAAACUCCCCAAUGAGCUCGGCACUUUGCCAAUCAAGUGGGUAUCGACAGCUAUGUUCUCUUUGGUUCGAAUAUGACCUAUGUUUGAACAGGAAGCCCCCAGGUGAUCAUAUUGCGUACGGCUAGAUUCGAAUACGAUCAUAAGCCAGAUCCACCUCCAAGUGACCAUGUGAUAGUGUAAUGGAAAUAACACUUUUACCUUUGGAGGAGAAAAGGACAGAGGUCCUGCUUUAUUAUUUAACAUAAUAUAUACAUGGCUAUAUAAAUAUGUACAUUACGAGAGCCGGUGGCUCAAGUGUAAUAAGGCCGAAGCUGAGCUAUGUUCCACGGCCGACGGGUCUCUUCCUCCGACUUACGUGAAUCUUUAUGCUCCCGAACGUCAAUAAGGUAGUAUGACCCGUUGUGCAAGUUCUUGCUGACCACAAAGGGCCCUUCCCAAGGCGGGGAUAGCUUGUGUGCAUCUGUUUGAUCUUGGAUGAGCCGGAGCACCAGGUCACCUUCCUGGAAGACCCGGGACUUAACCCGACGACUGUGAUAACGGCGCAGGUCUUGUUGGUAAAUCGCUGAACGAGCUGCUGCCACGUCACGCUGUUCGUCCAACAAGUCAAGAGCAUCUCGGCGCGCCUGUUCAUUAUCCGCCUCAACAUAAGCCGCCACUCGAGGCGAGUCAUGACGGAUGUCACUGGGGAGGACUGCUUUCGCUCCAUAAACCAUGAAGAAGGGAGUGUAACCCGUAGACCUGUUAGGAGUAGUAUUGAUGCUCCAUAACACGGAGGGUAGCUCCUCCACCCAACAACCCGACGUCCGUUGCAAAGGGACUAAAAGCCGGGGCUUAAUGCCCUUCAAGAUCUCCUGAUUAGCUCUCUCAGCUUGACCAUUGGAUUGAGGAUGAGCCACUGAUGAAACAUCAAGUCGAAUAUGCUCUCGUUGACAAAAUUCCUCCAUGGCGCCUUUAGACAGAUUGGUACCAUUGUCAGUUAUAAUGCUGUGUGGAAAGCCAAAGCGAAAUAUCACCCUUUUCAUGAACUGAACUGCCGUGGCUGCGUCACACUUGCUAAUUGGCUCUGCUUCAACCCACUUUGUGAAUUUGUCAACUGCCACCAAGAGGUGGGUCUUCUUAUCCUUGGACCUUUUAAAAGGCCCAACCAUAUCAAGCCCCCAGACCGCAAAUGGCCAAGUAAUUGGAAUCAUCCUCAGCUCCUGAGCCGGCACAUGAGCCCGUCGCGGGAACUUCUGGCAACCAUCACAUUUACUGACCAAGUCCUCCGCAUCAGCGUGAGCCGUCAGCCAAUAAAAACCAUGACGAAAAGCCUUGGCCACAAGGGAUUUUGAGCCGGCAUGAUGGCCACAAUCCCCUUCAUGAAUCUCACGCAAGAUUUCUUGACCCUCCUCAGGGGAUACACAACGCUGGAACGCUCCCGUAACACUGCGGCGAUGUAGCUCACCAUUGAUAACAACCAUUGACUUAGACCGCCGGGUUAUUUGUCUAGCCAAAGUUUCAUCCUCAGGCAAAUCUCCCUGGGUCAGGUAAGCCAAGUAUGGCACCGUCCAGUCCGGGGUGGUGUGGAGAACCGCCACCAACUGUGCCUCCAGGUCAGGGACAGCCAAGUCCUCCUCUGUAGGUACCUUAACAGAAGGGUUAUGCAAGAUGUCCAAGAAAGUAUUAGGCGGAACCGGUUUUCGCUGAGAGCCCAGCCGGCUUAAUGCGUCAGCCGCCUCGUUCUUCCUGCGAUCGAUGUGCUCUACUUGGUAACCCUGAAAGUGUCCAGCAAUGGCAUCAACUUCACGGCGAUAAGCCGCCAUGAGAGGGUCCUUGGAAUCCCACUUGCCUAAUACUUGUUGAGCCACUAGAUCUGAGUCGCCGAAGCACCUUACCCGGCUCAAGCUCAUCUCCUUAGCCAUCCGAAGGCCAUGGAGCAAGGCCUCGUACUCAGCCGCAUUGUUGGUACAAGGAAACAUCAACCGUAGCACAUAAUGAAACUUGUCACCUUUAGGGGAAGCCAAUACAACUCCAGCCCCCGAGCCUUCCAAUUGCCUAGACACAUCAAAGUGAAUAGUCCAAUACGUAUUAUCUGGCUUUUCUUCAGGCACCUAUAGCUCUGUCCAAUCGUUGAUGAAAUCCACCAAAGCUUGAGAUUUAACAGCAGUGCGUGGUACGUAUUUCAGACCAUGAGGCCCAAGUUCUAUAGCCCACUUAGCCACUCUCCCUGUGGCUUCUCUGUUUUGGAUGAUAUCUCCAAGGGGAGCAGAACUAACCACCGUAAUGGGGUGACCCUGAAAAUAGUGCUUAAGCUUCCGGCUUGCCAUGAACACCACAUAAACAAGCUUCUGCCAAUGUGGAUACCGCUGUUUGGACUCGAUGAGCACUUCACUGACGUAAUAAACCGGCUGCUGAACCGGAUAUUCCUUACCCUCUUCCUUGCGCUCCACCACCACAGCCACACUGACGGCUCGUGCGUUAGCAACUACAUAUAGUAAUAAGGGUUCUUUGUCAACCGGAGCGGCAAGGACUGGGGGCUCAGCCAGCUGUCUCUUCAAAUCCUCAAAAGCAGCAUUAGCAGCAUCAUUCCAGAUAAAGUCAUCAGUUUUCUUCAUCAACUGGUACAGCGGCAUGGCCUUCUCACCCAAACGGCUUAUAAACCGGCUUAAAGCAGCGAUAUGACCCGCCAGGCGCUGGACGUCGUUUAUACACGCCGGCUUAGCCAGAGAGGUGAUUGCCUUGAUUUUUUUCCGGGUUAGCUUCAAUGCCCCUGUUAGAAACCAGGAAACCCAAGAGCUUGCCUGCAGGAACACCAAAAACACACUUGGCCGGGUUAAGCAUCAUCUUGUAAACCCGGAGGUUAUCAAAGGUUUCUCUAAGAUCAUCUACCAGGGUCUCCUUCUCCCUGGUCUUAACCACGAUAUCAUCCACAUAGGCGUGAAUAUUGCGCCCAAUCUGGUUAUGAAGACAAUUCUGCACACAACGCUGGUAAGUUGCCUGUGCACUCUUGAGUCCAAAAGGCAUAGACACAUAACAGAAGGCUCCAAAGGGAGUGAUGAACGCCGUCUUCUCCUGGUCCUUAACUACCAUUUUAAUCUGAUGGUAUCCAGAAUAUGCAUCCAAGAAACUUAAGCGCUCACAACCCGCGGUGGCAUCAAUGAUUUGAUCAAUACAGGGGAGGGCAAAAGGAUCAGCCAGACACGCCUUGUUUAAGUCCGUGUAGUCCACACACAUCCGCCAGGUGCCAUUCUUCUUGAGCACGCGCACCGGGUUAGCUAACCAUUCUGGAUGAAAGACUUCGACAAUAAACCCGGCCGCCAAGAGCCGGGCCACCUCUUCUCCAAUGGCUUUCCGCCUCUCCUCAUUAAACCACCGAAGGAAUUGCCUGACCGGCUUGAAUUUCGGAUCAACAUUGAGAGUGUGCUCAGCGAGUUCUCUAGGUACACCUGGCAUGUCAGAAGGUUUCCAUGCAAAAAUGUCCCUAUUCUCACGGAUGAACUCGAUGAGCGCGCUUUCCUAUUUUGGAUCCAGAUUCGCACUGAUGCUAAACUGCCGAGAUGAGUCACCUGGAACAAAAUAAACAAGUUUAGUCUCAUCAGCUGACUUAAAUUUCAUUGCCGGCUCAUGCUCCGUGGUCGGCUUUUUCAGAGAUGUCAUAUCUGCUGGGUCAACAUUAUCCUUGUAAAACUUCAGCUCCUCUGUUGCACAAACAGAUUCUGCAUAAGCCGCGUCACCUUCCUCACAUUCCAAGGCUAUCUUUCGGCUACCAUGAACCGUAAUGGUCCCAUUGUGACCCGGCAUCUUGAGCUGUAGGUAUAUGUAACACGGCCGUGCCAUGAACUUGGCGUAAGCCGGCCGUCCAAAUAUGGCAUGAUACGGACUUCUUAUCUUGACCACCUCAAAGGUCAAUUUUUCCACCCUGUAGUUCUACUCGUCUCCAAAGGCCACUUCGAAUUCGAUCUUACCAACUGGAUAAGCCGACUUACCAGGUACCACGCCAUGGAAAACAGUAUUGGACUGGCUGAGGUUCUUAUAAAUCAACCCCAUACGACGGAAGGUCUCAUAAUAGAGGAUGUUGAUGCUGCUGCCUCCAUCCAUGAGCACCUUAGUGAACUUAUAUCCUCCCACCUGAGGAGCCACCACCAGGGCCAAGUGACCCGGAUUAUCAACCCGGGGAGGGUGAUCCUCCCUACUCCACACAAUAGGCUGCUCAGACCAUCUUAAAUAGCGUGGAACCGCCGGCUCAACAGCAUUUACAGCCCUCUUAUGAAGCUUCUGAUCUCGCUUACACAGACUGGUGGUAAACACGUGAUACUGUCCAUCGUUAAGCUGCUUUGGAUUGGUCUGGUAACCCCCCUGCUGCUGUUGAUGACCCUGGCUGGACUGCUGAUUAAAGCCCCCUUGAGCAUUCUGAGGAUUAGGAUUUGAGCCGCCGCCCGGGCCAUGAAAGCCGCCCGCGCCUGAGCCGCCACCCGGGCCAUUGUUGCCAUUAAAGGCAUUGGAAUUCUUAAAGGCCUUCAUGAUUGCGCAAUCUUUCCAUAGAUGAGUAGCUGGCUUCUCCCUAGAACCAUGCCUCGGACAAGGCUCAUUCAACAACUGUUCGAGCGUCGGGCCUGACCCGCCAGCUCGGGGAGGUGGCCUCCCCUUACGCCGCUGGUUGUUACCCUGUGAGCUGGCAUUGGCCACAAAAUCCAUGCUGCCAUCAGCCUUACGCUUGUUACCUCCUUGGUUUGCCGGGUUAUGCUGAGGACCCUUGCCAUUGCCGUUCUUCUUUCCCUUCCCUGUCCUUUCAUCAUCUGACGCGGGGUCCUUGGUACUAUCAGAGUCGGCGUACUUGACGAGAGCCGCCAUCAGCGUACCCAUAUCAUUGCAGUCGCGCUUGAGCCGCCCGAGUUGCAUCUUCAGGGGCAGGAAACGACAAUUCUGCUCCAACAUCAAGACUGCAGAGCCGGCAUCCAUCUUAUCAAAUGAAUGUAUUAUCUCUUUGACCCGGCGAACCCAAUGUGUCGUAGACUCACCCUCCUGCUGUUUACAGUUAGUCAAAUCCACAAUUGACAUAGACUGCCUACAGGUAUCUUUGAAGUUUUGGAUGAACCGGGCUUUCAGCUCAGCCCAAGACCCGAUAGAAUUCGGUGGCAGCCCUUUCAACCAAGUGCGGGCAGUCCCAUCCAACAUCAUGGUGAAGUACUUGGCCAUCGCCGCUUCGCUGACCUCCAGCAAUUCCAUGGCCAUCUCGUAACUCUCGAUCCAGGCUCCGGGUUGUAAAUCAGCCGUGUAAUUAGGCACCUUCCUAGGCCCUUUGAAGUCCUUGGGUAAACGUUCAUUGCGGAGAGCCGGUACUAAACAAGGGACACCUCCGGUCCUUGUAGGGAUACCCACGUCGACGGAAGCCGUCGGAUAAGCCGGGGGUGUCUGGUAAGCCGUCAACUGAGGCACCUGCCCCGCCUCUUGCCAUGCUCUGUCUUGGUCUGCUGCGUGAAAGGCUCCGUUAUGAGCCGGGCCAUGGCCAGGUGGCAAGUCAUGGCGUCGGACAUUACUUGAGCCGGUCGCUGAAACCAUGUGUCUGCUAUAACUCGGGCUCCGUCCUGGACGAGGGGUUGAAUGGAUCCUGUCCCGGCUGUAAGAGUAUGCCUCUUGCUGCGCCAGAGCUGUUUGAAGGAGCUCCCUAACCCGGCGGGUUUCAACCGCCGUUGGAGAGUCGCCAUCGAUUGGGAGAGCUGCCAGCCGUGCCGCCGCGGCGACCAUGUUUUCCAACGGGUUGGCAUAAUGACCCGGUGGUAUUGGCACGUAGUGAGGCGGGGCAGGGUUCACCCGGGGUGGUCCCAUUACUUGGGGCUGAAUUGGUGUCCCAGCCCCUGGCACUAUGAUCUCCGGCGGGUUACUAGACCCUGCACCUGGUGUGUUGAAGAGGUUUCGAGGAUCGUAAACCGUAGGGAGUCGAGAUUGGGCCUUUUGAUGCCUCCUUCUCAUGACCUCAUCGGAUGCGUUUUGAUCCAUCGUGAGCCGAAAGGACUGUGCCUGAAUCAGCUGAGUCUGGGCGUCGAGAGCCGCCCUCUCUGCAGCCAUCCUGAUCCCCUCCGCCGCCAGGUCCUCCUUGGCCUUUGCUAGAUCCAACCUUAACUGUACCACCUCCGCGUCAUGUUCAACUUGAUCCGCCGGAGCCACCGUAGCGGUCAACAGGACCGUCAGCUUGUCUGUGAGAUCCAUCAGCACCUGAGCCGGUGAAGGCACCGGGCUUCCUGACCCGGAGGCGGGGUUUUGAACAGGUUGCGCGCCGGCCAUGAAGAUUCCAACCUGGCUCGGCGGUUCAAAAGGGUUCGGAAUGCUGUCGCCAUCGGAACAACCCCUGAGCCUGCCAUCCUGAAGUUGAUACAACGAGUUUGACUCAUCCGUAGACGACUCGCCGUCAGAGCCGGCGGCCGUCUCAUCGCCAGAUCCAGAUCCAUCAGAGAGUCCUCCAUGAACACAUCCCACAAAAGCAUGCUUCAAGGCAGGUAGGGCCCGGGCGGGUCGUGCGCGCUGAGCCGUCUCGAUGAGAUCGGCGCAGAGAUCCGGCUCAGGGCCCGGCUCACCGAUCUUGCCAAUGAAGACAUGAAUUCCGCCAAAGGGGACCCGGUACCCGUACUCAAUUGAGCCGGCCUCGGGGCCCCAAUUUGCAUCGUCGAUGUAGAGCUUGCCGCGACGACUCUUGGUCAUCCGGCCCACAGCGUAUCCCUUGAGCCUUCGAAGCUGCCCUUCAAGAACUCAAAUCCACCGUGCGCUGGCCCCACGGUGGGCGCCAACUGUCGUGGAAUUGUCACGGCAGAUGUCCUCGAGCUAGGACUUAGUCGUGGAGCCAUCGCAGCUAGGAAGCUUAAAGGGGUUAAACGGGACAAGGAACACGGAGAUUAUACUGGUUCGGCCCCUUACGGUGAAGAUAAAAGCCUACGUCCAGUUGAGGUGGUAUUGCUUAUGGUUUCGAUGACCAGGGAGCUUAAUUGCUAUGCCCGGCUCUCGACGAGAUCUUACUUGUCCCUGAACCGCCGCCGGGUCGUCCCUUUAUAUAGAGAGGUUGACGCCCAGCGGCUCUCAGAGUCCCGGCCGGCUCAUAAGAGUGUCCGGCUCGGACUCUCAACUAUUCUUGCCUUACACUACAAGUCUUGCCAUACGGCGGUUUAUAACUACGGGCCUUAAGCCAUCUCCGGGUCUUGGGCCCAUCAUCGACCCGCCGUCUUCAAGCUCGGUACUGGGCUUCACGUGAUGACCAUUAUGAGUAACCCGGCCCCUCCUGGCGGGUGACUCUAAGGAUUAUAUCCUCAACAGUAUUCGAGUUGCUUCAAUGUCAAGUGUGAUUCCAUAUUUUUUCUAAGCGGCGUUCUCAUAUUUCUAUGGGAGUGUUAAUCCUUCUUAAUUAUCGAGAUUGUCAUCCCAAUUCUAUUUCUAACCGGUGUGCUUCUCUUCGAGAUGAUCCCAUCAUUCUCCCCAUCCGCAAGAUCAAUUCUAAGUUUUCUCAACAGUGUUUGUUCCAUUUCAUCCCCAAGUUGCCUUUGUUUUUCCCGCCCUCCCACCCUUUUUCUUCAAGGACUCAAAUUUCUUAAUCAAGUAUCCAUCUUAUGGAUGUGAAGUCUCUUCAUUCUUUUCUUUCAAUGUUCUUCUCCGGUGAUUUCCCAUGAAGAUGGUCAGGAGUUUCAAGUUCAUCAUUCUUCGUUCUUUUUUCUUCUCCGGUGGAUUCAAGUCAAGUUUUUGGUGUUGAUCAUAUUCCCUUCCUCGUUUCAAAUGUUUUCUCAUGCCGGUGCACCUCUUAAUCAUCCACCUCUUUCUAUUCAUGUUUAUCUGGAGUGCUGAAGAUAUCCUAGAAGAUUCAAGUUUCUAUUCAUAAUCCUUUGAAGCUAUUUCGAGGUCUUACCUUAUUCAAGCCAUUUAAUUCAAUCGACGCAAUCUCUCUUUUAAAUCUUUCAAUGGUGUUUCUUUUGGGUGGGCCCUAACCCACAGGUCUUUUCCAGGAUCUUACCUGACUCUUCUAAUUCAUCCCGGAGCUAUUCCCAAAUUCAUUUCAAAGUUUGACGUAAGAAUGAGUUAUCAUCAGUCAAAUGUCUUUCUCCAAGGUCUUUAAAAUUCUUUUCAUCAUUCGUUCAAUCUUUCUAAUUUUCAUUCCGGAGUGCCUCAACAAUUCAUAGUGGUGUCUCUUGUCGUCAUUCUCUGCAUUUGAAAACUGAAGAAGAUUUUCUCUUAAAUCUUGCUCCGUUCUCUUAAAGAUGCGUAGUUCAAGCUUGAUGCCAUCCUCUAAUAAUUGUUUUUUCGAUUGUGAGAUUUCUUUUCACCCAUCCGGUGCAAUUCAGGAGAAUUUUCAGUUUGAUUCUCCGGAGCCCAUCAUCUCAGAAUUAUUCAUUCCAGCUUUUAGCUCUUGUUCCCCAAAUCUUACCGGUGCAUCGUUCAAAUAUCCUCUAAUCAGUUCAUGAUCUCUUUGUUCUCAUGUAUCUAAAUCCCCUCAAGUAUCUUCUUUCGUUUUCUAAUUCUUCCCGGUGAAUUGUGCCCUUGCUACUUUCAUUUUCAAUUCAUACGGUGGUUCGUUCAAGAUUUCUCUUCCUUCAUUAUCAUAUCAAUUUAUUCGUUGUUUCAAUCCUACCGGUGGUUCGUUGAAGACCUUCCCAAGUUGAGCUAUAUCUCUCUUAAUCCUUUCUAUGAGAAUAAGUAGUAUGCCAAAUCCGUUGCUUGUCAUCAAUUUAAAUUGGUGAAGGAUACGCAUAAUGUAAUUCUUAUUAUUGUUUCAUCCAAGUGAUCUAGUUUCUUCUUUCCAGGGUUGUUCAUCAUGUCACAUUUCUUGGUUCGAGAUGCUUCAUCUUUUCUUUUCCGGAGUUCCAAGUUUUCCGCUUUAUCUCGUCGCAAAGCUCCAUCUAAAUCAUCGCAAGGCUUCACCUUGUGCUCUCAACUUCUCUUUCUUUUUAUCAUCCUUUCAUUACCGGAGUUCUUCAUGGAGGCUCUACAUGGUGGUUCGUCAAGGAUUCUUUUCAUUCUUCAAUUGGUCUUCAAGUUUUCUCUUGAAGUUAAGAUCCGCCAAGCUAUACUCUCAAUAAACAUGGUGCUCAACACAUGUCUUGUUUUGAGGAGUUCAAGCAUUCUUCAUCUUGCAUUCCAAAAUGCAAUUACUUCUACCUUAUCUUUUGAGGUGGUGUUAUGUCACUCUUGACAAUUUCCCUUCGUGUGUCAUGAUUCAACAGUUGUCAAGAAUGACAUAGUUAAACCCAUCAAUUUCUCCGAGCAUGAGCCCUUCUCAAUCCAUCGAUUUUUUUCAUUGGAGUUAUCUUGGUAUAUAUUCACCUAAAGCCUUCCAUUAGGAAUGUAGCUACUUGUGGUGCUUAUCAAUGAUCCAAUCUUCUCCUUCUCAUCUCGGUGAUGAAGUUUUCAUCUCCUUGUUGAUCUCAAUCCAAUCAACUGUUUUCGUUAGUGGUCGAUUGUCACCUCAUAAUUUUGAUAUGUUUUCCAUAAGCCCACAACAAGCUUAUCCUUUCGUUAUUGAUAAUCCAACAACUUUGUUCUAGCAUUUCCUGUAAGCGUGCUCUUUCAAGAUCUUAUUUCCCUCCGUUCAUUCCAUUCCAUUCUUUCAUUUCUUCCGGAGACAUUGUGAUGUUACUCUCUUCGACCCAUCAUCUUGUUUUGUCACGAUCAUGUUCUUUUAUUGCUUAUCCAUUUAACCGGUGUUUUGUGUUUUAUUUCCAAGUUCUUUUCAUCAAAUCAAGUCUUGCCUCUCUUCUCAAUCGGAGUGCUGUCCAAGUUCUGGCAUUCGUGUUCUUUGGCUAUCUCAUGAUAUCGGUGUGGCUCCAUAUUCUUUUGGUUCGUUGAGCUCUUGUUUCAUGUCUUUCAGCCUACAAGGUUCUCAUGGUGUUCCUUGUUUCUGUUUACUACGGAGUGCUCUCAAUUCGCUCAUCUCCGUUGUGUCAUUUCUUUCGAGUUGUUCAACUUCCAAGGUUCUUUGGUUUCACUCGUUUGUCAAGAAGCAACUUUGUUUUACCUCUUCCUCUUCCGUUUCUCUCCGGUGCCAUCCUAGAUCUAGGGACGAGAUCCUCUUGUAGUGGUGGAGUGUUGUAACGCCCCAAGACCGACGCUCCAGAUGCCUUCCAUGUUUUGCGAGUCAGCUGUGUUAUUUAUUUGUUUGUUGCAUCUCAUGUCAUGUCAUCAUUUGCAUUGCAUCGGCACUCCGGUGCCGUCAUGUUUGAAAACUUGCAUUCGUUCAUCGUUGUCGUUUCUUCCUUUGCCUUCAUCACCUUCUCUCGGACCGCUUUGCCUUUGUUGACCAUUCUAGAUCAAUCGAAUUUUUGCUUCCCUCUUGACCGUGACCGCCUAACCCCUCUUUGCGCAGUUGUAACACCCCGGAUGUAACUUUCCAUAUUUGUAACUCCAACCCUUGCCAUUUUCGGCUAUGUGUUAUGAUAUUCCCUUUGUGGUCGGGUUUUGUUUUUCAUUUUGCAUUUUGUUCAUGUCAUGCAUUUCAUAUCAUGUCAUCAUGUGCAUCUCAUUUGCAUACGUGUUCGUCUCAUGCAUCCGAGCAUUUUCCCCGUUGUCCGUUUUGCGAUCCGACACUCCCACAUGCACCGGCGCACCCCUCUUGUUUCUUUUCGUGAGCGAGUGUUGAACGUUCUCGGAAUGGACCGAGGUUUGCCAAGUGGCCUUGGUAUACCACCGGUAGACCACCUGUCAAGUUUCGUUUCAUUUGGAGGUCGUUUGAUGCUCCAACGGUUAACCGGGUAACCGCAAAGUCCUUUUGUGUGUUGCAGCAAAAACCCCCUCCAAACAGUCCAAUAACCCUUCUAAGUCCCCUCCAUGCUCUCGGUCGUUCGAUCACGAUCGUGUGGGCGAAAACCGCACUCCAUUUGGAGCCUCCUAGCUCCCUCUACCUAUAAAUAUGUGUUCCCCCUCCGAAAUCCGGGUCCCGAAACCCUAGCCCCGCUCCCUCCGCGCGCCGGACACGUCCGCCCGGCGCCAGACGAAAGCCGCCGCCGCCCGCAGCCAACCGGGGCGCGACACGUGGCAGCCGUCAGCGCCGCCGNNNNNNNNNNNNNNNNNNNNNNNNNNNNNNNNNNNNNNNNNNNNNNNNNNNNNNNNNNNNNNNNNNNNNNNNNNNNNNNNNNNNNNNNNNNNNNNNNNNNNNNNNNNNNNNNNNNNNNNNNNNNNNNNNNNNNNNNNNNNNNNNNNNNNNNNNNNNNNNNNNNNNNNNNNNNNNNNNNNNNNNNNNNNNNNNNNNNNNNNNNNNNNNNNNNNNNNNNNNNNNNNNNNNNNNNNNNNNNNNNNNNNNNNNNNNNNNNNNNNNNNNNNNNNNNNNNNNNNNNNNNNNNNNNNNNNNNNNNNNNNNNNNNNNNNNNNNNNNNNNNNNNNNNNNNNCGCCCGAGCGCGCCCGGCUCCCCGUCGCCCGCGCUGCCGCUUCCCUCGCCGACGUCCGGCCGCCUCCCGAGCUCCUCCGCCGCGCCUCGCCCUCUUCUUCUCCGGCGCCGAGCUCCGGCCGCCUCCUCUCCCGCGCCGAUCCGCACCGAACCCUAGAUCUCGCAGGUUGACUUUCUGUCGUGGAAUUGUCACGGCAGAUGUCCUCAAGCUAGGACUUAGUCGUGGAGCCAUCGCCGCUAGGAAGCUUGAAGGGGUUAAACGGGACAAGGAACAUGAAGGUUUAUACUGGUUCAGCCCCUUACGGUGAAGGUAAAAGCCUACGUCCAGUUGAGGUGAUAUUGAUUAGGGUUUCGAUGACCAGGGAGCUUAACUGCUAUGCCUGGCUCUCGGCGAGAUCUUUCUUACCCCUAAACCGCUGCCGGGUCGUCUCUUUAUAUAGAGAGGUUGACGCCCAGCAGCUCUCAGAGUCCCGGCCAGCUCAUAAGAGUGUCCGGCUUGGACUCUCAACUGUUCUUGCCUUACACUACAAGUUCUACCAUAACCACAGUUGUAACUAUGGGCCCUAGCCAUCUCCGGGUCUUAAGCCCAUCUUUGGCCCACCGUCUUCAAGCUUGGCGCCGGGCUUCAGGUGAUGACCCUUAUGAGUAACCCGGCCCCACCGGGCGGGUGACUCUAAGGUUUAUAUCCUCAACAUUAGGCCCCAGAUUGACAUGAGCCGGCUCAAAUCAAUCUUCAAUUCUUUCGACAGAAAAUCUCCGGCUUACAAUUGUGUGAGGGUCAUAACCCGGUGUGACGUCAUCCUCUGGAUUCCGGGUAAUCCGCCGUGACGUCAUCUUCCAUUAAGUCCAUUUUUUACUCCACCAUAUCCGCAACGGAUCUUAUCUUUACUGCCAUCCCGAAAAUCGAGGCGUUUUUAUGGUGAGAUAACCGCGCCGUGGCCUCCUCGUUUCUCGCGCCCACUUAUGAGCUUGCCCUUAUAAGUAGUCCGGCCCGAGGAGCCUUCAGCCACCCGUCUUCCUCCUCGCGCCACUGUUCUUCCGCUCGAGCUCUGCUGCCGUCGCCGCCGCGGGUCUUCUCGUCCUCACCGACUCCGGCCGCUGCAUCAACCUGUUGUGUCCAGAGAAAAACGGCGGCGACCUCCGUGACUCACCAGCACCCGUAAGCCAUCGCCACUCCAUAGAGUAGAUCCACAUUAAGCUCCUGCCGUUCUUCCCGUGUUCUUCACCGUUCUUCGCGAGUCCUCAGUAGAUUUGAUUUUUACCACCUUUCUUGAUCUUAGACUGUAUAGAACUGCUGCGGUAGUUGUUUCACGCCCGUUUCCAGUGUACAUAGAUCUCCUUUUUACUGCAUAGAGGCUCUGUUCGAAUCCGCAAACUUCUUCUGCGUCUGUUUUAGGUCUAGACACUUUCCUCUUUAAUCGACCAUUUUGAUCCAAAUUAGUUACUGUGAUGUGUGAAACCUGUUUUCACCACACUUAGUAAAAAAUUGUACCUGCUGAAUCAUGGCGGUUUACAUUUCCGGCUUGAAGAAGCCACGCGCCGUAAAACCUUCCGGCUCAAAAGAAGCCAUGCGCCGUAAAAUUUUCCGGCUCAUCUGCGACAAGGUCGUAGACAAUCGAAUUACUUUCAAUACCUCCAGCGGCUUAGAUAACCUGAUGCACCUAGAUAUAUGUCAUUAGGCCCCUCCAUAAGCCGCCACUUUAAACAUUGAACUGUAAAUUUCCUCCGGCUUAUAAUUAAACCGGACAUUGUUCCUUUUACCAUAGGCUUCCGACUUUCACCAUGCCUCCCAAAGCUCCCAAAGCACCCAUCACUUGCAACUGGAUGAGGUCCAACGUCACCGACGAGACCUUAGCAGAUUUUGUGAAGUCGGGUUACCUGCCCAAGAAGGACGUCAUGUCCUACCGUGCCCCCGACCCAUCAGAGGAAAGACCACAGCCAAGGGACGGGGAGGUGGUAAUUUUUGCUGAUCACAUGAGCCGGGGCUUCGCACCGCCCGGCUCAAAGUUCUUUAGAGAUGUGCUGAAUUUCUUUGAUCUGCGGCCACAAGACAUAGGACCCAAUUCUGUGUCCAAUAUAUGCAACUUCCAAGUGUUCUGCGAAGUCUACCUUGGAGAAGAGCCCAGCCUUCUGCUCUUUAGAGAGCUAUUCUAUUUGAACCGCCAGAACGAGUGCGCCAACGGGCCGAGCUUAGAACUUGGUGGAAUCUCCAUUCAGCGACGGAGAGACUGCCUUUUUCCUUACGCCGAGCCGCCAAGCCACCCAAAGGACUGGAACCAGACGUGGUUCUACUGCCAAGACACUUCGCCGGCUGACGAGAGCCCGCUGCCCGGCUUUCGUCCCUCGCGUCUGGAACCAACUCACCCUCUGUCAGACAAGCUAUCUGAGGCGGAGCGCCAACCUCUGAUCCCCACCAUCAACAAGAUCAAGGCUCUGCUGGGAAAUGGCCUUAAUGGCAUUGAUCUGGUCCGAGUCUGGAUCUCGUGGCGGGUGAUCCCCUUAAGCCGCCGCCCCGGCUUAAUGUGUGAGUACACAGGCCGGAAAGAUGACCCCCUGCGACACAGCCGCAAUGAUCUUCCUGAAGACGUUGCUGAAGACAUGACCAAGGCCCUUUUAAACGAGAGCUUGGCAGACUGCGGGAGGACCGGGUUAAGCCCGUUCUGCAAGACCAACCCGGCCCCAGCGGUAAGCCGCUGAUCUGAACAUCUUAUUUUCUUCUGUAGAUAGCUUUCAUCUGAAUCUUUAAGAAAUCGUCAUUGUAUUUUUCAGGCUGAUGACAAAUUCUGGAAGGUCAAAUAUGACCAUGAGGCGGCCAAGAAGGCCAGGAAGGCUAAGAAAGCCGCCAAGAGAGCCGCUCCCCGCAAGAAGGGAAGUAGGCCUACUGCUUCAGAGCUGCUGCAACUAAGCGACAGCUCCGAGUCAGAGGUAACCCCUGAACCUGUAAGCUCUUGUUGUGUUUGUUGUUUAUUUCUGUCCACCUUAUCAAUACUGUUCAUCAACAGGAUGACACCGGAGCAAGUAACCCGGUGGUUGAAGAGGUAAUGACACUUUCCUCCGACUCGGAGCCCUUGCCAAGGCUGAAAGUCCGAAGGGUAACCCGGAAAGUAAGAUUUUCACAUCCUUUAGCUUAUCAAGAUCCUCAAUUUCUUUUGAAGCAGCAGAUUCAUGAGAUCCGGCGGCACACCCGGACCAACAAGGAUGCUGACCUCUCCUCCGGCUUACCUGAGGCAUCAAGGAAGCGCCAGACCGAGGUUAUUUCCAAUUUAUAUCCUUUUCAUCCUCUGGCGGGUGUUAUACGUCAACCUCUCAAUUCUUCUGAUUCAAAUUAUCACGAAACGUCUCCUUCCUCUGGUGACUCGAUGCAAUCGAAUCUGCCAGCUUUCAAGACCGUACCCGGGUAAUGAUGAUCAUCUCUUGCUGUGCUUUAUCUUUACUCAUACUUUUGUACUAACCUCUUGCCCUUUCAGUGCUCAAGCCAAGCUCAGUAAAAGAGCAAAAAAAAUAAGCUGGCGGAGGAGUCGGUCGUGACGGAACCGGAAGUUUCCGCUCAAGAGCCGCCAGCCGCCUCUGCUCCUGAAGCCACCGCUCCCACCGACGAGCCAGCCGUGGAAACUUCCACCAACCCGGAUAUCUCCAGCCCGGCUCAGCCAGCCGAUGACCCGGACGUGGUAAUCACCCGGAUGGAAUUUGUCGAGCCGGGGAGACCCACUGUGCUGGCCAAGCACUCCGCCAAGGAAGAGUUGCUAGAAUGCAGCCGGGCCAAUCUGGACCUCACCAACUACACGAACUUGAGCGUCGGAGAAAUUGUCUCUGGCUACGUGAGUCAGGUGCACAAGAGCCGGGAUUUGGAGAUCCACAUGGUGAAUCAGAUACAGCAGAAGUCUGAGGUACCAUUCUACUGCUUACUGCAUAGUUAUCUUUACCAUACUAGCCCCCGAGUCGACGACUUAUGAUUGAAUAUGUUGUAGACUUAAGUUCCGGCUUACUUCCAUGAACCGGUAAUUUGUAGAUAAAGACUUUCAACAUGCAUUAGCCCCCAAGUGCCAAGUGUCUUUGCUUGGAAAGCACUUGGGACUUUAAACUUGCAUAGUAACUGUUUAUAUUAUAACCCAGAAAUUGUGCAGGCUGCUUGCAAGAAGCUUGAGGCUGACAUCUCUGAUCUGAAGACCCGCCUGAGGACGCAGGAAACUGAGACCCGGAAGGCGAACGCCAAAUUUGUGUCCAGUAUUGCUGCUCAAGAGAAGCUGAAAAAGGACUUUGAAGCUGAACGGAAAGCUUGGGCCGAAGAGAAGGCUACUCUGGUGAGCCGGGCCGAACAGGCGGAGAAAGCUGUGACGGAGAGAACCGCCGAACUCGCCGGCUUAAAGCGCCACGUGUCACAGAUGGUCGCCGCAAUCUUCGGUAAGUCAUUCCACCGGCUCUCGUCCAGUUUAUAAUCUUUAUUUCUCAUAACCCAUCAUUGCCAGCGGCUUAUCUUACUCUGUUAAAUAGGUCCCAGAAGCGCCAACCUCAACCAAAGUGUGCUGACCAAGCUGAAGGCCAUGUACACCCUGGUGGAGCAACUCUACACCGGGUCACAACGCGCCUUGGCCGUGGUGGCCCUAUCCAAUGAGGUGCCGACUCACCUGGCAGAAGUUCUUCGCCGGCUUGCCGUUCUUCCUCAGCGUGUCCAAGAGCUGCGACGGGCCUCUGCAAGAGCCGGAGCCAUAGCUGCUCUGAGCCGGGCCAAGGUGUUCCUUCCAGAACUAGACCCGGCGGACAUUGCCCUUGGCUACCCCAGCUUGAAGGAAGACGGCACCCCCUUCGACCAAAGGGACUUUGCAGCCUGCGUGAAGAUCGUACGCCCGGUGGCCACUCUGAUUGGAAAUGACACGGAUCUGACCAAGUACCAGCCGGGUUACGAUGCAGAAAAUCAGAGGAUCCCCACUCCGCGUUAUGAAGCCAUCAGCUUAGUCCCGCCGACUCGUAAGCACACCUUUGCCCCGGAAAUUGACCCGGCCGGGUUAAUUGACGAGGAAGCUCAAUUUGAAGCUCUGAGCGGCAUUGACUGGAAAUCGUCAACUUCCCAGGUCUUGGGAACAGCUGGAGGAGCGGAGAGGGAUGAGCCGGAAGCUUCAACCCAGCAAGCAUCUUAACUCUGUAGGCGGCUUAUUCAAACAAUGCUUCACCCUUUUGGACUCGAUGAGUCUUGUAAUAGAAUAUGACCAUUUUAACUUUGUCGUGUCAUCGUGCACGUGCUGAAUGCUUAAUUCCAUUGAAGUUGUUUCCUCAUAUUCCUCCGGGUCAUAAAUGAUCAUUCAUAUUCCUUAAUCUCAAAUAGUUGUCUUUAACUAUCCUGCAUAGAAAAAUAAAUCACAAGUCUCUAGGCGGCUUACCGCACUGAGAAUCAUAGUAUUAUACAUAUAACCCGGAAUAUGAAUCACAAAAGACUGGUCCUCAAUUAUGUCCUUGAUAUAACCGUAAUAACACACUUACCGGCCAGCAAGCACACUUCCGGCUUAUAUAACUCGGGUAAUAAGGUUGGUACCUCAAUUCCGGUUUACCAGUCUUAAUAACGCCGGUUGUGUUCGACUAGUACUGUGAAUCAAAGUUAAGCCGGCCAAGUGAGACCCGCCGUGCACACUUGAAACAAUCAAAAGAAUUCGUUGCAAAUCAGAAAAGCUUAGGGGCUUCCGGUUCGAAUACGACCAGAGACCCGUCCCAGAGGGGUGAUGCUAAGAUUCGAAUGCGAUCAUAUAGCCCCCAGUGGGUGUGGCGAUGCCAAUCAAAAGGGUACCGACAGCUAUGUUCUCUUUGGUUCGAAUACGACCCAUGUUUGAACAGGAAGCCCCCAAAUGAUCUUAGGAGUUGUUUAACGAUGCUGAUUCGAAUACGAUCCACGUCGGUUCCCAAAGGGGGGUUGAACUAUGAUUCAAAUAUGAUCAAAGAAAACUCCCCAAUGAGCUCGGCACUUUGCCAAUGAAAUGGGUAUCGACAGCUAUGUUCUCUUUGGUUCGAAUACGACCUAUGUUUGGACAGGAAGCCCCCAAGUGACUAUAUUGUGUAUGGCUAGAUUCGAAUACGAUCAUAAGCCGGAUCCUCCUUCAAGUUAUCAUGUGAUCUUGCAAUGAAAGUAACACAUUCACCUUUGGAGGAGAAAAAAGGACAGAGGUCCUGCUUUAUUGCUUAUCAUAAUAUAUACAUGGCUUAGAGAAAUAUGUACAUUAUGAGAGCCGGUGGCUCAAGUGUAAUAAGGCCGAAGCUGAGCUAUGUUCCACGGCCGACGGGUCUCUUCCUCCGACUUACGUGAAUCUUUGUGCUCCCGAAUGUCAAUGAGGUAAUAUGACCCGUUGUGCAAAUUCUUGCUGACCACAAAGGGCCCUUCCCAAGGCGGGGAUAGCUUGUGCGCAUCUGUUUGAUCUUGGAUGAGCCGGAGCACCAGACCGCCUUCCUGGAAGACCCGGGAUUUAACCCGGCGACUAUGAUAACGGCGCAGGUCUUGUUGGUAAAUCGCUGAGCGAGCUGCUGCCACAUCACGCUGUUCAUCCAACAAGUCAAGAGCAUCUUGGCGCGCCUGUUCAUUAUCCACCUCAACAUAAGCUGCCACUCGAGGCGAGUCAUGACGGAUGUCACUGGGGAGGACUGCUUCCGCUCCAUAAACCAUGAAGAAAGGCGUGAAACCUGUAGACCUGUUAGGAGUAGUGUUGAUGCUCCACAACACGGAGGGUAACUCCUCCACCCAACAACCCGGCGUCCGUUGUAAAGGGACCAAAAGCCGGGGUUUGAUGCCUUUCAGAAUCUCCUGAUUAGCCCUCUCAGCUUGACCAUUGGAUUGAGGGUGAGCCACUGAUGAAACAUCAAGUCGAAUAUGCUCUCGUUGACAAAACUCCUUCAUGGCGCCUUUGGAUAGAUUGGUACCAUUGUCAGUUAUAAUGCUGUGUGGAAAGCCAAAGCGAAAUAUCACCUUUUUCAUGAAUUGAACCGCCGUGGCCGCGUCACACUUGCUAACUGGCUCUGCUUCAACCCACUUUGUGAACUUGUCAACUGCCACCAAGAGGUGGGUCUUCUUAUCCUUGGACCUUUUAAAAGGCCCAACCAUAUCAAGCCCCCAGACCGCAAAGGGCCAAGUAAUUGGGAUCAUCCUCAGCUCCUGAGCCGGCACAUGAGCCCGUCGCGAGAACCUUUGGCAACCAUCACAUUUACUGACCAAGUCCUCCGCAUCAGCAUGAGCCGUCAGCCAAUAAAAACCAUGACGAAAAGCCUUGGCCACAAGAGACUUUGAGCCGGCAUGAUGGCCACAAUCCCCUUCAUGAAUCUCACGCAAGAUCUCUUGACCUUCCUCAGGGGAGACACAGCGCUGGAACGCUCCCGUAACACUGCGGCGAUGCAACUCACCAUUGAUAACUACCAUUGACUUAGACCGCCGGGUUAUUUGUCUGGCCAAAGUUUCAUCCUCAGGCAAAUCUCCCCGGGUCAUGUAAGCCAGAUAGGGCACUGUCCAGUCCGGGAUGAUGUGGAGAGCCGCCACCAGUCGUGCCUCCGGGUCAGGGACAGCCAAGUCUUCCUCUGUAGGCAACUUAACAGAAGGGUUAUGCAGGACGUCCAGGAAAAUAUUAGGCGGCACCGGUUUUCGCUGAGAGCCCCGCCGGCUUAAAGCAUCCGCCGCCUCGUUCUUCCUGCGAUCGAUGUGCUCUACUUGAUAACCCUGAAAGUGCCCAGCAAUGGCAUCAACUUCACGGCGAUAAGCCGCCAUGAGAGGGUCCUUUGAGUCCCACUUUCCCGAUACUUGUUGAGCCACCAAGUCUGAGUCGCCGAAGCACCUUACCCGGCUCAAGCUCAUCUCCUUAGCCAUCCGAAGACCGUGGAGCAAGGCCUCGUACUCAGCUGCAUUGUUAGUGCAAGGAAACAUCAAUUGUAGCACAUAACGGAACUUGUCACCUUUAGGGGAAGCCAAUACGACUCCAGCCCCCGAGCCCUCCAAUUGCCUGGACCCAUCGAAGUGAAUAGUCCAAUAUGUGUUAUCCGGCUUUUGUUCGGGCACUUGUAGCUCUGUCCAAUCAUUGAUGAAAUCCACCAAGGCCUGAGAUUUAACAGCAGUGCGUGGUACGUAUUUCAGACCAUGAGGUCGGAGCUCUAUAGCCCACUUAGCCACUCUCCCAGUGGCCUCUCUGUUUUGAAUGAUAUCUCCAAGGGGGGCAGAACUGACCACAGUGAUGGGGUGACCCUGGAAAUAAUGCUUAAGCUUCCGGCUUGCCAUGAACACACCAUAAACAAGCUUCUGCCAAUGUGGAUACCGCUGUUUGGACUCAAUGAGUACUUCGCUGACAUAAUAAACCGGCCGCUGAACCGGAUGCUCCUUACCCUCUUCCUUGCGCUCCACCACCACAGCCACACUGACGGCUCGUGUGUUAGCAGCCACAUACAACAAUAAAGGCUCCUUGUCAACCGGAGCAGCAAGGACUGGGGGCUCCGCCAGCUGCCUCUUCAAAUCCUCAAAAGCAGUAUUAGCUGCAUCAUUCCAGACAAAGUUAUUAGUUUUCUUCAUCAACUGAUCUAAUGGCAUGGCCUUCUCCCCCAAACGGCUUAUAAAACGGCUUAAAGCAGCAAUACGACCCGCCAGGCGCUGGACGUCGUUUAUGCACGCCGGCUUAGCCAGAGAGGUGAUUGCCUUGAUCUUCUCCGGGUUAGCUUCAAUACCUCUGUUAGAAACCAAGAAACCCAAGAGCUUGCCUGCAGGAACACCAAAAACACACUUGGCCGGGUUAAGCAUCAUCUUGUAGACCCGGAGAUUAUCAAAGGUUUCCCUCAGAUCAUCUAUCAAGGUUUUCUCUUCCCUGGACUUAACCACAAUAUCAUCUACAUAAGCAUGAACAUUGCGCCCAAUCUGGUUAUGAAGACAGUUCUGCACGCAACGCUGAUAAGUCGCCUGUGCACUCUUGAGCCCAAAAGGCAUAGAUACAUAGCAGAAGGCUCCAAAGGGAGUGAUGAACGCCGUCUUCUCCUGGUCCUUAACUGCCAUUUUAAUCUGAUGAUAUCCGGAAUAAGCAUCCAAGAAGCUUAAGCGCUCACAACCCGCCGUAGCAUCAAUGAUUUGAUCAAUACAGGGAAGGGCAAAAGGAUCAGCCGGACACGCUUUGUUUAAGUCCGUGUAGUCCACACACAUCCGCCAGGUGCCGUUCUUCUUGAGCACGAGCACCGGGUUAGCUAACCACUCUGGGUGAAAGACUUCAACAAUAAACCCGGCCGCCAAGAGCCGGGCCACCUCUUCACCAAUAGCUUUCCGCCUCUCUUCAUUAAACCGCCGAAGGAAUUGCCUGACCGGCUUAAAUUUUGGAUCAACAUUGAGAGUGUGCUCAGCGAGUUCUCUAGGUACACCUGGCAUGUCAGAAGGUUUCCAUGCAAAAAUGUCCCUAUUCUCACGGAUGAACUCGAUGAGCGCGCUUUCCUAUUUUGGAUCUAGAUUGGCACUGAUGCUAAACUGCUGAGAUGAAUCACCUGGAACGAAAUCAACAAGUUUAGUCUCAUCAGCCGACUUAAAUUUCAUUGCCGGCUCAUGCUCCGUAGGCGGCUUUUUCAGAGAGGUCAUAUCUGUUGGGUCAACAUUGUCCUUGUAAAAUUUUAACUCCUCUGUUGCACAAACAGAUUCUGCAUAAGCUGCAUCGCAUUCCUCACACUCCAAGGCCACCUUUCGGCUGCCAUGAACCGUAAUGGUCCCAUUGAGACCCGGCAUCGUCAGCUGUAAAUAUACGUAACACGGCCGUGCCAUGAACUUGGCGUAAGCCGGCCGCCCAAAUAUGGCAUGAUACGAGCUUCUUAUCUUGACCACCUCAAAGGUCAAUUUUUCCACCCUGUAGUUGUGCUCGUCUCCAAAGGCCACUUCCAACUCGAUCUUGCCGACUGGAUAAGCCGACUUACCAGGUACCACACCAUGGAAAAUAGUGUUUGACUGGCUGAGGUUCUUAUCAAUCAACCCCAUACGACAGAAAGUCUCAUAAUAGAGGAUGUUGAUGCUACUGCCUCCAUCCAUGAGCACCUUAGUGAACUUAUAUCCUCCCACCUGAGGAGCCACCACCAAGGCCAAGUGACCCGGAUUAUCCACCCGGGGAGGGUGAUCCUCCCUUCUCCACACUAUAGGCUGCUCAGACCAUCGUAAAUAGCGUGGAGCCGCCGGCUCAACAGCAUUCACAGCCCUCUUAUGAAGCUUCUGAUCUCGCUUACACAGAAUGGUGGUAAAUACAUGAUACUGUGCACCGCUAAGCUGCUUUGGAUUGGUCUGAUAACCCCCCUGCUGCUGUUGAUGACCCUGGCUAGACUGCUGAUUAAAGCCCCCUUGACCGUUCUGAGGAUUAGAAUUUGAGCCGCCGCCCGGGCCAUGAAAACCGCCGGCGCCUGAGCCACCGCCCGGGCCAUUGUUGCCGUUAAAGGCGUUGGAAUUCCUAAAGGCCUUCAUGAUUGCACAAUCCUUCCAUAGAUGAGUAGCUGGCUUCUCUCUAGAGCCAUGCCUUGGACAGGGCUCAUUCAACAGUUGCUCCAGCGUCGGGCCUGACCCGCCGGCUCGGGGAGGGGGCCUCCCCUUGCGUCUCUGGCUGUUACCCUGUGAACUGGCGUUGGCCACGAACUCUAGGCUGCCUUCGGCCUUACGCUUGCCACCUCCUUGGUUCCCCGGGUUAUGCUGAGGACCCUUGCCAUUGCCAUUCUUCUUUCCCUUCCCUAUCCUUUCAUCAUCUGAAGCGGGGUCCUUGGUACUAUCAGAAUCGGCGUACUUGACGAGAGCCGCCAUCAGCGUACCCAUGUCAUUGCAGUCAUGCUUAAGCCGCCCGAGUUUCAUCUUCAGGGGCAGAAAACGACAAUUUUGCUCCAACAUUAAGACUGCAGAGCCGGCAUCCAUCUUAUCCGAUGAAUGUAUGAUCUCUUUGACCCGGCGAACCCAAUGUGUCGUAGACUCACCCUCCUGUUGUUUACAGUUAGUCAAAUCCACUAUUGACAUAGACUGUCUACAGGUGUCUUUGAAGUUUUGUAUGAACCGGGCCUUCAGCUCAGCCCAAGACCCGAUGGAAUUCGGCGGUAGCCCUUUCAACCAAGUGCGGGCAGUCCCAUCUAGCAUCAUGGUGAAGUACUUGGCCAUCGCCGCUUCACUGACCUCCAGCAGUUCCAUGGCCAUCUCGUAACUUUCGAUCCAGGCUCCGGGUUGUAAGUCAGCCGUGUAAUUAGGCACCUUCCUAGGGCCUUUGAAGUCCUUGGGUAGACGUUCAUUGCGGAGAGCUGGCACUAAACAAGGGACACCUCCAGUCCUCGUAGGGAUACCCACGUCGACGGAAGUCGUCGGAUAAGCCGGGGGAGUCUGGUAAGCCGUCAACUGAGGCACCUGCUCCACCUCUUGCCGCGCUCUGUCUUGGUCCGCUGCGUGAAAGGCUCCGUUAUGAGCCGGGCCAUGGCCAGGGGGCGGGUCAUGGCGUCGGACAUUACUUGAGCCGGUCGCUGAGACCAUGUGUCUGCUGUAACUCGGGCUCCGGCCUGGACGAGGGGUCGAGUGGAUCCUGUCCCGGCUGUAAGAGUAUGCCUCUUGCUGCGCCAGCGCUGUCUGAAGGAGUUCCCUGACCCGGCGGGUUUCAAUAGCCGUUGGAGAGUCGCCGUCAAUUGGGAGGGCCGCCAGCCGUGCUGCUGCGGCGACCAUGUUCUCCAGCGGGUUAGCAUAAUGACCCGGUGGUAUUGGCACAUACUGAGGCGGGGCAGGGCUCACCCGGGGAGGCCCCAUCACUUGUGGCUGAACAGGGGUCCCAGACCCGGGCACUAUGAUCCCUGGCGGGUUACUAGACCCUACACCUGGCGUAUUGAAGAGGUUUCGAGGAUCGUAAACCGGAGGGAGUCGAGAUUGGGCCUUUCGAUGCCUCCUUCUCAUGACCUCAUUGGACGCGUUCUGAUCCAUCGUGAGCCGGAAGGACUGCGCCUGAAUCAACUGAGCUUGGGCGUCGAGAGCCGCCCUCUCCGCAGCCAUCCUGAUCCCUUCCGCUGCCAGAUCCUCUUUGGCUUUCACUAGAUCUAACUUUAACUGCGCCACCUCCGCGUCAUGCUGAGCUUGAUCCACCGGGUCAACCGCGGCGGUCAACAGGGCCGUCAUCUUGUCCGUGAGAUCCAUCAGCACCUGAGCCGGCGAGGGCGCCGGGUUUCCCGCCCCAGCAGCAGGGUUCUGAACAGGCUGCGCACCGGCCAUGAAGAUUCCAACCCGGCUCGGCGUCUCAAACGGGUCCGGAAUACUGUCACCAUCGGAACAACCCAUUAGCCUGCCAUCUUGAAGUUGAUACAACGAGUUUGACUCAUCUGUGGAUGAUUCGCCGUCAGAGUUGGCGGCCGUCUCAUCACCAGAUCCAGAUCCACCAGAGAGCCCUCCAUGGAUACAUCCCACAAAAGCAUGCUUCAAGGCAGGCAGGGCCCGGGCGGGUCGUGCGCGCUGAGCCGUGUCGAUGAGAUCGGCGCAGAGAUCCGGCCCAGGGCCCGGCUCACCAAUCUUGCCAAUGAAAACAUGAAUUCCGCCGAAGGGGACCCGGUAUCCGUACUCAAUUGAGCCGGCGUCGGGGCCCCAGCUUGCAUCGUCGAUGUAGAGCUUGCCGCGACGACUCUUGGUCAUCCGGCCCACAACGUAUCCCUUGAGCCCUUCGAAGCUGCCCUUCAAGAACUCAAAUCCACCGUGCGCUGGCCCCACGGUGGGCGCCAACUGUCGUGGAAUUGUCACGGCAGAUGUCCUCAAGCUAGGACUUAGUCGUGGAGCCAUCGCCGCUAGGAAGCUUGAAGGGGUUAAACGGGUCAAGGAACACGAAGGUUUAUACUGGUUCGGCCCCUUACGGUGAAGGUAAAAGCCUACGUCCAGUUGAGGUGAUAUUGAUUAGGGUUUCGAUGACCAGGGAGCUUAACUGCUAUGCCUGGCUCUCGGCGAGAUCUUUCUUACCCCUAAACCGCUGCCGGGUCGUCUCUUUAUAUAGAGAGGUUGACGCCCAGCAGCUCUCAGAGUCCCGGCCGGCUCAUAAGAGUGUCCGGCUCGGACUCUCAACUGUUCUUGCCUUAUACUACAAGUUCUACCAUAACCACAGUUGUAACUAUGGGCCCUAGCCAUCUCCGGGUCUUAAGCCCAUCUUUGGCCCACCGUCUUCAAGCUUGGCGCCGGGCUUCAGGUGAUGACCCUUAUGAGUAACCCGGCCCCACCGGGCGGGUGACUCUAAGGUUUAUAUCCUCAACACUUUCCCCUCUCCCCGUUUUUCUCCAAGUCCUGAUAUUUUCACAUUAUAUCCUCAUGUUCAUUGCAUCAUAUCUCAUUGCAUACUGCUCCAUUUUGCGUGCAUGAUAUAUCAAAAUGUUCGCCUCGAGAUGCUCUUCAUUUUGUUCCAUUAUGCCAUGUUCAUUUGAGUCCACCUUGAUGCCCAAAUCUCUGGUGCAAGAGUGCUAUAUGCUGUUACCUGCUGCUACUUAUCAGAACUUGAUGUUUUGUUAUUUUUGUUGCAUUUGAUGUGUGCAUCUUAUGGGCAUGAGCUCUACAGGUAUUUUGAUUUAUGCCAUGCCAUCGUUACAGAGGUUUAUGCCAUGUAUUUUUGUGAUCUAUGUGGUGACUAGCACAAGCAUGCAAACUAGGCUUCGUGAUGUUUCUGUUUCCAGGGACUUAGAAAUUUUGCCAAGUCUUUGUCUGCUGUUAUUUUAUUGCUAUGUAUCCCUGUGGCUACAGAGAGAUCCAUACUUAUUUUGAGUAUAUUCAGUAAGGAUGUUUUGUAGAUAUAGUUGUGCUCUAUUCACCCAUGCCCCUGGUUGAAAUUAUGGAGUGCCCUAGCAUAACCAAAACUUGCUCUACUUUUGCUAUAAAAUAUUCCUGGCAGAUUGUUAACAUGAUAUUCAAUUUUGCCAAGGUUGUUGUAGUUGAUCCAUACAUGCUAUAAACUUGCUCUUGCCAUGGUUAGCUUCAUAGACAUGCCAUAUUGCUUUAGGUAUGCUUGUUUUGUCAUGCAUUGCUUUGUGAUGGGUGAGUCAAGCUCACCAAGAUGCCCUCAUAAUUUCUGUUAAUGCCAUGCUCUGUUUUCUGCCAAGUCUGGAACCUGUUAACGAAACUUGCUAUGUUUACAUAGUUGCCAUGAUAUCUUCUGAUCCUUUUUGACUCAUGGUCACUAAGGGACUUUUGUUUUAUGCAUUUAGCAAAUUCAUGUUGUGCCUUGUUUUGCUAUGUUAAGGUCCUGUAGCAUGUUGAUUUCUUGCUCUGAACAUUGCUACCUGAUGCUGUUUAUGCCAUGUCCAGUAUUUUCUCUAAGUCUGCUAUCCUGAUAUCUUUUGCACUUUUGCCAUGCUUGUUUGAACCUGUUAUGUUGUGAUCUAGCCGUAGCUCAGUGUUCAUCUUUUGUCAAGAAUCUCCUGUAGAUUAAUGCCAUAUGCUUUGUUGCUAUGUUGGGGUGCUGUAGCAUAGUUACUUGAUGUAUUCUAAGUGCUAUCAUGCUGUUAAUCGCAGAAUCGUGUCAUUCUUGUUUUGCUUGCCAUUUGCAAACCGUGCAUCCGUUUCCGGUGAUCUUUAUAUCGAUUUCGACCGAAAUCAUCUCAUCUUUCCAGUGGCAUACUUGGUUUGCCAAGUUAAUGCCUUGUUCACCCUUUUUCUUCCGGAGCACGCAUAUGCAUCGCAUACCACAUCUCGCAUAUCAUACAUGUUUUGCAUCAUGUUGGUUGUGCAUUUCCCGUGAUUGAUUGUGGUUCCGUUGCUUGUGUUCUUGUUUUUGGUAGAGCCAGGAGACGAGUUCGUGAACGAGGAACAUGUUGAGUACGCUUACGAGGAUCAAGCUUUCGACAACUCUGAGAACCUUGCAGGCAAGAUGACAAUACCCUCGAAAUCAUUUCUAUCUUUGCUUUGCUAGUUGUUCGCUCUAUUCUGCUAUGCUGCGCUACCUACCACUUGCUAUAUCAUGCCUCCCAUAUUUCCAUGUCAAGCCUCUAGCCAUCCUUUCCUAGCAAACCGUUGUUUGGCUAAGUUACCGCUUUUGCUCAGCCCUUCUUAUAGCGUUGUUAGUUGCAGGUGAAGUUGAAGUUGGUUCCAUGUUGGAACAUGGAUAUUUUUUAAUAUCACAAUAUCUCUUAUUUAAUUAAUGCAUCUAUAUAUUUGGUAAAGGGUGGAAGGCUCGGCCUUAUGCCUGAUGUUUUGUUCCACUCUUGCCGCCCUAGUUUCCGUCAUACCGGUAUUAUGUUCCUUGAGUUUGCGUUCCUUACGCGGUUGGGUCAUUUAUGGGACCCCCUUGAUAGUUCGCCUUGAAUAAAACUCCUCCAGCAAGGCCCAAUCUUGGUUUUACCAUUUUCCACCUAAGCCUUUUCCCUUGGGUUUUCGCGAGCCCGAGGGUCAUCUUUAUUUAACCCCCCGGGCCAGUGCUCCUUCGAGUGUUGGUCCGAACCGAGCAACCUGCGGGGCCACCUCGGGGAAACUCGAGGCCUGGUUUAUUCGUAGCUUGACUUAUCCGGUGUGCCCUGAGAACGAGAUAUGUGCAGCUCCUAUCGGGAUUUGUCGGCGCAUCAGGCGGCUUUGCUGGUCUUGUUUUACCAUUGUCGAAAUGCCUUGUAAACCGGGAUUCCGAGAUUGAGCGGGUCUUCCCGGGAGAAGGUUUAUCCUUCGUUGACCGUGAGAGCUUAUAAUGGGCUAAGUUGGGACAACCCUGUAGGGUAUUAUCUUUCAAAAGCCGUGCCCGCGGUUAUGAGGCAGAUGGGAAUUUGUUAAUGUCCGGUUGUAGAGAACUUGUCACUUGACUUAACUAAAAUACAUCAACUGUGUGUGUAGCCGUGAUGGUCUCUUCUCGGCGGAGUCCGGGAAGUGAACACGGUUUGAGUUAUGCAUGAGCGUAAGUAGUUUCAGGAUCACUUCUUGAUCACUUCUAGUUUCGCGACCAUUGCGUUGCUUCUCUUCUCGCUCUCAUUUGCGUAUGUUAGCCACCAUAUAUGCUUAGUGUCUGCUGCAGCUCCACCUCAUUACACCUUCUUUUCCUAUAAGCUUAAAUAGUCUUGAUCUCGCGGGUGUGAGAUUGCUGAGUCCUCGUGACUCACAGAUUCUACCAAAACAGUUGCAGGUGCCGACGAUGCCAGUGCAGAUGAUGCAACCGAGCUCAAGUGGGAGUUCGACGAAGAACGUGGUCGUUAUUAUGUUUCGUUUCUUGAUGAUCAGUAGUGGAGCCUAGUUGGGUCGAUCGGGGAUCUAGCAUUUGGGGUUAUCUUAUUUUCAUUUGGAUUUGACCGUAGUCGGUCUAUGUGUGGACUUUGGAUGAUGUAUGGAUUAAUUUAUGUAUUGUGUGAAGUGGCGAUUGUAAGCCAACUCUCGUUAUCCCUUUCUUGUUCAUUACAUGGGAUUGUGUGAAGAUAACCCUUCUUGCGACAAUACCACAAUGCGGUUAUGCCUCUAAGUCGUGCCUCGACACGUGGGAGAUAUAGCCGCAUCGUGGGCGUUACAGCAGUGCAUAGACCCCUCUCGCGCGUCCAACAGCUGUCCCGAACCCGACCCGCUCAGUCGUCACUGUUGGAUCCAAAUCAUCUUCCNNNNNNNNNNNNNNNNNNNNNNNNNNNNNNNNNNNNNNNNNNNNNNNNNNNNNNNNNNNNNNNNNNNNNNNNNNNNNNNNNNNNNNNNNNNNNNNNNNNNNNNNNNNNNNNNNNNNNNNNNNNNNNNNNNNNNNNNNNNNNNNNNNNNNNNNNNNNNNNNNNNNNNNNNNNNNNNNNNNNNNNNNNNNNNNNNNNNNNNNNNNNNNNNNNNNNNNNNNNNNNNNNNNNNNNNNNNNNNNNNNNNNNNNNNNNNNNNNNNNNNNNNNNNNNNNNNNNNNNNNNNNNNNNNNNNNNNNNNNNNNNNNNNNNNNNNNNNNNNNNNNNNNNNNNNNNNNNNNNNNNNNNNNNNNNNNNNNNNNNNNNNNNNNNNNNNNNNNNNNNNNNNNNNNNNNNNUAUAUAUAUAUAUAUAUAUAUAUAUAUAUAUAUAUAUAUAUAUAUAUAUAUAUAUAUAUAUAUAUAUAUAUAUAUAUAUAUAUAGACCCUAGUCCAUUUUGGACCAAACCCUAAAUCCUAGGACAUUUGUCCCCCCAGCCGCCACCACUGUCUUCCUCGGGAUCUCAUCCCGAUCCAAUCCACCAACCACGUCGCGCCCCUGAUCCAAAAUUCCUCUCGGUCUCCCCACCCAUCCACCUCGAGCACCCGUAGGUGCCUCCGUCCUCUCGCCACCGGAGCCCCGAGCUGCCACUGCGUCGUCCUUCGUCCUCGCAGCUGUCUUCACCUAUAACCACAGAAGCUUCCCGCGCCAUGGCUGCAGCCCGAGUCCUCCUGCCUCGCUCGAUCUGGACCAGGAGGGUCCCGAGCAUCUCCACCGUCGCCGUCUCAGUUGAGCGCCGCCCUGGUUCCCUUUCUCUCCUUCCUCCGGUCCCCUCAUCUCAUCUCUCUCUCUUUUGUGUUGCGACGCCGCUGUUUCUACAGAGCCACUGCCGCCAUGGAGCUCCAACUCCGGCCACCUCAUCUCCGUGGUGAUCUGACACCUCGGGUUCCGUCCGACCGCCGGCGUCCCAUCCUCGCCUCUGCUUCGAACACACGCGCGCGCCUGCCUCCCUCGUCUCGCAAGCCUCGUCGUGGGUCAACCGCGUCCGCCUCCAUGGGCUUCCUCAUGGAGCACCACCACCGCAUCUCCUCGGAUCCGUCGGGUCCCGACCAUCCCCGUCGUUGCUAGAAUUCUCAGCUCGCCGGAGCCCCAUGACCCUGCGCCAAGUCCCUCUGCUGCUCCCCUGCUUCGCGCCUGCUGCCUCCCGCAUCGGGCGAGGGGACGAACUCCUCCUCGGCCAGCUGCAUCAUCCGCCUGCGUUAACCGCGCCUGCGCCACGUCAGCCUAUGGGCCCCACCUUCCUGCCGCGUCCGCAGCCUGCCUCCUCUCCAGCGUCGGGCCUAAGUCCCACGUCGCCGGCAGCCGUUCCCGCCGUCCGUCGUCGUGAACCUGCUGCUGCUGUCUCUGUUCUUCAGUAACGAGAAGGAGCAGCUCGCUCGCCUCGCUCGCGUUGACCGACACUGCCUCGCUGACCCGCUCGCUCGCCAGCCGCAGCAACCGCGUCCUGGGCCUCAAGCCAGGAGCAGCCCAGGGACCGGCCUCCUCCAGCCCUUUGCAUCGAACGGGCUUUGGCCAUGGUGAGAACCCCAGCCCAGCACCCAGCAGUUUCAGCCUAGUGUUGUUUUCUUUCCCGUCUGCGAAUUUGUCUAAUUUUCCAGAGAUGACAGAUUUGCAGAAUAACCCUCAUGUUCAUGCAUUUAAUAUUUAACAAACCAUGCAUCGGAUUAAAACAACUUAUAUAUGCAAAAUGCUUAGUUUUUCAUCUAGUUUCAUAAUCUGCUACUUUCAUCUAUGUUAAAAAUGUUUAACAUGCUGCUUGUGUUUAUUUUGCAUAAUGUCAUGCUAAAAUGAUUUAUUUCAUAACCAAAUAACCGCAGCUCCAAAUUUAAUAAACUUUAUAUGCAAAUGGGGUAGCAAAAUGCAUAGUUUAACAUGGUGCCAUCACUUUGCAUGUUUAACAACUCUAAAAUAUGGUUUAGGGCAGAACAGUACCAAAUUCAUAAUAUGGACAUGAGGAUUUUUCGGAAUUGUUGUUUGUUGUUCCGGCCUCAUUUAAACUUGCAUAGAUAAGUAGUUUUCAUAUGCUUCACCCCUUGCCAUGUUUAAUAAAAUUUAAUAUUGUUGGGUACAUAAACGAGAGAGAACUAAAUAAUUGAUGUGGUGUUUCAUCAAUAUGCAACUCAUUGCAUAUUGAGCUCCACUUAAUUUGUAGUAUUGUUUGUGCACUUUGCCAUGCCAUGCCUCAUUAAACCGGACAUGCAUCAUGCUUGAUUGUGCAUCAUGCCAUGUUUAUGUGAUGGUUGUUUACCAUGAUGUUUCCUUCUUUCCGGUUUGCUUCUCUCAUUAGCUUCGGUUUCGUUUUGGAGUUCUGAGGAUUUGCUCGACUACGUCCGUUUGUCUUCUUCAUGGACUCGUUCUUCUUCCUUGCGGGAUCUCAGGCAAGAUGACCAUUAUCCUCGAUAUCACUUCUAUCUUUGCUUGCUAGUUGUUCGCUCUAUCGCUAUGUCGCGCUACCUACCACUUGUUCAUCAUGCCUCCCCUAUUGCCAUGUCAAGCCUCUAACCCACCUUCCUAGCAAACCGUUGUUUAGCUAUGCUACAGUUUUUGCUCAGCCCCUCUUAUAGCGUUGUUAGUUGUAGGUGAAGUUGAAGAUUGCUCCAUGUUGGAACAUGUUUAUGUUGGGAUAUCACAAUAUCUCUUAUUUUAAUUAAUGCAUCUAUAUACUUGGUAAAGGGUGGAAGGCUCGGCCUUAUGCCUGGUGUUUUGUUCCACUCUUGCCGCCCUAGUGUCCGUCAUACCGGUGUUAUGUUCCUUGAUUUUGCGUUCCUUACGCGGUUGGGGUUAUGUGACCCCCUUGACAGUUCGCUUUGGAUAAAACUCCUCCAGCAAGGCCCAACCUUGGUUUUAACAUUUGCCACCUAAGCCUUUUUCCCUUGGGUUCUGCAGACUCAAGGGUCAUCUUUAUUUUAACCCCCCCGGGCCAAUGGUCCUCUGAGUGUUGGUCCAAACUAGAGCCCUUUGCAGCGCCACCUCGGGGAAACUUGAGGUCUGGUUUUAGUUGUACGGAUUGCUCAUCCAGUGUGCCCUGAGAACGAGAUAUGUGCAGCUCCUAUCGGGAUUUGUCGGCACAUUCGGGUGGUCUUGCUGGACUUGUUUUACCAUUGUCAAAAUGUCUUGUAACCGGGAUUCCGAGUCUGAUCGGGUCUUCCCGGGAGAAGGAAUAUCCUUUGUUGAUCGUGAGAGCUUGUGAUGGGCUAAGUUGGGACACCCCUGCAGGGUAUAAACUUUCGAAAGCCGUGCCCGCGGUUAUGUGGCAGAUGGGAAUUUCUUAAUGUCUGGUUGUAGAGAACUUGACACUUGACUUAAUUAAAAUGCAUCAACCGCGUGUGUAGCCGUGAUGGUCUCUUUUCGGCGGAGUCCGGGAAGUGAACACGGUUUUGGGUUAUGUUUGGACGUAAGUAGUUUCAGGAUCACUUCUUGAUGACUUCUAGCUUCUCGACCAUUGCGUUGCUUCUCUUCUCGCUCUUAUUUGCGUACGUUAGCCACCAUAUUUGCUUAGUGCUUGCUGCAGCUCCACCUCAUUACCCUAUCCUACCCAUAAGCUUAAAUAGACUUGAUCUCGUGGGUGUGAGAUUGUUGAGUCCUCGUGACUCACCAGAUACUAUCACAACAGUUGCGGGUGCCGAUGAAACCAGUGCAGGUGACGCAACCGAGCUCAAGUGGGAGUUUGAUGAGGACCUUGGUCGUGACUACGUUUCGUUUCCUGAUGAUCAGUAGUGGUACCCAGUUGGGACGAUCGGGGAUCUAGCAUUUGGGGUUGUCUUCCUUUUCAUUUGUAAUCGUCCGUAGUCGGACUAUGUGUGUACUCUGAUUGAUGUAUGAUCAAUUUAAGUAUUGUGUGAAGUGGCGAUUGUAAGCCAACUCUCUUUAUCCCAGUCUUGUUCAUUACAUGGGAUUGUGUGAAGAUGACCCUUCUUGCGACAAAACCUACAAUGCGGUUAUGCCUCUAAGUCGUGCCUCGACACGUGGGAGAUAUAGCCGCAUCGUGGGUGUUACAAGUUGGUAAUCAGAGCCAUCCCCGACUUAGGAGCCCCCUGCUUGAUCGAAUCGCUGACGUUGUUGAGUCUAGAACAAAAAUGUUUUGAGUCUUAGGAUUAUAUAUAUCGGAGAGUAGGAUUCUUUUUACUCCUCAGUCCCCUCAUCGCUCUGGUGAGGUCUCUUGACGUAGAUGUUUUGACUUUCCUCUCCUCAAAUUUCACUAAUUUUUUUAGGAUCACAUGGGUAACUUGGGAUCGUUCCGAUAUUCUUGUGACGAGAACAUUGUUCUUGGUGCCUCCUGACAUUUAGGUGUUGUGGCAGUGUCCCGGGGAGUUGACCUCCGAGGUGUUGUCGUCACAAUUUUAUCGUUGCAGUUCUAGAAUACCUGAGUUUCACCGACAUCGAAAAUCUCUUUUAUGCAGUUUUUGGUGAGAUAACCUCGACGCCACCCAGUACUGGGGCGGGAGUUCGGGAGUAUUGUCAUAACUCAUAUAACGGAUGCUUUUCGAAGUUUGAGGUACACGAUUUCCGAAGGUUUCUUGGUUAUGUGUUGACGGAUGGAUACAGCUGGAUGUAGGGAUUGUUAGUUUGGGUGAGAUAUUAUGCUUUCCCUGUAUCCCCAACACCAGAUUGCAUAAUCAGAAAGUUUCGAGAGUUAAUAGGUGGGAAUUCAAGUAGCUCCUAGAAUAUCUUUUCGAUGGAUGUAUGAUUUGAGAUUGGGGUCCAACGUCUAGUGGUUCGCUUUUCACGGUCGAUUUACAGUGGUCGCGAGGCAUCUUAAAGAAUCCUUGGCUAUACCGAUUCGGGGACGUCUUGUUUGUCAUUCGUGACGUUGAUAUGUCUCCAACGUAUCUAUAAUUUUUUAUUGUUCCAUGCUAUUAUAUUAUCUAUUUUGGAUAUUUAUGGGCUUUAUUAAACACUUUUAUAUUAUUUUGGGACUAACCUAUUAACCCAGAGCCCAGUGCCAGUUUCUGUUUUUUCCCUUGUUUUAGUGUUUCGCGGAAAAGGAGUAUCAAACGGAGUCCAAGCGGAAUGAAGCCUUCGGAAAAGUUAUUUUUGGAAAGAAAGAAACACGGGAGACUUGGAGUGCACGUCAGGAAAGCAACGAGGGAGGCACGAGGCAGGGGGGCGCGCCCACCCCCCUGGGCGCGCCCUCCACCCUCGUGGGCCCCUCGUGGCCCCCCCUGACGUAUUUCUUCCUCCUAUAUAUACCAAUAUAUCCUAAAACCUUCGGGGAGCAGAAUAGAUCGGGAGUUCCGCCACUGCAAGCCUCUGUAGGCACCAAAAACCAAUCGGGACCCUGUUCCGGCACCCUGCCGGAGGGGGAUCCCUCAUCGGUGGCCAUCUUCAUCAUCCUGGCGCUCUCCAUGACGACGAGGGAGUAGUUCACCCUCGGGGCUGAGGGUAUGUACCAGUAGCUAUGUGUUUGAUCUCUCUCUCUCUCGUGUUCUUGAGGUGAUACGAUCUUGAUGUAUCGCGAGCUUUGUUAUUAUAGUUGGAUCUUAUGAUGUUUCUCCCCCUCUACUCUCUUGUAAUGGAUUGAGUUUUCCCUUUGAAGCUAUCUUAUCGGAUUGAGUCUUUAAUGAUUUGAGAACACUUGAUGUAUGUCUUGCGUGGGAUAACCGUGGUGACAAUGGGUUAUUCUACUGAUUCACUUGAUGUAUGUUUGGUGAUCAACUUGCGGGUUCCACCCAUGAACCUAUGCAUAGGGGUUGGCACACGUUUUCGUCUUGAUUCUCCGGUAGAAACUUUGGGGCACUCUUUGAGGUUCUAUGUGUUGGAUGAAUAGAUGAAUCUGAGAUUGUGUGAUGCAUAUCGUAUAAUCAUACCCAUGGAUACUUGAGGUGACAUUGGAGUAUCUAGGUGACAUUAGGGUUUUGGUUGAUGUGUGUCUUAAGGUGUUAUUUUACUAUGAACUCUAGGGCUGUUUGUGACACUUAUAGGAAUAGCCCAAUGGAUUGAUCAGAAAGAAUAACUUUGAGGUGGUUUCGUAUCCUACCAUAAUCUCUUCGUUUGUUCUCCGCUAUUGGUGACUUUGGAGUGACUCUUUGUUGCAUGUUGAGGGAUAGUUAUAUGAUCCAAUUAUGUUAUUAUUGUUGAGAGAACUUGCACUAGUGAAAGUAUGAACCCUAGGCCUUGUUUCCUAGCAUUGCAAUACCGUUUACGCUCACUUUUAUCGCUUGUUACCUUGCUGUUUUUAUAUUUUCAGAUUACAAAAACCUAUAUCUACCAUCUAUAUUGCACUUGUAUCACCAUCUCUUCGCCGAACUAGUGCACCUAUACAAUUUACCAUUGUAUUGGGUGUGGGGACACAAGAGACUCUUUGUUAUUUGGUUGCAGGGUUGUUUGAGAGAGACCAUCUUCAUUCUACGCCUCCCACGGAUUGAUAAACCUUAGGUCAUCCACUUGAGGGAAAUUUGCUACUGUCCUACAAACCUCUGCACUUGGAGGCCCAACAACGUCUACAAGAAGAAGGUUGUGUAGUAGACAUCAGACAUCCGCUGUACGUCGUGCCCGUGGGGCCUCAUCACGAACACUUUGGGCGAAAUCUCUAUCCUAUGUUUGUUUCCGGCUUAUUCUGCGAGCCAAAUCCUUUGUUUUGUUUUGAGUUGUGGUAUUCGAGUUGCUUCAAUGUCAAGUGUGAUUCCAUAUUUUUUCUAAGCGGUGUUCUCAUAUUUCUAUGGGAGUGUUAAUCCUUCUUAAUUAUCGAGAUUGUCGUCCCAAUUCUAUUUCCAACCGGUGCGCUUCUCUUCGAGAAGAUCCCAUCAUUCUCCCCACCCGCAAGAUCAAUUCUAAGUUUUCUCAACAGUGUUUGUUCCAUUUCAUCCCCAAGUUGCCUUUGUUUUUCCCGCCCUCCCACCCUUUUUCUUCAAGGACUCAAAUUUCUUAAUCAAGUAUCCAUCUUAUGGAUGUGAAGUCUCUUCAUUCUUUUCUUUCAAUGUUCUUAUCCGGUGAUUUCCCAUGAAGAUGGUUAGGAGUUUCAAGUUCAUCAUUCUUCGUUCUUUUUUCUUCUCCGGUGGAUUCAAGUCAAGUUUUCGGUGUUUAUCAUAUUCCCUUCCUCGUUUCAAAUGUUUUCUCAUGCCGGUGCACCUCUUAAUCAUCCACCUCUUGCUAUUCAUGUUUAUCUGGAGUGCUGAAGAUAUCCCAGAAGAUUCAUGUUUCUAUUCGUAAUCCUUUGAAGCUAUUUCAAGGUCUUACCUUAUUCAAGCCAUUUAAUUCAAUCGGCGAAAUCUCUCUUUUAAAUCGUUCAACGGCGUUUCUUUUGAGUGGGCCCUAACCCACAGGUCUUUUCCAGGAUCUUACCUGACUCUUCUAAUUCUUCUCGGAGCUAUUCCCAAAUUCAUUUCAAAGUUUGACGUAAGAAUGAGUUAUCAUCAGUCAAAUGUCUUUCUCCAAGAUCUUUCAAAUUCUUUUCAUCGUUCGUUCAAUCUUUCUAAUUUUCAUUCCGGAGUGCCUCAACAAUUCAUAGUGGUGUCUCUUGUCGUCAUUCUCUCCAUUUGAAAACUGAAGAAGAUUUUCUCUUAAAUCUUGCUCCGUUCUCUUAAAGAUGCGUAGUUCAAGCUUGAUGCCGUCCUCUCAUAAUUGUUUUUCGAUUGUGAGAAUUCUUUUCACCCAUCCGGUGCAAUUCAGGAGUAUUUUCAGUUUGAUUCUCCGGAGCCCAUCAUCUCAGAAUUAUUCAUUCCAGCUUUCAGCUCUUGUUCCCCAAAUCUUACCGUUCCAUCAUUCAAAUAUCCUCUAAUCAGUUCACGAUCUCUUCGCUCUCAUGUAUCUAAAUCCCCUCAAGUAUCUUCUUUCGUUUUCUAAUUCUUCCCGGUGAAUUGUGCCCUUGCUACUUUCAUUUUCAAUUCUUACGGUGGUUCGUUCAAGAUUUGUCUUCCUUCAUUAUCAUAUCAAUUUAUUCGUUGUUUCAAUCCUACCGGUGGUUCGUUGAAGAUCUUCCCAAGUUGAGCUAUAUCUCUCUUAAUCCUUUCUAUGAGAAUAAGUAGUAUGCCAAAUCCGUUGCUUGUCAUCAAUUUAAAUUGGUGAAGGAUACGCAUAAUGUAAUUCUUAUUAUUGUUUCAUCCAAGUGAUCUAGUUUCUUCUUUCCAGAGUUGUUCAUCAUGUCACAUUUCUUGAUUCGAGACGCUUCAUCUUUUCUUUUCCGGAGUUCCAAGUUUUCUGCUUUAUCUCGUCGCGAAGCUCCAUCAAAAUCAUCGCAAGGCUUCACCUUGUGCUCUCAACUUCUCUUUAUUUUUAUCAUCCUUUCAUUACCAGAGUUCUUCAUGGAGGCUCUAAUGUUGGAAAUAUGCCCUAGAGGCAAUAAUAAAAUGGUUAUUAUUGUAUUUCUUUGUUCAUGAUAAUUGUCUAUUGUUCAUGCUAUAAUUGUAUUAACUGGAAACCGUAAUACAUGUGUGAAUACAUAGACCACAACAUGUCCCUAGUAAGCCUCUAGUUGACUAGCUCGUUGAUCAAUAGAUGGUUAUGGUUUCCUGACCAUGGACAUUGGAUGUCAUUGAUAACGGGAUCACAUCAUUAGGAGAAUGAUGUGAUGGACAAGACCCAAUCCUAAGCAUAGCACAAGAUCGUGUAGUUCGUUUGCUAAGAGCUUUCCUAAUGUCAAGUAUCGUUUCCUUAGACCAUGAGAUUGUGCAGCUCCCGGAUACCGUAGGAAUGCUUUGGGUGUACCAAACUUCACAACGUAACUGGGUGGCUAUAAAGGUGCACUACAGGUAUCUCCGAAAGUGUCUGUUGGGUUGGGACGAAUCAAGACUGGGAUUUGUCACUCCGUAUGAUGGAGAGGUAUCUCUGGGCCCACUCGGUAAUGCAUCAUCAUAAUGAGGUCAAUGUGACUAAUGAGUUAGCCACAGUAUCAUGCGUUACGGAACGAGUAAAGAGACUUGCCGGUAACAAGAUUGAACGAGGUAUGGGGAUACCGACGAUCGAAUCUCGGGCAAGUAACAUACGGAUAGACAAAGGGAAUUGAAUACGGGAUUGAUUGAAUCCCCGACAUCGUGGUUCAUCCGAUGAGAUCAUCGUGGAACAUGUGGGAGCCAAUAUGGGUAUCCAGAUCCCGCUAUUGGUUAUUGGCCGGAGAGGUGUCUCGGUCAUGUCUGCAUGGUUCCCGAACCUGUAGGGUCGACACACUUAAGGUUCGGUGACGCUAGAGUUAUUAUGGGAAAUAGUAUGUGGUUACUGAAGGUUGUUCGGAGUCCCGGAUGAGAUCCCGGACAUGACGAGGAGCUCCGGAAUGGUCCAGAGGUGAAGAUCGGUAUAUUGGACGAAGGGUAUUGUGUUAGAAAUAUGCCCUAGAGGCAAUAAUAAAUUGGUUAUUAUUAUAUUUCCUUGUUCAUGAUAAUCGUUUAUUAUCCAUGCUAGAAUUGUAUUGAUAGGAAACUCAGAUACAUGUGUGGAUACAUAGACAACACCAUGUCCCUAGUAAGCCUCUAGUUGACUAGCUCGUUGAUCAAUAGAUGGUUACGGUUUCCUGACCAUGGACAUUGGAUAUCGUUGAUAACGGGAUCACAUCAUUAGGACAAUGAUGUGAUGGACAAGACCCAAUCCUAAGCCUAGCACAAGAUCGUGUAGUUCGUUUGCUAAGAGCUUUUCUAAUGUCAAGUAUCAUUUCCUUAGACCAUGAGAUUGUGCAACUCCCGGAUACCGUAGGAAUGCUUUGGGUGUACCAAACGUCACAACGUAACUGGGUGUCUAUAAAGGUGCACUACAGGUAUCUCCGAAAGUGUCUGUUGGGUUGGCACGAAUCGAGACUGGGAUUUGUCACUCCAUGUAAACGGAGAGGUAUCUCUGGGCCUACUCGGUAGGACAUCAUCAUAAUGUGCACAAUGUGACCAAGGAGUUGAUCACGGGAUGAUGUGAGUUACGGAACGAGUAAAGAGACUUGCCGGUAACGAGAUUGAACAAGGUAUCGGGAUACCGACGAUCGAAUCUCGGGCAAGUACCAUACCGAUUGACAAAGGGAAUUGGAUACGGGAUUGAUUGAAUCCUCGACAUCGUGGUUCAUCCGAUGAGAUCAUCGAGGAGCAUGUGGGAGCCAACAUGGGUAUCCAGAUCCCGCUGUUGGUUAUUGACCGGAGAGUCGUCUCGGUCAUGUCUGCAUGUCUCCCGAACCCGUAGGGUCUACACACUUAAGGUUCGGUGACGCUAGGGUUAUAGAGAUAUUAGUAUGCGGUAACCCGAAAGUUGUUCGGAGUCCCGGAUGAGAUCCCGGACGUCACGAGGAGUUCCGGAAUGGUCCGGAUGUAAAGAUUUAUAUAUGGGAAGUCUUAUUUUGGUCGCCGGAAAAGUUUCGCACUUUAUCGGUAUUGUACCGGGAGUGCCGAAAGGGGUCCGGGGGUCCACCAAGGGGGUCCACCAGCCCCGGGGGGCCACAUGGGCUGUAGGGGGUGCGCCUUGGCCUAUAUGGGCCAAGGGCACCAGCCCCAAGAGGCCCAUGCGCCAAGAGAUAAGGGAAAGGGAGAGUCCUAAGGGGGGAAGGCACCUCCGAGGUGCCUUGGGGAGGAUGGACUCCUCCCUGGCCGCACCCUUCCUUGGAGGAAGGGCCAAGGCUGCGCCCCCCUCUCCCUUGGCCCUAUAUAUAGUGGGGGGAGGGAGGGAAGCAAUAUCUAAGCCCUGGCGCCUCCCUCUCCCUCCCGUGACACCUCUUCCUCCCCGCUUGCGCUUGGCGAAGCCCUGCCGGGAUCCCGCUACUUCCACCACCACGCCGUCGUGCUGCUGGAUCUCCAUCAACCUCUCCUCCCCCCUUGCUGGAUCAAGAAGGAGGAGAUGUCGCUGCUCCGUACGUGUGUUGAACGCGGAGGUGCCGUCCGUUCGGCGCUAGGAUCAUCGGUGAUUUGGAUCAUGACGAGUACGACUCCAUCAACCCCGUUCUCUUGAACGCUUCCGCUCGCGAUCUACAAUGGUAUGUAGAUGCACUCCCCUUCCCCUCGUUGAUAGAUUACUCCAUAGAUUGAUCUUGGUGAUGCGUAGAAAAUUUUGAAUUUCUGCUACGUUCCCCAACAUAUUGGAGUCCGGAAUUGUUCCGGGGGUACCAGGCUAUGGCCAGCAUGUCCGAAAGGGGUUUCGGAGGCCCCGGCAAGCGUUGGGGGGCCUUAUGGGCCAAGGGGAAGGGGCAAAUAAGCCCACUAAGGGGCUGUGCGCCCCUUCCAACCCCUCUGACGUAACCAGGAGAGGUGGGGGCGCCACCCCUAGGGCAGCCGCCCCUCCCUGCUUGGGGGGCAAGUUUCCUAGGGGGUGGGGGAGCCCAAACCCAUCUAGGGUUUCCCCUGGCCGCCUCCUCCUCCUCUAGAUCCAUCUAGAGGGGCCAGCCCCCUCUCCCCUUCCCCCUAUAUAUAGUGAGGGGGUGGGAGGGCAGCCAUACCCUUCCCUUGGCGUAGCCCUCACCUCCUCGAACUCCUCCUCCUCCUCCGUAGUGCUUAGCCAAGCUCUGCCGGAGAACCACGAGCUCCAUUGCCACCACGCCGUCGUGCUGCUGGAGUUCUCCCUCAAAUUCUCCUCUCCCCUUGCUGGAUCAAGAAGGAGGAGACGUCCCCGGGCUGUACGUGUGUUGAACGCGGAGGCGCCAUCCGUUCGGCGCUAGAUCGGAUCUUCCGCGAUUUGAAUCGCCACGAGUACGACUCCAUCAACCGCGUUCUUGUAACGCUUCCGCUUAGCGAUCUUCAAGGGUAUGAAGAUGCACUCCCCCUCUCUCGUUGCUAGCAUCUCCUAGAUUGAUCUUGGUGACACGUAGGAAAAUUUUGAAUUAUUACUACGUUCCCCAACAGUGGUAUCAGAGGCAGAUUUAUGCGUAGAUUCUAUGCACGAGUAGAACACAAAGUAGUUGUGGGCGAUGAUUUGUUCAAUUUGCUUACCAUUACUAGUCUUAUCUUGAUUCGGCGGCAUUGUGGGAUGAAGCGGCCCGGACCGACCUUACACGUACACUUACGUGAGACAGGUUCCACCGACUGACAUGCACUUGAUGCAUAAGGUGGCUAGCGGGUGUCUGUCUCUCCCACUUUAGUCGGAUCGGAUUCAAUGAAGAGGGUCCUUAUGAAGGGUCAAUAGCAAUUGGCAUAUCACCGUUGUGGCUUUUGCGUAGGUAAGAAACGCUCUUGCUAGAAACCCAUAGCAGCCACGUAAAACAUGCAACAACAAUUAGAGGACGUCUAACUUGUUUUUGCAGGGUAUGCUAUGUGAUGUGAUAUGGCCAAAAGGAUGUGAUGAAUGAUAUAUGUGAUGUAUGAGAUUGAUCAUGUUCUUGUAAUAGGAGUCACAACUUGCAUGUCGAUGAGUAUGACAACCGGCAGGAGCCAUAGGAGUUGUCUUAAUUUAUUGUAUGACCUGCGUGUCAAUGAAAAACGCCAUGUAAUUACUUUACUUUAUUGCUAACCGUUAGCCAUAGUAGUAGAAGUAAUAGUUGGCGAGACAACUUCAUGAAGACACGAUGAUGGAGAUCAUGGUGUCAUGCCGGUGACGAAGGUGAUCAUGCCGCGCCUCGAAGAUGGAGAUCAAAGGCGCAAGAUGAUAUUGGCCAUAUCAUGUCACUUUAUGAUUUGCAUGUGAUGUUUGUCAUGUUUACAUCUUAUUUGCUUAGAACGACUGUAGCAUAAAUAAGAUGAUCCCUCACUAAAAUUUCAAGAGAUGUGUUCCCCCUAACUGUGCACCGUUGCGAAGGUUCGUUGUUUCGAAGCACCACAUGAUGAUCGGGUGUGAUAGAUUCUAACGUUCGCAUACAACGGGUGUAAGCCAGAUUUACACAUGCGAAACACUUAGGUUGACUUGACGAGCCUAGCAUGUACAGACAUGGCCUCGGAACACAAGAGACCGAAAGGUCGAACAUGAGUCAUAUAGUAGAUACGAUCAACAUGAAGAUGUUCACCGAUGAUGACUAGUUCGUCUCACGUGAUAAUCGGACACGGCCUAGUUGACUCGGAUCAUGUAUCACUUAGAUGACUAGAGGGAUGUCUAUAUAAGUGGGAGUUCAUUAAAUAAUUUGAUUAGAUGAACUUAAUUAUCAUGAACAUAGUCAAAAGGUCUUUGGAAAUUAUGUCGUAGCUUACGCUUUAGUUCUACUAAGAUAUGUUCCUAGAGAAAAUUUAGUUGAAAGUUGAUAGUAGCAAUUAUGUGGACUGGGUCCGUAAACUGAGGAUUGUCCUCAUUGCUGCACACAAGGCUUAUGUCCUUAAUGCACCGCUCGGUGUGCUGAACCUCGAGCGUCGUUUGUGGAUGUUGCGAACAUCUGACAUACACGUUUUGAUGACUACAUGAUAGUUCAGUGCGUAAUGUUAAACGGUUUAGAAUUGAGGCACCGAAGACAUUUUGAAACGUCGCGGAACAUAUGAGAUGUUCCAAGAGCUGAAAUUGGGAUUUUAGGAUCGUGCCCACGUCAAGAGGUGCGAGACCUCCGACAAGUUUCUUAAGCCUACAAACUAAGGGAGAAAAGCUCAAUCGUUGAGCAUGUACUCGGAUUGUCUGAGUACUACAAUCGCUUGAAUCGAGUGGGAGUUGUCUUCCAGAUGAGAUGGUGAUGGUUCUCCAAAGUCACUGCCACCAAGCUACUAGAGCUUCGUGAUGAACUAUAACAUAUCAGGGAUAGAUAUGAUGAUCCUUGAGCUAUUCGCGAUGUUUGACACCGCGAAAGUAGAAAUCAAGUAGGAGCGUCAAUUGUUGAUGGUUAGUAAAACCACUAGUUUCAAGAAGGGCAAGGGCAACAAGGGAUACUUCAUGAAACGGCAAAUCAGUUGCUGCUCUAGUGAAGAAACCCAAGGUAGAACCAAAACCCGAGACUAAGUGCUUCUGUAAUGAGGGGAACGGUCACUGAAGCAGAACUACCCUAGAUACUUGGUAGAUGAGAAGGCAGGCAAGGUCGACAGAAGUAUAUUGGAUAUACAUUAUAUUAAUGUGUACUUUACUAGUACUCCUUGUAGCACCAGGGUAUUAGAUACCGGUUCGGUUGCUAAGUGUUGGUAACUCGAAAUAAAAAGCUACGGAAUAAACGGAGACUACCUAAAGGUGAGAUGACGAUAUGUGUUUGAAGUGUUUCCAAGGUUGAUGUGAUCAAGCAUCGCAUGCUCCCUCUACCAUCGAGAUUGGUGUUAAACCUAAAUGAUUGUUAUUUGGUGUUUGCGUUGAGCAUAGACAUGAUUGGAUUAUGUUUAUCGCAAUACGGUUAUUCAUUUAAGGAGAAUAAUGGUUACUCUGUCUAUUUGAAUAAUACCUUCAAUGGUCUUGCACCUAAAAUGAAUGGUUUAUUGAAUCUCGAUCGUAGUGAUACACAUGUUCAUGCCAAAAGAUAUAAGAUAGUAAUGAUAGUACCACAUACUUGUGGCACUGCCACUUGAGUCAUAUUGGUAUAAAACGCAUGAAGAAGCUCCAUGUUGAUGGAUCUUUGGACUCACUCGUUUUUGAAAAGAUUGAGACAUGCGAACCAUGUCUAUUAGUAUAUAUGCAUGAAGAAAGUCCAUACAGAUGGAUCGUUUGGACUCACUUGAUUUUGAAUCACUUGAGACAUGCAAAUCAUACCACAUGGGCAAGAUGACUGAAAGGCCUCGUUUUCAGUAAGAUGGAACAAGAAAGCAACUUGUUGGAAGUAAUACAUUUUGAUGUGUGCAGUCCAAUGAGUGCUGAGGCAUGCAGUGGAUAUCGUUAUGUUCUUACUUCACAGAUGAUUUGAGUAGAUGCUGAGUAUAUUUACUUGAUGAAACACAAGUCUGAAUUAUUGAAAGGUUCAAGUAAUUUCAGAGUGAAGUUGAAGAUCGUCGUGACAAGAGGACAAAAUGUCUGUGAUAUGAUCAUAGAGAUGAAUAUCUGAGUUACGAGUUUGGCACACAAUUAAGACAUUGUGGAAAUUGUUUCACAACUAAUACCGCCUGGAACACCAUAGUGUGAUGGUGUGUCCGAACAUCAUAACUGCACCCUAUUGGAUAUGGUGCAUACCAUGAUGUCUCUUAUCGAAUUACCACUAUCGUUUAUGGGUUAUGCAUUAGAGACAACCGCAUUCACUUUAAAUAGGGCACCACACAAUUCCGUUGAGACGACACCGCAUGAACUAUGGUUUAGAGAAACCUAAGCUGUCGUUUCUUAAAAGUUUGGGGCUGCGACGCUUAUGUAAAAAAGUUUCAGGCUGAUAAGCUCGAACCCAAAGCGGAUAAAUGCAUCUUCAUAGAAUACCCAAAACAGUUGGGUAUACCUCCUAUUUCAGAUCUGGAAGCAAAAGUGAUUGUUUCUAGAAACGGGUCCUUUCUCGAGGAAAAGUUUCUCUCGAAAGAAUAGAGUGGGAGGAUGGUGGAGACUUGAUGAGGUUAUUGAAUCGUCACUUCAACUAGUGUGUAGCAGGGCACAAGAAGUUGUUCCUAUGGCACCUACACCAAUUGAAGUGGAAGCUUAUGAUAGUGAUCAUGAAACUUCGGAUCAAGUCACUACCAAACCUCGUAGGACGACAAGGAUGCGUACUACUUCAGAGUGGUACAUAAUCCUGUCUUGGAAGUCAUGUUGCUAGACAACAAUGAACCUACGAGCUAUGAAGAAGCGAUGGUGGGCCCGGAUUCCGAUGAAUGGCUCGAGGCCAUAAAAUCCGAGAGAGGAUCCAUGUAUAAAAACAAAGUAUAGACUUUGGAAGAACUACUUGAUGGUCGUAAGGCUGUUGGGUGUAGAUGGAUUUUAAAAGGAAGACAGACAAUGAUGGUAAGUGUCACCAUUAAGAAAGCUCGACUUGUCGUUAAGAUGUUUUCCGACAAGUUCAAGGAGUUGACUGCGAUGAGACUUUCUCACUCGUAGCGAUGCUAAGAGUCUGUUGGAAUAUAUUAGCAGUUACUGCAUUAUUUAUGAAAUCUUGCAGAUAGGAUGUCAAAACAUUGUUCCUCGAUGAUUUUCUUGAGGAAAGGUUGUAUGUGAUACAACCAGAAGGUUUUGUCAAUCCUGAAAGAUGCUAACAAGUAUGCAAAGCUCCAGCAAUCCUUCUAAGGACUGGAGUAAGCAUCUCGGAGCUGGAAUGUACGCUUUGAUGAGAUGAUCAAAGAUUUUGUGUUUUUACAAAGUUUAUGAGAAACUUGUAUUUCCAAAGAAGUGAGUGGGAGCACUAUAGAAUUUUUGAUGAGUAUAUGUUGUUAACAUAUUGUUGAUCAGAAAUGAUGUAGAAUUUCUGGAAAGCAUACAGGGUUAUUUGAAAAGUGUUUUUCAAUGGAAAACCUGGAUUAAGCUACUUGAACAUUGAGCAUCAAGAUCUAUAAGGAUAGAUCAAAAACGCUUAAUAGUACUUUCAAAUGAAUACAUACCAUGACAAGAUUUUGAAGGAUUUCAAAAUAGAUCAGCAAAGAAGGAGUUCUUGGCUGUGUUACUAGGUGUGAGUAUUGAGUAAGACUCAAGACCUGACCACGGCAGAAGAGAGAGAAAGGACGAAGGUCGUCCCCUAUGCUUUAGACGUAGGCUCUACAGUAUGCUAUGCUGUGUACCGCACCUGAAGUGUGCCUUGCCAUGAGUUAGUCAAGGGGUACAAUAGUGAUCCAGGAAUGGAUCACAUGACAGCGGUCGAACUUAUCCUUAGUAACUAGUGGACUAAGGAAUUUUCUCGAUUAUGGAGGUGGUAAAAGAGUUCGUCGUAAAGGGUUAUGUUGAUGCAAACUUUGACACUAAUCCGGAUGACUCUGAGUAGUAAACCGGAUUCGUAUAGUAGAGCAGUUAUUUGGAAUAGCUCCAAGUAGCGCGUGGUAGUUGCAUCUACAAGAUGACAUAAGAUUUGUAAAGCACACACGGAUCUGAAAGGUUCAGACCCGUUGACUAAUAACCUCUCUCACAAGCGAGAUAUGAACAAACCCCAUGGGUGUUGGAUUCAUUACAAUCACAUAGUGAUGUGAACUAGAUUAUUGACUCUAGUGCAAGUGGGAGACUGUUGGAAAUAUGCCCUAGAGACAAUAAUAAAAUGGUUAUUAUUGUAUUUCCUUGUUCAUGAUAAUUGUCUAUUGUUCAUGCUGUAAUUGUAUUAACUGGAAACCAUAAUACAUGUGUGAAUACAUAGACCACAACAUGUCCCUAGUAAGCCUCUAGUUGACUAGCUCGUUGAUCAAUAGAUGGUUAUGGUUUCCUGACCAUGGACAUUGGAUGUCAUUGAUAACGGGAUCACAUCAUUAGGAGAAUGAUGUGACGGACAAGACCCAAUCCUAAGCAUAGCACAAGAUCGUGUAGUUCGUUUGCUAAGAGCUUUUCUAAUGUCAAGUAUCGUUUCCUUAGACCAUGAGAUUGUGCAACUCCCGGAUACCGUAAGAAUGCUUUGGGUGUACCAAACGUCACAACGUAACUGGGUGGCUAUAAAGGUGCACUACAGGUAUCUCCGAAAGUGUCUGUUGGGUUGGCACGAAUCGAGACUGGGAUUUGUCACUCCGUAUGACGGAGAGGUAUCUCUGGGCCCACUCGGUAAUGCAUCAUCAUAAUGAGCUCAAUGUGACUAAUGAGUUAGCCACGGGAUCAUGCGUUACGGAACGAGUAAAGAGACUUGCCGGUAACAAGAUUGAACGAGGUAUGGGGAUACCGACGAUCGAAUCUCGGGCAAGUGACAUACCGAUAGACAAAGGGAAUUGAAUACGGGAUUGAUUGAAUCCCCGACAUCGUGGUUCAUCCGAUGAGAUCAUCGUGGAACAUGUGGGAGCCAAUAUGGGUAUCCAGAUCCCGCUAUUGGUUAUUGGCCGGAGAGGUGUCUCGGUCAUGUCUGCAUGGUUCCCGAACCCGUAGGGUCUACACACUUAAGGUUCGGUGACGCUAGAGUUGUUAUGGGAAAUAAUAUGUGGUUACUGAAGGUUGUUUGGAGUCCCGGAUGAGAUCCCGGACAUGACGAGGAGCUCCGGAAUGGUCCGGAGAUGAAGAUCGGUAUAUUGGACGAAGGGUAUCGGAGUCCGGAAUUGUUCCGGGGGUACCAGGCUAUGGCCAGCAUGUCCGAAAGGGGUUUCGGAGGCCCCGGCAAGCGUUGGGGGGCCUUAUGGGCCAAGGGGAAGGGGCAAACCAGCCCACUAAGGGGCUGUGCGCCCCUCCCAACCCCUCUCACGUAACCAGGAGAGGUGGGGGCGCCACCCCUAGGGCAGCCGCCCCUCCCGGCUUGGGGGGCAAGUUUCCUAGGGGGUGGGGGCGCCCAAACCCAUCUAGGGUUUCCCCUGGCCGCCGCCUCCUCCUCUAGAUCCAUCUAGAGGGGCCAGCCCCCUCUCCCCUUCCCCCUAUAUAUAGUGAGGGGGUGGGAGGGCAGCCAUACCCUUCCCUUGGCGCAGCCCUCACCUCCUCCACCUCCUCCUCCUCCUCCUCCGUAGUGCUUAGCCAAGCUCUGCCGGAGAACCACGAGCUCCAUUGCCACCACGCCGUCGUGCUGCUAGAGUUCUCCCUCAAAUUCUCCUCUCCCCUUGCUGGAUCAAGAAGGAGGAGACGUCCCCGGGCUGUACGUGUGUUGAACGCGGAGACGCCGUCCGUUCGGCGCUAGAUCGGAUCUUCCGCGAUUUGAAUCGCCACGAGUACGACUCCAUCAACCGCGUUCUUGUAACGCUUCCGCUUAGCGAUCUUCAAGGGUAUGAAGAUGCACUCCCUCUCUCUCGUUGCUAGCAUCUCCUAGAUUGAUCUUGGUGACACGUAGGAAAAUUUUGAAUUAUUACUACGUUCCCCAACAUCUACAUGGUGGUUCGUCAAGGAUUCUUUUCAUUCUUCAAUUGGUCUUCAAGUUUUCGCUUGAAGUUAAGAUCCGCCAAGCUAUACUCUCAAUAAACAUGGUGCUCAACACAUGUCUUGUUUUGAGGAGUUCAAGCAUUCUUCAUCUUGCAUUCCGAAAUGCAAUUAGUUCUACCUUAUCUUUUGAGGUGGUGUUAUGUCACUCUUGACAAUUUCCCUUCGUGUGUCAUGAUUCAACAGUUGUCAAGAAUGAGAUAGUUAAUCCCAUCAAUUUCUUCGAGCAUGAGCCCUUCUCAAUCCAUCGAUUUUUUUCAUUGGAGUUAUCUUGGUAUAGAUUCACCUAAAGCCUUCCAUUAGGAAUGUAGCUACUUGUGGUGCUUAUCAAUGAUCCGAUCUUCUCCUUCUCAUCUCGGUGAAGAAGUUUUCAUCUCCUUGUUGAUCUCAAUCCAAUCAACUGUUUUCGUUAGUGGUCGGUUGUCACCUCAUAAUUUUGAUAUGUUCUCCAUAAGCCCACAACAAGCUUAUCCUUUCGUUAUUGAUAAUCCAACAACUCCGCUCUAGCAUUUCCUGUAAGCGUGCUCUUUCAAGAUCUUGUUUCCCUCCGUUCAUUCCAUUUCAUUCUUUCAUUUCUUCCGGAGACAUUGUGAUGUUACUCUCUUCGACCCAUCAUCUUGUUUUGUCACGAUCAUGUUCUUUUAUUGCUUAUCCAUUUAACCGGUGUUUUGUGUUUUCUUUUCAAGUUCUUUUCAUCUAAUCAAGUCUUGCCUCUCUUAUCAAUUGGAGUGCUGUCCAAGUUCUGGCAUUCGUAUUCUUUGGCUAUCUCAUGAUAUCGGUGUGGCUCCAUAUUCUUUUGGUUCGUUGAGCUCUUGUUUCAUGUCUUUCAACCUACAAGGUUCUCAUGGUGUUCCUUGUUUCCGUUUACUACGGAGUGCUCUCAAUUCGCUCAUCUCCGUUGUGUCAUUUCUUUCGAGCUGUUCAACUUCCAAGGUUCUUUGGUUUCACUCGUUUGUCAAGAAGCAACUUUGUUUUACCUCUUCCUCUUCCGUUUCUCUCCGGUGCCAUCCUAGAUCUCGGGACGAGAUCCUCCUGUAGUGGUGGAGUGUUGUAACGCCCCAAGACCGACGCUCCAGAUGCCUUCCAUGUUUUGCGAGUCAGCUGUGUUAUUUGUUUUCCCCAUUAUUUACAGUAUAUCUUCCAUCCCAAAUUAUUCAGAAUACAUCUUUGUGGCCUGUUGUGGUGUGAGUGGGCCGCAGUUUAAACAGUGGGUUUGGUAGGGAGAGGGUGGAGAUUGCUCACUUAAUUAUUUUCCCCAUUAUUUGCACAAUAUUUACCACUUGGAUUUUAAGUCCUUAACAUAAGACAAGGUCAUUCUUCAAGAGUGUUGUCAGCCAACUUCUUGUUCGAGCGGAAGAAGCAGCUAUCGAGUCGUCUGCUAACAAAGAGUUUAACGAACAGGAUGCACUAAGUUCUGUGUUGCUCUUUGUGGGUGAAGUGUUAUCCCGUGUUAGCCGUCGUGGAUCUACUGGUAAGUUUUAAUAUCUCAGAAUGCAAGUUUAUGUGUGCUGUUGACUUGCUUGUUCUGAAAUAUACAUUUACGAAUGACAAAAUCAAUUAAGAAACUGUGUGCCCGAUUCUAGUUGGUGCAGUAUGAUAUCGUGCUGUAGUUAUGUUUGGUAGGAUACAAUAAUUGCAGUACAUUCAACCCUUUAUGCUUCAGUUUGGCAUGCUGAUUUUCCUUUUGUAUUAUCUGCUACUAUAGCUUGGGUGACGUAGCAGUUUCCUUCCCCCCUUUCUAAUCCUUUUGGUAUGGAUAUGAUAACCAGCACAUCAAUCAUUUGGUUGCUUUCAUGUAUUUGGCACUAAUCCGCUGUUGAUACUUGAGUGUUGUUUCUGCGCUGUUGUCCGCACUCCCCACCUCUGCAAAUUUGACUAGAUUCGGGCAUUGAGUGGGAUCUCUUGAUAGCUAGCAUAGCAAGUACCUGGUCCAUAACAAUUUAUAGUUCAUAAGAUUUGUACUCUCUGUUUAGGCAUCAAAUCAUUUCUUUCAUUCUUUGUAUGUAUGAUAAGAUGCAUUGGUCUUUUCAGGCAUUUUAGUUGCUGAAUUGAUCCCUAUGAUCCGUAAUCACUUACAAAGAUGUGUAGCACCAGACUGUAAGACGAUAAUUCCUGACAUGAUCAAGCAUGUUCCUCAGUCUCGGUUUUGGUUCACUGUGAUUGAAGCAUUGAGAGAUCAGCAUUCUAUUGAAAGAUUGACUGAAGAGAUGUUGCGCCAACUUGCAUCACACCAUUUAAAUGAUGAAGAAGCGUACUGGAUUUUGUGGACUCUGUUUAAUCAGAGUAUCAUGCAUAUUGCUGUUAUGAGGUGAGAUAGUACCUAUGUGCACUUUAAUUCUGCUAAACAUUGUAUGUGCUUGUUCUUGCUUAGCUACUUCCUUAUUUCACUUUGUAUUUGGCAUGCUACAUUACUUUGCAUAGGAAACUUAUACGUGAAAGGCUUCCUUGGCCAGGAUUUAGUUCAAAAUAUCCAAUUUGACAACUAUGCAAAACAGUAUUUCAAUGAUUACCUUUUUCUUUCUGUGAAGAUUGUUCUGGGGAUGUUGACUACUACCACCUCUGUUCCAAAAUACUUGAAGUUUUAUGUUUGUCCUAAGUCAAACUUUAUAAGUUUGACCAAGUCUAUAGAAAAAUAUCCAAUAUCUACAACAUCAUAUUAGUUUGACCAUAAAAUAUAUUUUGAAAUUAUAUAUUGUAUGAUGCUGUAGAUAUUAAUAUAUUUUUCUGUAGAGUCGGUCAAACAUAGAGAUGUUUUACUUAGGACAAACCUAAAACUUAAAAGUAUUUUGGAAUGGAGGAAGUACAUGUUAAUCUGCCUGCUGUGUGUUCAUUAAAUCUUUGGCUGUGUUUUGUGUGUCUUAGUUAUUAAUAGAUAGCGAUUGUUUUGUGGUGGCAUAUUAUGCAUGCCAUCAUUGUUAUAUAGUUCUGUGUUGCCAUGUUCAGAAACAUCCAAUAAGCUUGUCCCUUGUCUGUUUGAUGAUGGCCUUGACGGUCCUUCAUGGAAUAGUGAAUCUAUAAGACAUUGAUACAGAAGACAGAUAUCUGGGCAAAACAUGAUGCAUAAGCAUAAAGUAGUACUCCCUCCGUUCUUAAAUAUUUGUCUUGCUAGAGAUUUCAACAAGUGACUACAUACGGAGCAAAAUGAGUGAAUCUACACUCUAAAAUAUGUCUAUAUACAUCCGUAUGUGGUAGUCCAUUUGAAAUCUCUAAAAAGACAAAUAUUUAGGAACGGAGGGAGUAUUUGCUCAUGGACCUAAUAUUUUCUGGGAUUGAAAAGCUAGAUUUUGUUAAUACAGUCAUGUCUAAGGCUUUAAGCUCUUUUUUUUCUUAGUCAGCAUGUUAGGUGAUAAGGUAAAAAAUAUAGUUCAGGCCCUUUUCUUGGACAAUUUGUUGUUUCUAUUUUACUAUGAAGGACAAAUGCAUGGAUUGGAGGGAGUAUGUUCAACUAUAUUCAGUAUGUCCUAACUAGCAAUUUAUUAAAUAGCUUCUUUCUUAUAUGUUUUCUUUUCCACAAUGCUUUCUUCAGGGCAAUGUUUAUUGACAAAUUUUUGCUUUGGAAAACAUUUCCAUUAUGCUGCCUGAGAUGGAUUCUUCAUUAUGCUGUCUUUGAAUUCCCACCAAAUUCAGUCGCAGAAGCCCAAAUGCGAAGGACAUCAAACUUCCUGGUUACAUUGCAAUGUUUAGUUACUGUUUGGUCCAAGAAAGAGUUUGUUCAGUCAUAUUCAGUGGAGCAACAAGCUUGUAUCCAUUGAUGCACUUAAAACUAUAUUGUUCAUUUCUCAUGCAAGUUAUCAUUUGGCAUUGUUCUCCUUAAUCAGUAUGUAGAUAUCACUGCAGCAAUAGGGUUAUGUUUGGAGAACAUGUCAAAAGAAGAAUUAGAAAUGAAUAGAGAUGUAUUAAAUUGUAUUCUUCAAGGAGUAAGCUGUAAGUACUUCUCUUCCCUUGUGUUUGUUUACCAGGAUACGGUAAGCACAAUCAUAAUAUCUACUCACCGAAUAUUGUUUUGACUAUAGGUAGGUUAGAGAGCCCAAUUGAUUUAGUCCGGAAAAUGGCAAGUGCUGUUGCAUUGACAUUUUCUAAAGUCGUUGAUCCAAAAAAUCCUCUUUACCUUGAUGAUGACUGUUCUGAGAAUGUUGACUGGGAGUUCGGGGUUCUCUCUCCAAAGGAGAUCACAGCUCCUUCACAUGAUGUAGAAUUUGGAAGCAAAUCAAAACCAUGUCCACGUAAGAACAGGAAACAUGCUGGUGACAAAAAGGGAAAGACUAUCAAGCAUGAUAUUUCAGAUAACAGAGUAAAAAUCAUAGAGAUCAAGUCAAAACUAGAUUCUGAUGAAAUGUCUGGCGCUGCUAUAAAUUUUGAGGAACAUUAUGACGAGGAAAGCAUUAACAUUGAUGCUUCCAGUGAUUCAUCCCUGGAGCCGUAUGAUCUGUCAGAUGAUGACACUGAUUUGCAGAAGAAUUUCACACAUCUAAGUGAUCUUGCAGCUGCACUGCGAAAACCUGACGAUCUAGAUGGUGUAAGUUUCCAUUUGGUGUUUCCAGACAAAACUACUACAUGAUCCUGACCUUUCUUUCUUUUGUCUUCACAAGGUUGAAAGCGCUCUUAGUUCUGCCGAAAAGCUUGUGAGGGCAUCACCUGAUGAGCUGCGCCACUGCUCGGGUGAUCUUGUUCAAGCACUGGUACAUGUUCGUUGUUCUGAUGUCGCGAUGGAAGGCGAGGAAGAUUCUGCUGAAGAAAAGCGACAGAAGGCAUUAGUCGCUUUGCUGGUAACCAGCCCAUUUGAAUCAUUAGAUGUUCUUACCAAAUUGCUAUAUUCAUCGAGUGUGGAUAUAAGUCAGCGUAUUUUAGUUAUUGAUGUUAUGACUGAGGCAGCACAGGAACUUGCUGAAACUAAAAUUGUAAAGAGUGAACAGCGGCAUGGGAACUUGAUAUCUGAUACUUCUCCGUCUUGGCUGGUUCCUAGGGAGAGCGGACCUGUUGGGGCAAGCCCUUGGAGAGAGGUAUCAGAAACAGGAUCACUUUUGAAAAAUUGGUCACACCGGUAUGAAAGAGAAGUUCCAUCUAGACCAGGCCAGGUUAAAUCAGGAAAAUCUCGCAAAUGGGGUCUUGGGAAAGCAAAAGAUUCGCAGGUGGAGCGGUCAAAAAACAGAUUUCCUUUGUAUGCUGCUGCAUUUAUGCUCCCGGUUAUGGAAGGAUAUGACAAGAGAAGACAUGGGGUGGACUUGCUCAAUCGGGAUUUUGUUGUCCUAGGUAAAUUGAUAUACAUGCUUGGUGUCUGUAUGAAGUGCAUGGCAAUGCAUCCGGAAGCAUCAGCCAUUGCCCCAGCUUUUCUGGAUAUGAUAAGAGCCAGGUAUUCUGUGUCAGGAUAAACAUUUCAUGUAUUCUUAUUUGGCAACCAAAUGGCGUGAUUUGACAUGAAAUUUUAUUCUACAGGGAGGUCUCGCAACAUGCUGAAGCAUAUGUGCGAAGGUCUGUGUUGUUUGCAGCUUCUUGUGUAUUGAUAGCCUUGCACCCGUCAUAUGUUGCAUCAGUUCUUAUAGAAGGCAACCAGGACAUUUCUACUGGUUUAGAAUGGAUACGUACAUGGGCCUUGCGUAUUGCUGAAGCUGAUCCUGAUACAGAGUGCACAUCGGUGAGUAGAACAAUCAUUUUUAUUUUUCGGUCAUAAAUAUCAGCUCUAAAUACCUAUUGUACGCCUUCUAUACAGCCUGAGGAGUUAAUAUGAAAUAGUUGAUCGUCAGUGGGUAGGAUGUAUGGUUUUAUUGUCACUAAAAUUCACAGUUCUUAGUUGCUAAGUAGCUAACCAUCUUUUAUGCUCAUUGGGCGACUAUUCUCUCAGUGUUUUGUAAAGAGAAACGAAUUGCUAAGAUGUUGGAUAUGCAGUCUCUCUAUCCACUUUUUACUAAAUAUCUAUGCCCCACGUUUGUUUCCUAGAUGGCCAUGGCCUGCGGCUCCAUUCAGAGAUGGUGCUCCAGACAUCCCGCGCCCUGGAAUCUGCAGAACAUUCCAAGGCUGGCACCAGAGCACUACCUUCUAAGCUCGAUAACAUUAUAAUACCAUUCGCAAACAUGAUGUGAUCUGAUGCAGUCUUGAAGUUGUAAAGGGAAUUUUCUUUCUCAUUUGUGUUACCGUACUAUAGAUUUUUUUUAGUCGUGCUAUAGAAUUGCUUUAGUGUAUACUUUUUUUAGAAUAAUAACGAUUUAGUGUAUACUGCAGCAGCUAAUUCAGCUACUAAUUGUUUUAGUAUAACUGUU